UUUUUUUUUUUUUUUUUUUUGAAUCUAUCUAUUUUUUAAGACAUUGCAAAUGUGUUUGAUCAAGCUUGUUUAGUUGCCGAGAAAAUAUGGUGAAAGAAAACAAAGGAAGGAAGAAGAAGAAGGGUUGAGUUAGGGUUUUGAGGUUUUAAAAUGAAAUAACUCUUUUACCCUCAUUUAAAUAAGUCACAUGGAGAGCACAUAUGUCUUCCGUCCAAUUAAGGUAACACUGUCACUCUAAAAAUGCAUAUUGCAUGUAAUUAUAAAGCAUGGAAGGUACAUUGCUCAAUUUUAAAUUCAAUGGGGCAAUAUACAAAACACGUUAUAGGUUAAGGGAGUAACGUGUAAUAAACCCUUUAUUUUAUUGUUACUUACUUUAUUCCUUAUAUUUUUUAAAAUAUUAAUUAUAUCUAAAAUCUAUGUGUUAUUGUGUCUCAAAAUGGAUGAGAAUGAUGUAUGUCUCACAAAUUAUGUAACCAUGCACACAAUUCUUCAAGACAAAAUAUAUGUCUUUAAUUUGACAUUAACAAAAGUUAAUAUAAAUACCAUAUAUGGUACAACAAACUUAACUGAAGGCUCUAGAAUAGCAAAUAUUAUGAUACCAAUUGCAAUUAGAUCUAUAUAAAUAAUAUUUAUAUCCUAGCAAAUCUAGAAUAUGAAUGAAGGUAAUGUAGAAUAUCUUUACAUUACUUCGAUUAUUCUAGCCAAAAGCUUAUAAUGGAAAAAACUCUCAGUUUUUUCCCUCAAGUUGUAUCAUACAACCAUAAAGUCUAUUGAGUCAUAUAUUAUCAUGAACUUGAAGUUUAACAACCUAAAAAAUUUUAUUCUUUGGCAUGACAAGCUAGGUCACUCGAGGUUUUCAAUGAUGCAUCACAUAAUAGAACACUCACAUUGGCAUCCAUUAAAGGACUAGAAGAUUUUUUUCACCUAAUGAAUACUCAUAUGCUACUUGCUUCUAAGGUAAAUUCAUAGUUAAACUAUCUUUUACUAAAGUCAUAUAUGAGACACUUGUCUUUUUAAAAGGAAUACAUGAAGACAUAUGUAAGUCUAUCCAUCCACCAUGUGAACCAUUUUGUUAUUUUAUAAUUUUAAUAGAUGUCUCUACUAGGUGAUCACAUAUUGUCUCAUUUCUACACAUAAUAUUGUCUUUCUAAGCUCUCUGCACAAAUAAUCAAAAUACAAACACAAUUUCUAGAUUAUCCAAUCAAGACAAUAUGUCUUGAUAAUGUUGGUCAACUUACUUCUCAAACGUUUAUCGACUAUUUUGUGUCAGUUAUGAUUAAAAUUGAGCAUCCUAUUGGCCAUACUCAUACCUAAAAUGGUUUAGAAAAAUCCCUCAGCAAAUGUCUUUAAUUAAUAUCUCAACCAUUACUAAUGAAAAUCAAAUUACCUACUUUAUUAGAGAAAUGAAAAGAAAAUAAUGAAAAGAGAAUAUAAGAGGUCAUUUGUAAAAUGCUUGUACCAUCUACUGAAUAUUGUACUUAACAUCUCUUUAAAAUUUUCCUACCAAAAAGAAAAACCCCAAAAAAACUUUCUUAGGUUAAGAAGCAAAAUUUCUUCUCACUUACAAAACCAAGGGACUAAAAUUAAGAAAAUUUUGAAAUCUCCUCAUUUCUCUUCUCUUAUUCCUUGUCAAAUGAGGUGUUAAUCUAAGAUAAUAGCAACACCCUUACAACCUUUUCAUUGCAUUAACAUGUAUUGAUACUGUUAAGUAUUAAUGUAGAAUAAAACCAAUGAAGAUUAAAUAGUAUCUUGGUGUUUUAUUUACUAUUUUGAGAGAGUCAUAUUUCCCUUUUGUCUCUAGUAAAUAAAUUUGAAACUAAGCACAUUCAAGAGAAAUUCUAGAUAUUGUUGUGAACUAACUUAUAAUGAACCACACUUUAAUAUAAAUAUUGGUGUGAAAGUGAAUACACCUUAGUUGGCAACAAUACAAUAGGAUGGUAAUCAAGACCAAAUCCAACGUCAAGAACAAUGUUUAUAAACUCAUUCCUAUAUUCAAGAAGAUUUUCCAUAAGGACUAUCAUUAAUUUAUUGAAAUAAAGUACAAAGACCAUACAAUAACAUCAAUGGUUGCUCCUAUGAAUGGUUUCUUAGUUUUAAACUUUGCAAGACUUCCUUUUUCUUCCUAUGUUUUCCUUAUUUCUUCAUUUUAUAUUUCUUUUAUAUAUAUAUAUAUAUAUAUAUGCAUGAACCAUUUGAUAAAUUUUCUAUUUCAACUUCUAUUGGCAAAUGGUUUCAAAUUUUUUUCCCUAUACUUUCUUGGAUUUCAAAAAAUAUUUCAUUCAAAAUUUCAACCAAGUUCAUUUACUAAAUCAUUUUGAAAACAAAAUCCUUAAACAACUAAGCUCUAUUCACUUUUUCUUUUCAUAGUAAAUAUUUAUGUGUAAACUUAAAUUCAAAAUGAUUUGAUCAUCCUUGACCAAAUCAAUUGCCCAUAUUUUAUAAUUUGAACAAGUGUUAAAGUCAUGCUUCAAGAUUGAAUAUAAAAAUAAUUACCUUUGCAAUGACUUCAUUUGCCUUUUAAAGAGAUAAUAUCGUAUGCAAAAGUAACACCAAUACUUGAUCCUACUACUGCAAAUUUUACUUACAAUAAAUAGGUUGAAAAAGUAUUAGAUUUUGAAUAUGCCUAAUGAACUAUCUUACCAUAAAUGUGCUUGAACUUCCAAAUCCAACAUAAGAAAAUACGCAUUACCACAACUUUCCCUAAGUUGGUAUCCAAAUGGUUAUUUGCAACCCACUUUAAUAUGUCAAAUUUAUAUGAAUGGCCUCCCUAAAUAUCAAUCCAAGAGUCUUAGCAACAUUGAAUUUAAGAAAAUUUAUUCUAGUCCUGAAUGACCAAAUUGUAAUCAAAUUUUGAAAUUUUCAUUUUUUCAUAAGAACAUACAACCAUACUAUGUUAAUAAUAUAUAGAAAUCAAAGGUCCAGACUAUUCAAUACGUAGCUAAAUGGACAUUAAAUUUACAUCUUUUAAAUUAAAAUUAUCAAAAAGUACAUAAAUUUAUAUACAUAGGAAAGCGCGGACCCGUAUUUUUCACUUGCAUCACCACUCAAUGGCAAGACUCAUUUUUAUUGGUGAAAAAUUAGUUUUGGAAAAUUCGAAGUCGCCACUUAUUUUAUUUUAUUUUGAAAGGGAAAAUAAAACAAAAAAGAAAAUCCUAAAAAAGUGACUCCAUAGUUUUUGGAAAAGCGUGUCUUUGAAAAACCUGAGUCUAAGCCCGGGGAUCGGGUUACCUAUUGGGAAUGUACCUCUAAAAGGUCCCCUUUAAGCCCUACUAAAGUCUCUACUGACUAAGAUGAGGGAAAUGGGGCAAUUAAUUGGUUGAUUAUAGAUGCCUAGGUAGGCUAGGUGAUUUAAAAAAAAUAGCAUGUCAAACAAGAAAAACCAAUCAUAAUCAUAAAGCAGAUUUAGGGUGUGUACCUGAACUGCUUCUCAAAUACUAUCAUAAAACAUCAAAGUUAGUAUAGAAAUAUAGCACACAACAUGUGUUUUAUCCAAGCAAAUCAAGCAUACAUCUAAGCACCUAAGAAUCACAUCAAGCAUAAAUAAGGUUCACAACAACAUGCAUGUUCAUAGAAUUCCGAAAAGUAAGUGAUAGAGAGCGUACCCGAAUAACAUGCAUAAUUUAUAAGAUUUCUCAAAAAAAUGCUAGAGUGGUUAAGACAAAUAUAUAUUAUAUAACAUCUUUAUUAUGUCUAAUAUACAGUACCAAAGCCAAAAUUGAGCCAAGAUAAAUCAAAUGACUCCAAAAAUAAUAACAAUUUCAAGUAAAGUAUAAUUCCAUUAGCAUGCAGUUAGAAAAUGAAGCAUCAAAAAACAAUUUCUGAAAAAUAUCUUGGAGUGGAAUUUAACUACAAAAAAAAUUUCAGGAAACAACUCCUUUACAUCUAGAACAAGAUACCAAAAGCCAAACACUCAUUCAAAUGGAAAAUUGCAGCAAAGACACCCAAAAGUUUUAGAAGGUCCAAAUUAAGCAAAAAAAAAAAAUAGUAUUAUGCAUAAACAAAUUUUUUAAAAAUAAUAAAAGAUCACAUAAAAUCGUUAAAAAAAAAAAAAUCACACACAUCGUUCAAAUAGUCUAUAUCACAGAAAAAAAUAAAUCCAGGGUCGGGGAGUACUCAAAAUAUUUUUAAAACACUCCAACUAAUCUGAUGUCCAAAUUCCAUUAUGUACAGUAGGUACGAUUUUGAAAAAUCAUAUGUCCCUCAAAAUGCAUAUUUUUUUAACAUUUUAUAUGUCUAAGAUCAAUUUUAAGAAGUAAAAAAUUAAAGAAAAAUAUCGAGUUAAAUUUAAAAAGUCAUUUGUUAUUUUAUUUUAAAUUUAUAGGAAGAUUUCAGGUGUCUAGAAUUGGUUGAAAACAGAGCCCCCCUAAAGAAUCGUUUAUAUCUUCUAUUCCAUAAUUUCUUUCUAACUUAAACAAAAUUUUAAAUUUAAGUUCAAGAAAUGAGGAAAAUCAUACAAGUUUUGGAAAUUUUUUAAAAAUAUUCCAAAGUUGCUAAAAUGAAUUUUAAAUCUAGAAGGUCAGUGGUUAAAUGAAAACUGGCAGCAAGGAAGGGUUUUGAAAAAAUUUCUUAUGUAGGGGUUCCAUCAAGUCCCAAAUUACUUUUACAUGAGUUGGUUCAAUGAAUUCCAUUAUUUGACACUAUGAAGUUUGUUCAUGCUUUUCAAAAAAAAAAAAAAGACAAGAGAAUAGUUGAAAAUCAAAUAAAAUAGUGAGAAUGCGUGCCAUGAGGAAAAAUGACAGCAAGAGGUUUCUUGAAAUCUGAAUUUUUUAUGAAUCUAGAAACUCUUUAAGGAUGAAAUUUGAAGGAAACUAGAAUCAUUUAAAAACCAAAGAAAGAGGAGGAUGGUGUGACUGCCCUUGAGAAUGAGUGAAUGGUGCGUGUAGGUAAGAUCGUUUGUGGAGGCUGGCUGAUUCUAUAUUACGCAUGUUGCAUGCUAUAACAUGGCUUCAAAGAGGACGCAAACCACCCCAUUUUCAAUCCUUGAUGUAGCUAUUAGUGGAGUCCAUUCAUAGUGGCAAUAGAGUUGUAACUUUUUGAGUUGUGUGCUAAAAUUGAAUUCCAAAUGCACUUUGUCCCCUGUAGCAUUGUUGAUUGCAUGAAAAAUGAUAGCAUGUCUGUCCAUAUGCAAACCGUUGACCCUUUUAUGCAUAGACUUUCACAAAGAGCUCAAAGCAACAAAAGACAUCAAACUAUUAAUGCUAUAGGGUACAGCCCCAUCAAUUUAAUUUCCUUAGAGGCAUCUAAAAGUGUUAAUGACUUGCAUAAAUGCACCAUUUUUUUUGUUCAUUUCGCGACAUGCAUGAACUCCACAUCAAUGAGUUCACAAUUAUUUUUUUAUCACCGACAGUCCACAUGAAUAGCUUGGGCUUCUCAAACUUCUCAGUGUGGGCAUGUUAUGCAUUAUGGAAUCUCUGGUUUUAGAUUGGAAUUGGGGUGAUGUUCUUGUUCUUUUUCCAAUAAUAGUAUCACUUAGAGACCAUGGUUGUGAAGUUAAGGUUAGUGACUGAGAUGGGAGAAUGAAGAAAGAUGGCCAUGCAUAGCCAUGAAAAAGUGAGAGUCUAGCACUCACGUGUCACCCAAUAAGAAUUCUAUGAUUGGAGGCUGGUACCCUAUGGAUGAACCCAGGGCUAAGACGCAAUAUACCCAAACCAUUCUGAUAAACUUUACCAAUAUACCCCACAUCUGGAUGUGAUUAGCCAUCAUCUCCAGGAUUUCCCAAGCUUGGGUUAUACGUUCUCUAGGAAGAUGCAUGUAAUGGGUAUGAUGGACGAACGAGAUAACCCCAAAUGUUGACCAGUCCAUUCAUCAAGAAAAACAGGUUCAACAAAUAACUCAACUACCAACCAAGUGUUUGCAACAAAGGGUAAAGGCAAUGAAGAACAGAGAUUGGGAGAUUUAAAAAAAAAAAAAAAACAUCCACAUGAGGAUAGAAUGACACUCAAGCAUGAUAAGGUCAAUGAAAUUGCAGCAGGAUAACCUCCCAUAAACAAGGAUGUGACCUAUAUCAAAACAGAUUGCAUUAUCACAGAAUUAUGAAAGUAAAUUCCCAAAAAGCAAUCUCAUGGCCAACUUUCUUCUCAACUUCCUGAUGAAUUUACAUCUAAGCAACUAGCAGCUAUCCUUGGGUUUGAUUUAGCAUUAUCCGAAGAGCUUGGCACUUACCCGCUAGGUUCCUCAUCCAAGUUCCCGAAAUCAAAAGGUGGAAGUCAAAAUCAAGGGACCCAGGCCACAAGAGAAAAGGUAUCAAAACAGAGAGAUGGUGAUGAUGCUAUUACCGUUUUUUGUGAUCUCUAUCCAUUAUGUAAAGAUGGCCAAUCUCUUCUAACAAACAAAUGUGUUUCGGUAGGCUUCUUUCUUUGAUGUAAAGCAGAAACCUAGGGAUGGAGAGUAAAUAGAAUAGAAAAAAAAAACUCUAGAAAACAAGGAGAAUAUCAAGGUUAUAAGUAACAAAAAAAAACCAACAACAAAAGAAGAAACUUUUCAGAUCAAAUGUCAUUUCACAAGUAAUCCAUGUGCUUAAAGAGGUGGUAAAGGGAAAAAAAAUCUAAACAAAAUAACAAAGUAUGAUUUCCAAGGCGUAGUGCAAUUAAAAUGAAAUCAGAUCAUCCUCAUCUUAAAUCAGACAAGCAAGAGAUGGAUAAUCAACCUUCAAACUCACCAGUAACCUAACAAACGACAUCUAAACACAGUAAAUAAUGAAAGGGAAUGGUGUGAAGGGAGAGAGUUUGAAGACCAUGCCAUAAGUAAUCCAUACCCAAACCAUAACAAGAAUAAUAAAAAAAAUGAUUUUUAGCAUUAAUACACAAAUUUGGAAGGUUGAAAAGAAAUGUACAGGCAGCCAUGAGGAUCAUACCUGAAAGUCCUUUUCUGUUUCCCCAGAGACUAACGAACUCCUCUUCUCUUUAACCAAACUUGAUGACCCAAAUGAACUCUCUCUCUCUUUUCAAUGUGUGUUGAAAAAAAUAUUUCUUUUUGAAAACCUCUCUUUUUCUAUCUCUUCACCUCCUCCAAAACCCAUAUGCCUGUGUUUUUUAUAACAAUUGGUAGCCGUUCCACCUCAGGAGUCUUACUCUCUCCGAAUUCCCUGUCUCAUCCAACAGAAAAAUCUCUUUUAAAUGUCAAAAAACCAAUCCAUGCAUAUCACCUAAAGAGUCCUACAUUUUCCAAAAACUUUUCCAUUGGUAGAUUUUUCUAUAAAAACUUCAAAUUAUUAAAUUAAAUAAAUGAAUAAAAAUAAAUAAAUAAAUAAAUCGGAGAAUGAUAAAAUAAUAAUAAUAAUAAUAAAUGAACAAAUAACAAGAUAAUUAACAAAUAAAUAAAAAAUAAUAAAAUAACUAAAUAAAUAAAAGUGAUUAAUAACAAUAAAAAUAAAUAAAAAUAUAAUAAAUGAUUAAAUAAAGGUGAUUGAUAAUAAUAAUAAUAAUAAUAAUAAUAAUAAUAAAUAAAUAAAUAAAUGAGAUAAAUGAGUCAUGCAACCAUACAAGUCACACUAAGAAUGUCUAGUGGGCCAAGUGAGCCUAAGUGAAUCUAGAUGGGCCUAAGGUAUCUAAAUGGGCCUAAGGUGGUGUCUAAUGGGUCAAGUACACCUAUACGAGUCUAGGGUGAGACUAGGUGGGCCUAACUAAGUCUAACCUAAAGUGCACCUAAGUGAAGCCUAAUCUAAACUUGAAAGGCAACCAAGGUCAUAAUGUGGAACCAGAUAAACCCCUCAACCAAAGUCUCCAAAGUGGCUCAAAAAAGAUAAGUUACAUGAGUAGUAAUGAGCCAUCAAAAAAACUAUUAUGGAGCAUUGGAAGUGAACUUAAAGACAUGUGCUAAAGGGACAAAAUAAAGGGUCUACAAAUAUGCCCCUCUUUGGUAGAGAUCAUGAGUGUAGAGAAUGUGAGUUGAAAUACGAAUAAUGAGUGGAACGAAGUGAACUGUACCAAAGAAUUAAAAGGAAGAGACUAGAGAUUUUGUCUUGGCACAUGAAGAGGUAAGGUCAAAAAAUGGGGUCGCAAUGGCAUGGAUGGAACGACUCUAUGUGGAGGGAUGACAAUGAAAGGAGAAAAGUGUAUGAUGAGUAGCACAGAGAUGGAAAAUGAUGAAAAGAAUGACUCAAGGUCAUGAAUGGGAUAAAUGACUCUAGGUUAAGAACUUUGGGCCUUAUAUGCUAGGAAUGACUCUUGGUCGAAAGCUCAGGGCUUUAAAUGAUAUGGAUGACUCUGGGUCAGAAGCUAAGGGCUUCAAAUGCUGUGGAUGACUCUGGGUCAUAAAUAAGAAGAAUGACUCAGGGUCGUGAGCUCAGAGCUCUAAAUGGAUAGCUAAUCAGGAUGCUUUCCAGCGCAUGAUGUUGGGUCGAGGCUACUCACAGGUGGCUAGAAUGAUGAAAAUGAAACAUCUCAGGGAUGUGAAGGAUACAAACAACUCCGGGUCGUGAGCUCAGGGCUUGGGAUGCCAUGAAUGACUCUGGGUCAUGAUGCAAUCAGUAACUCAAGGUUACGAUGAAUAGCUCAAGGCUAUGUGAACAACUCAGGGCUAUGAUCUCCAGGUUCUAUGAUUGAUUGACUAGAAAGAGAAUGCGACAUGCAAACUCCAGGCCAAACCACUCAUGGGUGACCAAAUGAUGAAGGCUCAGCUCAGAAUUGGAAAGACUCCGGAUCUUAAGGAAAUGAUAACUCAAGGCUACAAGACUCAGGGUCUAGAAGGAAUGGAUGGCUGAAGGCUAUAAGACUUAGGGUCUAGAAGGAAUUGCUUAUUGAAGGCUAUAAGACUCAAGGUCUAGAAAGAAUGGAUUUUGAAGGCUAUAAGACUCAAGGUCCAGAAGGAAUAGAUAAACAAGACCAACUUGAAAGUGGAUAGGAAGUGAAUGGGCUCAAAGUCGUAUACUCAAAAUGCCAAGGGUCAUACUACUGAACUUAAAAAGGGAAAUAUGUUCCAAUAUCCAAGGUGUUUGCACUGCUAAAACAACCAAUAAAUCAACCAUUCACUAAAAUCAAUGGGUCAGAAACAAAUGCAUCAUGACAAACCUCUGAAAAAUCUAAACUGAAUGAACUCUCUAUGUCUCAAAAGCUGCUCUGUCAACAAAUCUCAAAAGGUAAAUCUCGGAGUGUGUAUAUCAUGGCUCAUCUAAAAGCAAAUCUCAAAGCGCACAAAAUACAACUCAUCUAGAUAAUCCAAUCCACAAGAUAACAAUGACGAAAACAAUCUAUCUCAUGAGCACCUGGCUAAAUGAUCCACUCAUGUUCCUUGGGUGAAACCUGAUGUGAUCCAUCUCUAUCUCAACAAAAUCGUGUAUGGAGGUCUUAAUAUUGUCAAUCAUUGAAAGUCCUAGAUUAGUACUCAAUCCAAAACCCAGUUGGUUGUUGUCUUAAUCCCAAGGAUACUUAAAGAAAAUGGGGAAAUAUGCCCCAAUAUAAUAUUUGAUGUUGAAGUCAUGAGGUAAACAAACAACAAUGAUCAUCCAUCUAUGUACCGUUGCCUAAACACAAUCUCAUCAAGGAGAUGAGAAUAAGCCCCAGUAUAAUAUCUAAUGUUAAAGUCAUGAGGUAAACAAACAACAAUGAUCAUCCAUCUAUGUACCGCUGCCUAAACACAAUCUCAUCAAGAAGAGGGGAAUAUGCCCUAGUAUAAUAUCUAAUGUUGAAGUCAUGAGGUAAACAACCAACAAUGAUCAUCCAUCUAUGUAUCGCUGCCCAAACACAAUCUCAUCAAGGAGAGAGGAAUAUGCCCCAGUAUAAUAUAUGAUGUCGAAGUCAUGAGGUAAACAACCAACAAUGAUCAUCCAUCUAUGUACCGUUGCCCAAACACAAUCUCAUCAAGGAGAGGGGAAUAUGCCCCAAUAUGGAUAUCAUCCAACAACAACUAGGAACCUCGGAGAAAGGUGGAAAUAUGUCCCAGUGUGGAUAUUUGAUGCACAAUCAAAAGGAUGAGUCCAACAUCAUUAAUGAACUGUCCCCAAACUCAAAAAUCCAUCAAACAUCAAUAUGCCAAGCAAGAGAGAGACCAAAUGCUUCCAAAAGUAUCUUUCAUAAGAGAAAACAUAGUAACGACUAUUCUUCAACCAAUCUGCAAAAGCCUGUUCGAGUGAAGACUGUCAAAGAUGACGUCUAAUCUCAUGGCCUCAAGGUGGUCUUAAAACACGGGACGUAACGUAGGCUAGGAUGAAAAUGUAAAGAAAUGAAAGAAAAUUAGGCUCAAAUACCCAAUGAUCAAACCCAUAGUGUACAACGCGUAAGAGUCUCAUGAGCAUGUGAACUUAAAAGGAGUCGAUGAAGAUGUUGAGAGUGAAAUGAGAAAGAAGGAGAAGUGGUUAAGCCAUCAACAAAUAAUGUAAAUGAUGUGAAGAAAUGUGUCAAAUUGGGAAGGUGUAUAGGUGUUGGAAUGGAACGAAAAUGGAAUAAAUAGUAAGAAAAAAAUGAUGGGAAAUCAAAUGAAGGUAGUGAGAAGGUAAAAAGGAAUGAUGAGCAACGCAUAUCAAUACAACAAAGGUAAAUCAUAUCACCCAUGAUGGAGUAGUAGGGAAGACACUGAUUCAGAGACCUUAGUGAAAGGUUACUCAACUCUCAUACCUGUAAAGUACAACAACUCUGAUCCAAAAAACAAAGGAUCUUACAAAACUUAAAAAUCUCAUGAAAAACUCUCAUCCAUCCAACUGUAUAACGAAAAUGACUCAACGAGCAAAAAAAGCCCUCAUGGAAAACUCGCACAAAUCCUCAAUAAUAAACCCAAUAAAGCCUCAAAUGCUCAAUGGAAUAGGAUAUCAAGUACAAACAUAUCACUGCGUCUUUUUUUUUUCAAUGCGCAUACCUUGGUCAUCAAUAAAUCAUACUCCAAUGAGAAACUACAAGGAAUGAAUAAACUCUCUCAGAUCACUAACGAACAUAUGAAACCCCAUCCCAUAAGACAACCUCUCAAGUUAAAAUCUCUUAAUCAAUGCCAAAAGAUGGAAUGAAGAGAGUGAUAUGACUAGCAUUUAUGCAUCAAUAUGUGAAGAAUCAUCAUUCCAAGGGAAAGAAAUAUGAAAUGUAGCAACCAAUGAUAAAAACUAGGAUUGAGAUGAAAAUGUGAAAAUAAUGAAAUGUAACAGAUAGGGUGGUGAGGUGAUAAUAGCAAGGAUGAGGAAGAUAAGCCUAUAAGUCCAAAGCUCAUGAGACUUUCCUAGCACAACAUAACUAUACAUCAAAGAGCCCCAACCCGGGUGUAGAGAUGAUAAGCAAGGCUAUGGGAAAAAAAAUUAUAGCAUACCAUAUGAGGCUCAAUGGGUUAGCAAUGGUCCAAUAUAUCAAUAAAGGUGAUAAGGUGUAAGGCUAACCGAAAUGAUGACCACCCAUCAUGCGACCAUAAUCUUAAAUGUAAUACUUCUUCAACUGAUUUACAUUAUUAAGCUCUGAAAAUUGGUUUCCAUCUAAGUCGGUCAACCAUGCAGCCCCUUCUGGAGUCAACUCUCGAAUAACAUAGGGCUCACUCCAACUAGGUCUAAACUUUCCUCUAGGGUCUCCAACCAAAUCUCUGAAAAUCCUAAAAACCAAAUCUCAUUUCUCUAAUGGUCUAGGCUUAACCCGUUUCCUGAAUGCACGAGCCAUCUUUCUCUGAUAGGCCUGAACAUGAUUCACUGCUCUCAAUCUCCUUUCAUCUAAAAGGUUAAGCUGAUCAAAUCGAGCCUAGGCCCACUCUAUCUCGAAAAUCUGCUGCUCAAGGGCUACUCUUAAUGAACCUAUCUCUGUCUCGAUUGGCAAAACAAUCUCCAUACCAUACACUAGAGAGUAAGGUGUAACUUCUGUAAAGAUUCGAAAAGAGGUACGGUAUGCCCACAAUGCAAAAAAGAGUUUUUUUGACCAAUUUCGAGAAGUCUCAACCAUCUUCCUCAAAAUUCCCUUCAUGUUAUUAUUUGUUGUCUCUACUGCCUCAUUAGUUUGUGGCUUGUAUGCAGAUGAUAUGUGAUGAUGGAUGUUAUACCUCUAUAACAAAGUAUCUACCUCAACUCGGAAGUGCACCCCUCUAUUUGAAAUCAACUCAUGAGGAACCUUGUAGCGGCAAAUGAUGUGUGACCUGAUGAAACUGACAACUCUAGUAGAUGUCAACCUCGCAUAUGAUGCAACCUCCACCCAUUUGGUGAAAUAAUCUAUGGCGACUAGGAUGAACUCAUGACCACUGGAAUAUUUUGUGAAAUCUUCCCAAUAAUAUCAAUACCUCACAUUGAAAAUGGCCAUGGUGAGGUCAAAACAUGUAAUUCUGAUGGCGGUGCAUGAAUGAGAUCACCAUGAAUCUGAAACUAUGGGCAUUUAUGAACAAACUGACAACAAUUUGUCUCCAUAGUCAACCAGAAAUAACUUGUCCUCAUAAUCUUACGGGCUAGCAUGUGUCCUCCAAUGUGUGACCACAAACUCCUACGUGAACCUCUCUCGUCAUAUGGUCUAUGGAAUCUCGAUCUAAACACAAUAGGAGCAUACCAUCAGUUGAAUGCCUAUAUAAGGUAUCUCUACAAAUCACAAAUCUAGUGGCCAAUUGCCUCAAUGCUCUCCGAUCCUUGGCUGUGGCUACCUUAGGGUAUGUGCCAGAUUUGAGAAACUGAUAAAUGUCAUGAUACCAAGGUAGAUCAUCCUGGACCUCUGUUUCUCCAAUCAGACAACAAUAGGCAGGCGCAGACCUCAACUCAAUCAGCAAUGGACGUACAACCACAGAGUAGCUAAGGCGUCAGUAAACCAGUUCUAUGCUUUAGGCAGAUAAACAUAUCUCAAGUCAUCAAAUCUUCCAACCAGUAACUCCAAAUAAGAGUGAUACAACCUAAGCUUUACAUCCCUAGUCUUCCAAUCUCCUUGAAUCUAUUUGAGUACCAUAUUAAAGUCACCAAAUACCUCUAUCUGUCUAAUGCCAAGCUCUAAUGCAAUCUCUAAACCAAUGAUACAAGUUUCAUACUCAACUGUAUUAUUUGUGGUAGGAUGUCGACCAGAGAAUGCCAAAUGAAUGGACCUAGGAAUAUGAUCACCCUGAGAUGAUACCAACAAAACACCUAUCCCAUUCCCUAACUGAUUGGUUGCACCAUCGAAGUACAUGCAACAUCCUGAUAAGUUAGUCAUGACAACAAACUCCUAAUCUGGAAAAUCAUCAUUAACUGGUCUAUCCUCAUAUGUCGGUAGUGAGGCUAAGUGAUCGGCGACAAUACUUCCCUUAAUGGACUUCUAAGAAACAUACUAAAUAUUGAACUUUGUAAAAAAUAUGAGCCAUCUCAUCAAUCUACCAAUCAAUACAGGUCUGUCAAAUAAGUAUCUCAACGGAUCUAGGCGGGAUAUCAAGUGCACUAAAUACUCUGUCAUGUAAUGCCUCAAUCUCCUGGUAGCCCAAACUAGAGCUAAGCAAAGACGUUCAAUCAUAACAUAUCUCAUCUCAUACUCCAGCAUCCUCUUACUCGGAUACUAAAUAGCUCGCUCCUUCCCUGAGUCAUCAAGUUGAGCUAAAACACAUUCCAAGGCCAUAUCUGAAACUGAAAAAUAUAGAAGAAGUGGACGUCCCGACAUGGGAGGCACUAAGACAAAAAGAGAAAGAAAAUACUCAUUAAUCUUCUCAAAUGCAAGUUGGCAAUCAUCAUUCCAAACUAUUGGCUGGUUUUUCCUCAAUAAACGAAAGAUGGACUCACAUAUGUCUGUCAAUCUAGCUAUCAAUUGACUGAUGUACUGUAACCUGCCCAGAAAACCCCUGAUCUCUUUCUCAGUCCUCGACACAAGCAUGUCAAGUAUAGCUUUGAUCUUAUCUGGGUCGACCUUUAUGCCCUGCUCACUAACCAUAUGCCCCAACAAUUUCCCAAAAGUCACUCUGAAAGUGCACUUUUUGGGAUUUAGCCUCAAUCUGAAUUUUUGAAUCCUCUCAAAGAAUCUCUCUAGAGCUACUAGGUGAUCUGCUCUACCUUGGGAUUUCACAAUUAUAUCAUCCAUAUGAACUUUAACAUCCCUAUGCAUCAUGUCAUGAAAUAAAGUAGUAGCAGCCCUCUAAUAAGUGGCUCCUAUAUUCUUCAACCGGAAUGGUAUAACCCUGUAACAGAAGGUACCCUACUCAGUAAUAAAGGUUGUCUUUUCCAUAUCAUCUAGAGCCAUCAAAAUAUGAUUAUACCAUGAAAAACCAUCCAUGAAAGACAACAUUGAAUGGUCUACGGUGCUAUCGACCAACAAAUCAAUAUGUGGGAGAGAAAAGUCAUAUUUAGGGUUGGCUUUAUUACGGUCUUUGAAGUCAACACUAACUCUAACUUUGCUAACCUUUUUGGGAAAAUGGACGAUGUUAGCCAACCAUUCUGGAUACUUAACCAUUGAUAUAAAUCCAACACUGAGUUGUUUCUAAAUCUACUCCUUCACCUGCAGACUUCAACGUGGGUGCAAUCGCCUCAAUUUCUGCUUAACCGGUCUGGCAUGUGGCAUGAUAGGCAAGUGGUGUUAGACUAUAGAGGGAUCGAGACCAGGCAUGUCCUCAUAAGACCAUGCAAAGACUUCCAAGUAUGACCUGAGUAAAUAAAUAAGUCUAUCACUCUCAUCUAUGGAUAGGGAUGAACCAAUCUUCAGCUCUCUAGGCUUAUCCUCUAUGCCAAAAUUAACGGUCUCAACAUCCCCUAUAGCAGGUGAAACUCUCUCAUCUAUGGGAUUAGAGUCAUGAUCAAAAGAGUCUCUAUCUUAAUCGGGUUGUGCAAUCUCAUCAUCUAUAUCAAAUAUCUGUGGAGUGGGUGAGUGGAGUGUAGAUAUAAAGCUACUAUCACCAGAGACAAACGAAUACUAAAAAAUAGUCGAAUCCAUAAAUGAUGCAAUAGAAACAUCAUCAUAGCGGAAGACAAAUCCCGAUAAAACAUCAAAGAAAAGAUGUGGGUCCACAAGGUCGGACGCUCCAUCAACUGGGCUAAUAGUGCCCUCAAACAAACUACCAUCAUCAUCUAAAAGCUCUGGAAUAGGAAUAGUCUAGGUCUCCUCAACAACCUCAGUGGUAGACACCCCAAACGCAUCAAAUGGUGAAAUAGGCUUAAGCUGAACAAUACUGGUAAUUUGACUCAUGGUCAUCAUGUCCAUCUCAUCUCGGUACUCAUCAUGGGGAACAACUCCAUCAAUCAUCUCAAUGGGAUCAACGAUCACUCCAUCGUCAGUGACCUCCUUGAUUUGUGCCCAAUUGGUAUACCAGCUAAUUCUUGUCCUCUCAAUGGUCCCCGGCAAUGGCACCAUUUGAUUUCGUGCCCAACUGGUGUAUGUUCUGUUGAUUGGGGCUCAAUCAAUUGGUGUACCUUGAUUUUGGUCCUCAGACAAGAGUAAUCAACAAAAUUUAUAACCUAUAUCACCAUGUACUAGGAUAGCCUCAGCUAGCAUAGUAUAGUGGCUCUAGGAUCGUUCACUGGGAAGGGUUUUCAAUUUACAAUUGAUAUUAAUUCAAAGUAAAAUUGGUGCUUUUUCAUUUCAAGGUUAGCUUUAAAAGAAAACAUGAACUUUGGUUUAAAAAAGAUUGGUUUUAAACUAACCAAAAAUAAUAACUGAUUUUAAUUAUAAAUAAAAAUGUUUCUUGGAGUUUUUGGAUCACUGGGGUCAGGCUCCUACUACAAAAAUAGAGUUCUGGUCACUUGAAUCUUUUCCUCGCAUUGGAGAUUUAACAUAUAGUUGUAGACCCUCAAUUUUGUCCCUUUAGCACAUGUUUUUAAAAUUCGUUUUCAAUGCUUCAAAAUAGUUCCUUGGUGGCCCAUUACUACUCGUACAACUUACCUUUUUUUGAGUCACCUUGGAGACUUUGGUUAAGGGAUUAUCUGACCCUUUAUUGUGACCCUUGGCAGCCCUAACUUAGACUUAGGCUUUUCUUGUUUUUUAGGAUAGCUUUUAGAUACACUUGGCCCAUUCGGAUAUUUUUAGUGUGACUUAUAUGACUUGCAUGUUUGCAUCGCUCGUAGGGCCCAUUUUGUUGUUAAUUUGUUUAUUUUUAUUUUAUUUUAUUUUAUUUUCCUCUUUAUAUUAUUUUCCUUAACUUAUUUAUUUAUUUAUUAUUUUUACCAUUUUCUAAUUUAUUUACCUAUUUAUCUAUUAAUGCAAUUAUUUAACUUCUAAAAUUUCAUGUUUUUGCAAGGAAACUUACUAUUGAAGUUUAAGGAAGGCGGGACUCUCCUUGGAAGGUUUGGGAGAGGAAUUUGAAAUUAUGAAGAUUGCUUUUGAAUUGGAAGAUUUAAAAAAAGGAUAAGGAGAAAAGAAGAGAGAAAAUAGGGGAUUUUUUCCUUUCGGGAACGGAUUUAGGAUUUAGGAGGUGAUAUAUAUAUGUGUGAGAGCUUUUUUGAAGGGAGGAGGAGAUUCUUUCUGGAGCAGCACGCAUUGGAGGAUUUUUUGCGGAGAAGCACAGCAGAAGCAAGAAGAAGAAAAAGGAACGAUUGCAGCCAAGACCAUCCAGGUAUGUUUUGCGACUAUUUACCUAUGCUUUAUCUUAUUCCAUUCUUGAGGAUCCUUUGACGGUUCUGGGUGUUUAUUUUGCUGAUUGGUGUGGACGGAAAGGGCCACAAAUUGCUGUGUUGAAAUUAAAUCUUUGUUUGUUUGGUAUGUUCUUCAUUCUGUUAAUGUCAUUAAUCCCAUCUGAAAAUAAAUUGCAUACAUGUCCAUCUUCGGACUGGAUGGUAGAAACCACUCCCUUUUUUUAUUCAAAUCUUAUUCUGAAUCACUCCCCUAUUAUGAGCUAAUAGAUUGAAAUGUAAAAUUGUGACUUUUGCUGGUCUUCUCCUCUUUCCAUACGUUUUGUUGUUUUCUUCUAUUUUGGCCCAUACCUCAACAAGCUCUAUUCCCGGUCUUCAAGAUUUGGUCUCUGUUUUGGAAUUAAAAAUUGAAAAAAAAAAAAAAAAGGAUACUCUUUUCCUGCAUCAAGAGCUCUCACAGAGGAUGUGUCAGAAUCUGAAAAACAAUCUGGGUCGUCUCCCUUCAGUAGCAAUUCGAAUUAGUUCUACGGAGGCUGCAUAUAAGGGCAAAAGUUGAGGAUGAGCAUUCGAGUGUGUUGAUUCUGGUGCUUGAUAUGUUGGCUAAGGCCUAUGUUAGGGUUGGUAUGUUUGAUGAAGCCAAUGAUGCUCUGUUUCAAACAAGAAGACAAGGGUUUGUUCCUCAUAUAAUGUCUUGCAAUUUUUUUUGAUGAAUCGCUUGAUUGAAUAUGGGAAGAUUGAUAUGGGGGUGACUCCAAGGUUUGGGAAGGCAGUCACAAGUUUUAGUACGGGCAUUAAACGCUCCAAAAUUCUGGAAUUGCUAUCACAACAUGGGAUCUAGAGAGGAUUGUCCAAGUGGCUUAUCGACUGUUUAUGCACCCAUUAAAUCUGGGUACUGUAAUACAGAUUUGAAGGUUCAUACGGGGAUCAGAGAUGUGGCUCCUCCGGAUCCGAAUAUUCCAAGGUUUACAUGUUUAUGUGCUCGCUAAGCUUGAUUACAAUGAUGUAAGUUUGUGGUUUGAUGUGGUGGUUAGAGAUAUGGUUUCUGGAAAUUUGAUUACUCCAGGGUAUCUACACGAAAGGAAGAGUGAGGAGCAUGGGAGUUGUUUGAAGAAAUGCCUACGAGAAGGAGCUUGAUUCCACCAUUAAGAAAAUCUAUAGUUUUAUAAGGGUAUUGUUCAGAAGCGUGCUGUUAUCACGAAACAGGGGGGAGAAAUCCAUAUAUUCGGCGAAGAGAGAAGAAACAGAGAACACGCAUUGAGAGGAGAGAGAUAGAUGGGCAGAUUCAAGUUUGGGAGCAAAUUCCUCGGUUCAAGAAAGGUGUAGUGACCGGAAACCUAGCAAUUGGAGAAGAGAUCAUGCAGCCACAAUUUCGUGAAGGCAAAAAGAUACAACAUGGGUGAGAAGCUCUAAAUUGUUCUCUGCGGAAGUACCAGCGGUUCAAGUAAAAUUAGAAAGAUAAGCAGUUCUGGGUUCCUAGCCAUCAUCUGCCCUUGCUUAUGUCUCAAUCAUACUUUAUCUCUAUGCUUUUCCACAACAUCAAAUUCUGCUGCCUUUCUUAAUGUUGGUUUGGAGUUGCUUGGGUUCAGGGAUCUGCACUUGUCCUAGAUGUUUAACUUGAGGAUAGAUAUUAUGAAGAACCUAACUUAAACAGUGGAGGAUCUUGUCAAAUGAAGGUUCCUAAUUUGCUCCCAUUUGUUUGAGGUGUCUUAAUUGAGGUUUGCUGGAAUCAGCACGUGGCCAAUUUUCAUGGCUGAUUUCCUACUGAUUUAUGGUUCAGGUUUGAAACCUGGUUUUGAUUUCAGUUGAUUAAAGCUAUUUGACAAUGACCACUGCAAACGACUUGUGGCUGUAAAGUUUGAGUUAUUUCGGUGUCCGUGUGAUGAUGUGAUUGCAGUGGAAGUGCUCAGAUCAGAGCUCAGUAGAAGAUCAUUGGCAGCUGAGCCUAAUAAGGAAUUCAAUCGGAAUGUUAACAUUGAGAUUUUCAAGAAAAGGAAGGUUCGCUGUUAAAACAGAGUGGAUAUCAGAAUGACCAAGAAUACGGAACUGAUAUUUCAGUAGGUUCUACUCGUUGCCCUCACGGACUAGUCCAGCAGUUUGCUUCCCUUGAUAACUUGAUCUAGCUGGCUAAGACUGAGAUACAAACUCCAUCUUUCCAAGGACAGAGUCUUGCAAAAGGGAAAAAGGAUUGCCCUUCGUUGUCUACAACAUUCUCAGUUGUGAGAGAGCAAAACAUGAAGUGAGAAUGGUUGUAAUGUUUGUGAAGCAAGAACUACCCAUCUCUGGACCGCAAAGGGCUCUAAGAAAUUCAAAGAGAAAAUUCAGUUACAGCAACUUCAAGGAACACUCUGGCAGUAAAGGAACUUUGCGGAAGGAAGCCCUUAAUAAGUAACCGAAUCCUAUGGUAAAGCAUGGCUUACGUCCCGGUACUUUGAAGAGCAGACUGUUUAAUAUUUUACCGAAUAAAAGAAGUAACGGUAUGAAAGUUCCAGACUUGGCAAUGUGUGUGCAGAUUUCUGAAUUGAAUCUUGAUGGUACGAUUGAGGAGCCGGAAUUUCUAAACAUAUUCUGCUCUUUGAAGUGACAUUACUUUAUAUGAAAAGAUUUCUAACUCUUCAUAUCGUCCAUGCAUUACUCCUCACACAAAUGUGGCUGCAAAUUUUCAAUCAUCAGACAUUGAUGACUCUGGGAGCAUUGACUAAGGACAGCAGAGAAUACAGCAGUAGUGAUAAUUCUGACUCUGAUUUAGGAACUUCCAAUUUAAACCAUUAUAAACAGAGAAAUGGCGUGUUGGAUAUAUAUGAAUCGAUAAGGUUUAUCCGGGAGAAGCAUGGUUGUUAGGAUUGAUGGAGGGUGAAAUUCGGAUUUAAGCAUCGAAGAGAAACCCGUAACUAGAGUAUUUCUAGAAACUUAACUGAAUAGCCCAGGUUUGGAUCCGGAGCUGGCAAUCUGAUGAUUCCAAGGAUGGGACUGUGGCACUCAUAAAGUUGUGACGAGAGUUUGUUGAAUUCAACGAGGGUGGCAAACAAAUUGAUGCUGAUGUUCAAAAGCGUAUCUCUGGUAGUCACGCUACUGCAUAUGUGACGACUUCGAUAGAGGAUAGUGAGCUGAUUAAUAAGAAAACCCUUCACCCAAAAUGUUUGGGAAACAUCCCUGCUAUUGAGAUGAGCUGAGCACCUCUCCGAGAAGUGGCUAUGUAUCAUGCUAAGUUGGCUGCCCGAAUUGAAUUAUUUUAGGAUCAGCAAAUAAAUAAAUAGAAUAAAGGCUCAAUGAAGAAACUUUUCCUCAAGAGCAUCCAGAAAUGCAGAUUAUCAAUGAUGUUGAUCGGGACAGAAAGGCUUCAUAAAUUAAUCCAGAAUUUGAAUACGUUGACGACCAUGUUGCUCUUGUAGUUUGUUUCUUUGAGAUGAAGAAGGGCCCUAAUUUCAACCUUUGGAAGCAUUUGAAGAGAACCAGAUUUAUCAAAAGAUGAUAUAGGAGGCAGACAUUGACUAAGUUCUCUGGAACACUUAGAAGUGUAAGUCAGAAUUUCAGCCUUGCUGCAAUAUAUGACGCCGACAUUGCCAACAAUUCCGCCAACCUACAGAAAAUUCCAAUGUUUGAUUUGAAUGCUGAUGAAAAACACAUUGCUUUUGUGAAGCUCUCAGAGAAGCACUGAUUAUUCCAUCUAUUGUACGUGUGUGACAUGAAGUCCAACGACAGAUUUGCUCCUCGAAGAUGCCAUGAUUGAAAUGAGGAUGAUGAUGCUUUGGCUAGUGGGAAUAUUAAAUCAUUAGAAAUCGACUAGGUAAAAGUUUGAUUGAUCUUGCUAUGUUUGAGACAACUUCCAGUGCUAACAGUAUGUAUCAGGCUGAACCUUUCUUCCUAGAGUCCAUUGGGUUGGUGGAUUUUGAAGACGAUUUUACUACUUAUAGUAAGUCGAAGCAAGUCAAAUCCAGCAGUAGUGAUGUUGGGACACAAUGCAAAUCAAUUAGUUCCUUGAAUUUAAACAGCAAAGCUGCAAUCAAAUAUCCACUCUUCCUAAUCCUUUACCAGCACCAAGCAAUUAAUGGAAUGACCAGAACGCAAAAGAUAACCCUCUCUCAGGAAAUGCAAGUCUCAAGAAAUGAGGAACUGCCGACAGAAUUGGAACACACCAGUUGACUCGCUUAGUUUGACAGAACACAUCAGCAAGUUAGCAUCUAACCAACAUGAAUAAGAAUCAGUGGGCUCACUUUACCUUGGUUGUCCUCUUGUUGAUGAUCUCCAAGUAAAUCAGAGGUAGCAAGUCCAGGUAUCAGAGAAUGGGGUAACUCAGCGAAGAGAGCAAGUGAAGAACCUACAGAUUGCCCAAUUACUCACCGAUAUGUUCCGGAUUCUCCAAUAGAAAGUGACAGAAUCAUGAAGCUGCCAGUAGGGGUUCCUGAGGGAGCUGAGAAACCUGCAGAAGAGUAUGAAAACAACAAAGAACUGAUCAUAGAGAAAGAGAGAGACGUCAGGGGGGUUUCCAGCCGUAUCCAUUGAAGUUGAAUCGGUUAAAUAAGAAUGACAUUCUGAGACAAUACUCGCUGAAAAUUCUAGAACGACAAAUUCUGAAGUGCAGACCUGCCCAUUGAUAGAAACUCCAUCUCAAAACCUUCAAACUCAUCCACUACAGACCAGAAUGUGAAAGAAAUCGUUCGAAGCCGGCAUUGGCAUUGGAUGAGCACACUCGGAGAUAAAUUUGAGAGCUGCCCAGAUGGUCUCCAAUCUUGAAGAUCUGAAAAAGAAUUUCACUUCUGAAUGGGAAAAGGGAGAAGAGAGCAUGAAGCAAACUUCGGUUUCCUUUGAGCCAGAGGAUAGAAAGGAUAAAUUCAGAUCAAGGCAAGUGUUGAAAUAGCGGGUUGAAAAUGGCAAGAAAGUGGAAGCAGUCCAGCCAGCUACAUUAGAAAGGGAAGAGGAAUUUAAGAAAAGAUAUGAAAGCUGGAACGAUCUAGAGGUCUUUGAGUUUCAUUAUGGUUCUCAUCAUCCUAGUGCUGGAAUUGCCCCAUCCUAUCUGCUGCGCCUGCCACCAUUCAGUGCAGAGAACCAAAAAUCACAGGGUGGUCAGUUUGACCAUGCUGAUCGCCUUUUCAAUCAUGGUUAAGUGCAGUUGGGAAAGGCAACACAUCAGAUGCGAAGGAAUUAAUUCCAGAAUUCUUUCAUAUGCCAGAGUUCUUGGAAAGUUGUUCCAAUCUUGACCUAGGAGAAAAACAAUCAAGGAAAAAGGUUAGUGAAGUUGUGUUACUUUCCUGGGCCAAAGGCAAUGCCAGAAAGUUUGUCAGGAAGCAUGGUCUUCAAUCUUUAGUCAGAUCAUGCACGAGUUCCUCGUAUAGCAGAAAGGAGAAGCUAAACCCUCUAAGGCGGAACCCCUCACAUGCCAGACAUACCACGAGCUUGUUGUUUUAAUUUAUGACUCAGUUGAAGUUGUUAAUCAGCUUAAACCACAAUAGCAGUGGGGGUCCUUGAGAGAUGUUGAUCCAGUGGAAUUAGAGCUAUAGUUGAAUCUGCUUGUGAGAAGCUUGUCACCUGUCAAAGUAGACCUCUAGAAUUCUAAUAAGUCUCUAUUUCCAUACCAGCGUUUCAGCCUCAAAAGUAGUCCCAAACUCCACUCCAUCACAGCAACCUUGCUAUAGGCAUCAUCUCCCCUACUUGCUUCUUUGAUUGGGAAUUUACUGUUUUAAAUUGAAUUUCAAAACCAUUGUUCAACUAAUCAUUCUCAACUUUGAAAAUUCAUCUUUAGACCUUCUCUAGGCAAUAAAAUCCAGAUUUCAACACCCUUUUGCUGCCAUUUUCCUUCUGGCAUAUAUUUUCAUCAUUUUCAACUAUUUUCAUGAUUUUCACGAUUUUCAACAAGCAUGAAUAAACUUCAUAAUUCCAAAUCAUGGAAUUUAUGGAAUCAACUCAUGCGAAAUUAAUUAGGGCUUUGGUGGGGGCCCGACAUUCAUGAUAUUCUCAUCAAUAUUGUUUACUUGAUAUGUUGAUUCUUUUUCUUCUUGAUGAUAAUCAUGAAUUCGUUUUAUAUCUAUUAUUGAGAUAUCCUUGCUUCCCAUAGAGAUGUGGAUGCUUGCUAAUCAGGUACGCCAUUUCUACCCCACAACCCUAAAAUUCUAUGAAUACGUACGAUAUCAUGAGCCAUGACCAUGUUCGAUACCAUAUUUGAUUGUCUUGAUGUUUGUUUGAUCAUCUUUGAUAAAAUACAUGUAAUGUGUCAUAUUUCCAAACUAAUCUCUUAUGUUUUAUGAUAGCGCUUGAGAAGCUGUUCAGGUACGCACUUCGACUCUCUCUUAGGGUUUGUUUUCUUGUUAGGCAUGCAAUAUUCGAAAUCACCUAGCCUACUUAGGUAUCCAUAAUUAACCGAUUAAUUGCCAUAUUCCCCUUAACUUAAUUAGUAGAGACCUCUUUAGGGCUUAGAGGGGUGCUACCUCCUAGAGGUACCUUCCCAAUAAGUAACCUGAUCCCCGGACUUAGACUCGGGUUUCUCAAAGACAUGCUUUUUCCAAAACUAUGGAGUCACUUUUUAGGGUUUUUCUUUCUUGUUUUAUUUUCCCUUUAAAAUAAAAAUAAAAUAGGUGGCGACUCCAACUUUUUUCAAAAAAUCAAAUUUUCACAAAUAAAUAAAAAGCGAGUCUCGCCGAUCGAGUGGGGACGCACGUGAAAAAUGCGGGUCCACAAUAGUUAUUUCUCGAACUGGUGUGGUACAGAUGCUUCCCUUUUAUGGAUUCAAACAAUAAAUCUCUCUCACUGAUUCAUCUUGCAAUGGCUCAUGCCUCUCACCUAACAUUUGUCAUUCAAGGUGAUCCUUAACCUUGGAUUACCCUUCAAAAGCUCGCAAGAGAUAACAAAUGGAUAUCUCCUUAGAGUCCAAAAGCUUACCAAGUGUUGGCUAUUCUAGAAAAUCCUACCUUUGAACCACCUCCCAAAGACUCGCAAGAGAUAAAUUAGUGUAUCUCAAUGGACGGAGAUCACUUGCCUUACCAAGUGUUGGCCCAGGUGAUUUAAAGGCGUUUUAAGUUAACUAAAAACAUAGAAACCAUUAACGGGUCACACUUUCUCUUCAUUAAAAGCCGAAACAACAAAACUUCCAAUUUUUGCAUUCGGCACCUUACCUAGCUUCCUUAACUCCAAGAGAUAAAAAUUCUAGCCACUCAUUCUCUGAGGAAACAUCCUCAAAGCUUGUUUUGCUAGUAAGAAAAAUACAAUCAAAAUGAGUAGGUAAGGCAGAGCAAAGCUCUGUGUAUUACUUCCUUCAAAACUAUACAAAAAGUUGGUAUCUAAGAACAAGCUCCCCAAGAUGCCUGUGUAAAGAAAAUUACAAACUAUAUAUAAGAGGUUAUUCACCCUUUGUUCUUACUUAUUAACUAAGGAAUCCUAUGAUUGGUGGAUUACAAGGAGAAAAUGGGGAUUUAAACAACAAAUAUCUGAAGUAAAAAUCUAAAAAAGUCGGUCGCAAAUAUCUGGAAGCACUCAGGUGGAUUUUGCAGCAUGCAACAUGGGCUACGAAAUUUCACAAGCUGAAAGUCUCCAUUUCGCACAAAAAGGUUGAUUUCGCAACUAGCAUAUUGUGAUUUCGCAGCUGCGAAAUUGCCUUUCAACUUGGUGCGAUUUGCUUCCAAUGGCCAUAACUUUUUCAUUUUAGCUCUAAUUUGUGCACUGUUUAAAGCGUUGGACUCCUGACUUCCCAAGCUUCGAAACGACAUAUAGUAUGCAUGAAAUGGACUCCAGGAAGUGCUCGAAAUAUGUCCAAGAAUUGCUAUCCUCUUGAAUUUCUUCAUGUUAGAUUUCUCUCUUUGUUUCUCCUCCUUGCAUUCAUGAUUUGCUUUUGGCAAAGGACUAUAAAGCUCUAAAGCUUGGAUUCUUCAUGUAAAUGAGCUUCCCUUUGCUUUGCCAAAGAUUAUAUAAAACUCUCCUCAAUCUUGGAUUGCUUUGGUGAUCAAAAAGCUAUCAAAAACACCAAGAUUAACACAAUUUGAUUAGAAAAUAUUGCAAGGGUCCUUAACAUGCCAAUUGAGUUAAAAGGUAAUAACUACUACUCAAAAGUGUUUAAAAAAGUUAAUUACAAGCUAUAAAAUAACACUUUUUGAGUAGUAAUCACUCCUCUAGGAAGCAUAGGGACAACAAACUAGCUCGAUCUGGAGAUGGAUGAGUAAUCGCCAUAGAAACAGAAGUGUCAGGAGCCCCAUCACUCAACUGUAACUAGUGAAAUAGAUACUGAAGCUCAAUCUCUCUAUCUGUAUGAACCACAUUGUCAAUCUCCUCUAGACGAGGUCAAAUCUCUGAUCAUUUGACAAAGUAGUUGGCCAAACUCAUCCUAAAAGGUCGAAUAUGAUAAUCAAAUGGUGUGUGAGACAAUCGAGCCUUCACUCUUUCCUUGUGCAGUUGCGCCAUGUAUUGGUAAUCGACUUCAGUAGGAAUGAACCCAAGUCCAAAUGUCGUAUCAUGGUCAAUAACAGUUAUAAACUCACUGGGUCCCUACUAACGUCGUCCUAACCUCAUACCAGGUAGAAAAGUCAUACCCCUCAUUAUAUCAAGAACCACUGUACUAUUGUGUUGAUCAAAUGACAAAGCUACAAAAUCUCUACAAAAAUCUUCAAUCUCAAGAGUCUGUAUCUCAUCAAAAGUAAACCCAGUUAGAAAUAGGUCAUCUUCACUGUGACUGAUUUGAAGUACUGGCUCGGAAGAGGAAAACAUAUCUCUAGUAAACUGUACCAUGAUGACCUGCCCUUCAUGAAUGAACUUCACCUUCUAAUGAAGGGAAUAAGGAAUAACUUCAGCUCUAUGUAUCCAAUGUCAACCUAAUAGCAAGUUAAAGGAUGUAGGAAUCCUUAAAACCUGGAACAAAGUAGAAAAUGUGACUGGACCAAUCAAUAAAUCAAUCACCAAGGUAUUAAUGACCUCCCUCUUAGUGCUAUCAUACGUUCUAACUAUCUGAGUAGAAGGACCAAAUUCUGAAGGUGUGAAACCAAGGGCUAUAGUAGUGGCUAAAGGGCAGACAUUCAGGGUUGAGCCAUUGUCCAACAUGAUAGAUGAAACUCUGUGGGCUGAAUAACCAACAGUGAUAUAUAGAGGGCGUAUGUGGUCUAAACCCUCAAGUGGAAAAUUGUUAUCUGAAAACACAAUGCAAGUGGCCCUAUUGGCCAUCAUCAUAUGAAUCAACCUCGCUAGAGUGGUGACAGUCUCUACCUUGAUCUAACUCAAGGCUCGAAUCAAAGCAUCUCUAUGAGUACUGGAUGAUGCUAAUAAACUCCAAAUAGAAAUACAAGUUUGGGCGCUCUGUAACUGUCUUAAAACCUCAUCAUCCUCUUUCCUAACCUCCUCACGAGGGGUUGCACCCUCAAAUGGUCUAACUGCUGGUGGUGGUGGUUGAGCUAUCCUCCCACUAUGAGUCGUAAUCUGUAUAUCUCUCCCCUCUAAAUCAUCAUCUUCUUGCCACAAAAUGAACUAGACAAAUGUAUCCUGACGUCUAAUAACCAAAUGUGUAGAAUGAGUCAAUUGGAACAGCGCGCCAUCUAGAAUCAAACUUAAUGGUGUGGAAACCUGAGGACCCAAUGAAAUCCCAUCAACCUCACUACUAUCAUACAAAACAAUCGACUCGGGUAAUCCAUCAUCCCAACUCAACAUAUGUAUAAUGUCAUCCUCUAUAAGGUCUAUGUGAUGUAUAUCUACUAGAGGUAGAGACACUGUAUGUGUAGAAUAGGCAGGAAGAAGGUUAAUGGUUACAGUUGGUUGUCCCAAGUUAACCAAACCCUGGUCUAUCAAAUCCUGAAUAGCAUGUCUCAGAGCGUUGCAGUGAUCCAUGUCAUGCCCUGGUCCCUGAUGAUAAGAACAAUGUAGGUCUAAUCUGAAAUGAGGCGGCACUGGCUGGGAUACUGGCUUUGAUGCCAAUAGAGUCAAUAAUCCACCCUUCAUGAACUUCCGAAAAGCUCGACUCAAAGGCAUACCCAACUGAGCAAACUAAUGUGAUGGCCUCUGCACAAAAGUAGUGGUCUACGGAGAUCAAGGUCGAGUGUAUGAGGCAUGAGGUCUCUCUAUGACAUGUGCAGCAAAAAUGGGUUGUGAGACUAGAUGUAGAUAAGUAAGAGUCAUGGGUCUAGAGGGAGUAGGUGGUUUAUACUACAUAUGAGGUGAUGGUAGGCAGUAGAAUCCAGAAGUCUGCCCAAUUGUCUGAUAGCAUCUAAAAGGUCUCAUCCCUAUUGAACUAAUAGCACCAACAUCUCCUAAUCUCUACCAUCCUAAAGGUUUCUUCCCCUUAGAGUUGGUAGAGGAAUACUCGAGCCAUAAACCUCUAGUUAUACCCUCCUCUAUACCAUAUAAGGCCUGUAAUAAAGAUCCAAAAUCCGUAUGAGGAAAUCUCAUCAAGUGCCUAGCAAACUUAGGUUGCAAGCUCCUCAUGAUCAUACUAAUCUGCUCAUUCUUUGAAGAACGAUCAAUAAUCUCUGAAAUCUUCUCCCUCUAGCGAGAGAUAAAAGAGGUGAUUGACUCCUUUAGCCUCUGUCUCAAAGCCUCUAACUCUCUCCUCGAAACAUCAAUGACAGUGUUAAACGCAAACUGUCUCAAAAACUCCUGGGUUAGAUCAUCCCAAGUUCGUCGGCGUGAUCCAUCCAUGAAACAAACCAACGCUGUGUUGCACCACUCAGGGAGAAAAGAAAAACCAUUUAGGCUUCAUCCAGUCCAUGGGCCCUCAUAACCAUACUGUAAAGCCUCAAAUGGAUACGAGGACAGCCUAUGCUCGUGUAUCUCUCAAUCUCAGGCAUCCUAAACUUGGCUGGUAAACUGGCCACUAGUGCUCCAUCAAAAUCCUCCCAAGUAAUAGCUCUAUCUGAAGUGCUCAUAUGUCUCAUCCUCUACUCAAGUCUAUCCAUACGAGCAUGUGGGUCCUUCUGAGAUCGGGGUAGGCAGUAUGAUAGGAGGUGGGGAAACCUCAGUCUGAUUAUGCAAAGUAAAUGGUAUAGGUUGCGAGGCUAACUAACUGGGUGGAGGGGGUAAUGGUACUAUAGGGUCGUACGGGGUACCCUCUUGAAUCCCAACCUAUUGGGUCUGCUGCCCAUCUAUCAUCUGACCAAGGUUAACUAUAGCCUCCUAGAUCGAAGCCAUGGUUGCAGCAAACUGGUCAACGGUAACUAUCUAUGAGUACAUAUCUCUUUGAUCUGAUCUCUAGUCUGAUUGGUCUGAUACUCUGGUCAAUCUACCUCCAACUCUAAUCGAUGAAAGCGAAUCCAACUUGAUUAUGGUAAACCCUCCUACAAAUAUGGAAACACUAGAUAAGGUGCAAUUUGAAGGUGACUCUGCAAGAAUGAACUGAAUAGUGCGCAGAAAUAUAGACCAAAUAUACUCAAUCUGAUAUCCAUUCCUGAUCACACCAAAAAGAGACUAUAGAGAGGUUAAUCGAACCCAAUUGUGACCUUGGCAUCUCUGAAGGUCCAUAGAUGCACCCACGUGUAGGAAUGAAAUCUUAAUUGGGUCUAAGCUAGCCUACAAGGUUGAGGUGGCUCUAUAAGAUAAAAUGGGUGGGUUAAAGGAUCCCUAACAUAAGCGAUCUGACAGUACGCAACCCUCUGCACGCCUCCAAGGAAACGGGGUGCUUCCAUGCAAGGUGGUCAUCACCUCUACACAUGCACUUCCUUGUUUUCCCAAGGGGUUUCUUAAUGGUGAAAGCUCUCUCAUAUCUCAACACUCAGGGUAUAAUCUAAAGUACGCGGUGAAGGAUGUGAGUGCAUCCGAAAAACCUAAGAUCUAAAGUGAGAUAGUAAACAAAGACAAGUAAUCAUACAAUCAUGUAGGAGCAAGAGUUGUCAUGAAACAAGCAGUCAUACCAAGAAAAUAGGCAUCAUACAAUCAAAGUCCUAUCUAUCAUAUGUGAAAAUGAAUCAUGCUAAAGUGAAUAAAGCAGUCAUGUGAUCAUGCAAGAUAAACAAGUAUAAAGAUAUGUUAAGAUAGCAAACCAAUCAAGCAAGCAAACUAAAUCACCUUGCAUAAAAAAAUGAGAUACACUCUAAUCGACCAAUUAAACGCCACAUUUUCCUCAACUAGUGUUCAAGCUUGAUCCUCAAAAUCCCUAGUGAAGUCACCAAUUUAUGGGCCCGCACGUGAAAAUUUUUCACGUGCGUCCCCACUCAAUGGCAAGACUUAUUUUUAUUGGUGAAAAAUUAGUUUUGGAAAAGUCGGAGUCAACACUUAUUUUAUUUUAUUUUGAAAAGGAAAAUAAAACAAGAAAGAAAACCCUAAAGAAACAACUCCAUAUUUUUUAGACAAGUGUGCCUUUGAAAAACCUGAGUCUAGGUCUGGGGAUCAUGUUACCUAUUAGGAAGGUACCUCUAAAAGGUACCACCCUUCUAAGCCCUACAAAGGUCUCUAUUGACUAAGUUAAGGGAAAUAAAGCAAUUAACUGGUUGAUUAUAGAUACUUAGGUAGGUUAGGUGAUUUAAAAAAAAUAGCAUGCCAAACAAGAAAAACGAAUCAUAAUCAUAAAGAAGAUUUAGGGUGUGUACCUUAACUGCUUCUCAAGUGCUAUCAUAAAACAUCAAAGUUAGUAUAGAAAUAUAGCACACAACAUGAGUUUUAUCCAAGAAAAUCAAGCAUACAUCUAAGCACCUAAGGAUCACAUCAAGCAUAAAUAAGGUUAACAACAACAUGCAUGUUCAUAGAAUUCCGAAAAAUAAGUGAUAAAGAGCAUACCUGGAUAGCAUGCAUAAUUUAUAAGAUUCCUAAAAAAAACUAGAGUGGUUAGGACAAGUACAUAUUAUAUAACAUCUUUAUUAUGUCUAAUAUACAAUACUAAAGCCAAAAUUGAGCUAAAAUUAAUCAAAUGACUCCAAAAAUAAUAACAAUUCCAAAUAAAGUAUAAAACCAUCAGCAUGCACUUAGAAAAGAAAGCAUCACAAAACAAUUUAUGAAGAAUAUCUUGGAGUGGAAUUUAACUACAAAAAAAAAAAAUUCAAGAAACAACUCCUAUACAUCUAGAACAAAAUACCAAAAACCAAGCACUCAUUUAAAUGGAAAAUUGCAGCAAAGACACCCAAAAGUUCUAGAAUGUCCAGAUUAGGUAAAAAAAUAGUGACAUGCAUAAACAAAUUUAUUAAAAAUAAUAAAAGAUCACAUAAAAUCAUAUAAAAUAAAAUAAAAUCACACGCAUCGUUCAAAAUGUCUAUAUCAUAGAAAAAAUAAAUCUAGGGUCAAGGAGUACUAAAAAUAUUUUUAAAACACUCCAACUAAUCUAAUCUCUAGAUUCCAUUAUGUACAGUACGUAUGAUUUUGAAAAAUCAUAUCUUCCUCAAAAAUGCAUAUUUUUUAAUAUUUUAUAUGUCUAAGAUCAAUUCAAGAAGUCUAGAAUUAAGAAAAAAUAUAGAAUCAAAUUUAAAAAGUCAUUUGUUAUUUUAUUUUAAAUUUAUAGGAAGAUUUCGAGUGUCUAGAAUUGGUUGAAAACAGAGCCCCCUUAAAGAAUCGUUUAUUCUUCUAUUCCAUAAUUGCUUUUUAACACAAACGAAAUUUUAAAUUUAAGUUCAAGAAAUGAGAAAAAUCAUACAAGUUUUGGAAAUUUUUUUAAAAUAUUCCAAAGUUGCUAAAACGAAUUUUAAAUCUAGAAAGCCAGCGGUUGAAUGAAAACUGGCAGCAUGGAAGGGUUUUGAAAAAUUUUCUUAUGCAGGGGUUCCAUCAAGUCCCAAAUUACUUUUGCAUGAGUUGGUUCAAUGAAUUCCAUUAUUUGGCAUUAUGAAGUUUGUUCAUGCUUGUUGAAAAUCAAAUAAAAACAAGAGAAUAGUUGAAAAUCAAAUAAAAUAGUGAGAAUGCAUGCCAUGAGGGAAAAUGACAGCAAAAGGUUUCUUGAAAUCUGAAUUUUUGAUGAAUCUAGAAACUCUUUAAGGAUGAAAUUUGAAGAAAACUAGAAUCGUUUAACAAAACAAAGAAAUAGGAGGAUGGUGUAACUGCCUUUGAGAAUGAGUGAAUGGUGCAUGUAGGUAAGGUCGUUUGUGGAGGCUGGCUGAUUCUAUAUUACGCAUGUUGCAUGCUGUAACAUGGCUUCAAAGAGGAUGCAACCCACCCUGUUUUCAAUCCUUGAUGCGGCUGUUCGUGGGGUCCAUUCAUAGAAGCAGUAGAGUUGUAAAUUCUUUUUGAGUUGUGUGCUGAAAUUGAAUUCCAAAUGCAUUUUGUCCCAUGUAGCAUUGUUGAUUGCAUGAAAGAUGAUAGCAUGUCUAUCCAUAUGCAAACUGUUAACCCUUUUAUGCAUAGACUUUCACAAAGUGCUCAGAGCAAUAAACUGCUAAUGCUAUGGGGUAUAGUCCCAUCAAUUUAAUUUCCUCAAAGGCAUCUGAAAGUGUUAUUGACCUGCAUAAAUGCACCAUUUUUUUUUCAUUUCGCGACAUGCAUGAACUCCACAUCAACGAGUUCACAAUUUUAUUUUUUUUUAUCAUCGACAAUCCACACAGAUAGCUUAGGCUUCUCAAACUCCUCAGUGUGGGCAUGUUAUGCACAAUGGAAUCUCUGGUUUUAGAUUGGAAUUGGGGUGUUGUUCCUGUUCUCUUUCCAAUAACAGUAUCACUUAGAGACCAUGGCUGUGAAGUUGAGGUUAGUGAUUGAGAUUGGAGAAUGAAGAAAGAUGGUCAUGCAUGGCAAUGAAAAAGUGAGAGUCUAGCACUCACGUGUCACCCAAUAAGAAUUCUAUGCUUAGAGAUCGGUACCUCGUGGAUGAACUUGGGGCUAAGACGCAAUAUACCUAGACCAUUCUGAAAAACAUCACAAAUAUACCCAACAUAUGGAUGUGAUUAGCCAUCAUCUCCAGGAUUUCCUAAGCUCGGGUUAUACGUUCUCUAGGAAGAUGCAUGUAAUGGGUAUGACGGACGAAAUAGAUAACCCCAAAUGUUGACCAGUCCAUUCAUCAAGAAAAACAUGUUCAACAAAUAACUCAACUACCAACCAAGUGUUUACAACAAAGGGUAAAGGCGAUGAAGAAUAGAGAUUGGGAGAUUUAAAAAAAAAAACAUCCACAUGAGGAUAGAAUGACACUCAAGCAUGAUAAGGUCAAUGAAACUGUAGCAGGAUAGCCUCCCAUAAAUGAGAAUGUGACCUAUAUCAAAACAGAUUACAUUAUCACAUAAUUACGAAAGUAAAUUCCCAAAAAGCAGUCUCAUGGAUAGCUUUCUCCUCAACUUCCUGAUGAAUUUACAUCUAAGCAAUUUACAGCUAUCCUUGGGUUCGGUUUAGCAUUAUCUGAAGAUCUUGGCACUUACCCGCUAGGUUCCUCAUCCAAGUUCCCAAAAUCAAAAUGUGGAAGUCAAAAUCAAGGGACCCAGACCACAAGAAAAAAUGUAUCAAAACAGAGAGAUGGUGAUGAUGCUAUUACCUUUUUUUUUUUUUAUCUCUAUCCAUUAUGUAAAAAUGGCCAAUCUCUUCUAACAAACAAAUGUGUUUUGGUAGGCUCCUUUCUUUGAUGUGAAGCAAAAACCCAGGGAUGGAGAGUAAAUAGAACAGGAAAAAAAAAACUCUAGAAAACAAGGAGAAGAUCAAGGUUGUAAUUAACAAAACAAACAAAAGAAGAAAAUUUUAAUAUCAAAUGCCAUUUCACGAGUAAUCCAUAUGCUUAAAGGGGUGGUAGAGGGAAAUAAAAGAAAAAAAAUCUAAACAAAAUAACAAAAGUAUGAUUUCUAAGGCGUAGUGCAAUUAAAAUGAAAUCAGAUCAUCCUCAUACUAAAUAUAACGAGCAAGAGAUGGAUAAUCAACAUUCAAAAUCACCAGUAACCUAACAAACGACAUCCAAACACAGUAAAGAAUGAAAGGGAAUGGUGUAGAAGGGAGAGAGUUUGAAAACCAUGCAACAAGUAAUCCAUACCCAAACCAUAACAAGAAUUUAAAAAAAAAAUGAUCUUUAGCAUUAAUACACAAAUCCGGAGGGUUGAAAAGAAAUGUAUAGGCAGCCAUGAGGAUCAUACCUAAAAGUCAUUUUCUGUUUCCCCAAAGACUAACAAACUCCUCUUCUCUUUGACCAAACCUGAUAACCCAGAUGAACUCCCUCUCUCUUUCCAAUGUGUGUUGAAAAAAAUCUUUUUUUUUUUUAAACCUCUUUUUCUAUCUCUUCGCCUCCUCCAAAACCCAUUUACAUGUUCUUUUUAUAACAAUUGGCAGUUGUUCUACGUCAGGAGUCUUCCUCUCUCCAAAUUCCCUGUCUCAUCUACCAGAAAAAUCUCUUUUAAAUUUCAAAAAACCAAUCCAUGCAUAUCACCUAAAGAGUCCUACCUUUUCCAAAAACUUCUCAAUUGGUAGAUUUUUCUAUAAAAACUUCAAAUUAUAAAAUUAAAUAAUUGAAUAAAUAAAUAAAUAGAAGAAUGAUAAAAUAAUAAUAAUAAAUGAACAAAUAACACGAUAAUAAACAAACAAAUAAAUAAUAAUAAAAUAACUAAAUAAAUAAAAGUGAUUGAUAACAAUAUAAAUAAAUAAAAAUAUAAUAAAUGAUUAAAUAAAGAUGAUUGAUAAUAAUAAUAAUAAAAAAUAUAAAUAAAUAAAUAAGUAAAUGAAAUAAAUGAGUCAUGCAACCAUACAAGUCACGCUAAGAAUGUCUAAUGGUCCAAGUGUGCCUAAGUGGGCCUAAGUGAACCUAUAUGGGCCUAAGGUAUCUAAAUGGGCCUAAGGUGGUGCCUAAUAGGCCGAGUAUACCUAUACGGGCCUAGGGUGAGACUGGGUGAGCCUAACUAAGUUUAACCUAAAGUGGACCUAAGUGAAGUCUAAUCUAAACUUGAAGGGCAACUAAGGUCAUAAUGUGGAGCCGAAUAAACCCCUCAACCAAAGUCUCCAAAGUGGCUCAGAAAAGAUAAACUAUAUGAGUAGUAAUGGGUAAAAAAAAAAACUACUGUGGAGCAUUGGAAGUGAACUUAAAGACAUGUGCUAAAAGAACAAAAUAGAGGGUUUGCAAAAAGACUUGGAAGGAAUAGUGACAAAAUAGUACAUAGUUCAUAGUUUAAAAGAUAUAUAAACUUUAGAAGACAUUUUCAUUUUGGGUGAAGACUUUGAAACCUAAAUGAAAACAGCUUUGUCAUGAAAGGUUGAAAGAAAAUUUUUUACAAAGUCAAGAAGAAAAAUUAGUGCAUGUUUGGUUGUUGUUUUUAAAAACUAUUCUGAAAAAUUUGUUUUUAAGAAUAAUUUUUGGGGUUUUCGGAAAAAAUAAAAAUGUUUGAUUGAGUUAAUAAAAAAAGUUUUUUAUACUAAGUAAAAAACAUGUUAGAAAGUUUUUUUUUCACUCCAUUUCCCCUCUCUUUCCUCUACAUUUUCCUCAUAUUCCCUUCAUCUAAACAUCGUUUUCUUUUUCUCAUCCCAUUUAAUUAAAUAUUUAUUUCCUUGUUUUCUUCUUUCUCCUCUCUCAUUCUAGUCCACAGUUACUACCGACACCCCCUACCAUCCAACAACGUCGUCAUCUCCGGAAACUACAACAUUUUCCUUCCUCUUCCAUACCCACAGCCCGUCACACCAUUUAUCCAUUUUUUUUCUCUACAUUUUCCUCAUUUUCUCCAUCCAAACAUCAUUUUCUUUUUCUCAUCCUAAUUUAAAUAAAUAUUUCUCUUUUUUUUUUCUUUUUUCUCCUCUCCCAUUCUAGUCCACGGUUAUCAUCUACACCCCCUACUAUCCAAAAUGCUAUCAUUGCUGCCAUUUUCGAAAACACAAAAAACAUGAAAAGAAAACACGAAGAGCAAGUGUUCUCUUAACAAUGAAAAAAACAACCAAAACACCUUUUUUUGUUUUCUAAAAAGAAACCUUUUGAGAACACGGAAAACACAAAAAACAAAAAUCAUCCAUUUUCCCAAACACGUUUUCACUAUUUUUGGUUUUCAAGAGCAAAAAACAGUUCUUGAAAACAGUAACCAAACAAGCUUAACAUCUAAUAACUCAACAAGCUAAAAAAAAAAUUGCCUCCAUUGUUUAUUCAUUAUUAAAAGGUCAAAUGAAUAUUGAAAUUCAUUAACAAAUUUUCAUCUUAGAUAUUUUGACUUGGCUAUGGUAGAUAAUCUUCAUGUGAUAUCCAAGUGUAACAUCAAACUAAGAAAUGCAAGAGAACAAUUUUAUCUAAUAUAAAAAAUAAAUUAAAAAAAAAAACAAAAGGAUGUACAAUAAGUUAUUAAAUCAAAAGUUAGUUGAAAACGAUAUUUGUACUAACAAAUUUAGUAUUGUCACAAACUAUUUUUUGUCUAACUCCAAAGAGUGGUCAUACUACCAAUAAUAAAAAAGAGAAAAAGAAUAGUUAACAUCAACUAGUAAAACAAAUAGAAAAAUCUUACAUAAAAUAAGGGAUUGAAGUUGAUCUUUUCUAUGAACUAUUGACAAUAGAUCUAGAGCAUGUUUAUUUAGAAAAAUUGAAAAUAAAUGUAAGGCUUUGACCAUUCCAUUGGAAAAUGUAAGUAGGAAAAUAUGUAAGCAAUUGUCAUGGUACAAGUGACAAGGCUACAUGAAUAUUUGCAAAAAAUAAUCUCCAAAUAUAAAUCAAUUAUGGAUAAACUCAAAAAAAAUAAACACAUGAAAGGAGUGUGGGUAUACCAAACUAGUCAAAGAUGGUUGUUAGUGUUAGCCCAAGGGUUCUCCUAACCAGGUUUUGAUGAUAACAAACCAUGGUUAAGUAACUAAUUGGUUUAAUGUUUAAGAAUCUCAGGUAUAAACUCGAAAAUUCAUCAAAUGACCAAAUGGAUACAAGAUCGAGACGCUUGGAAGACUUGAGAUCAUAGGAAACUAAUGUAAGAUGAAUGCAUGAGUGCACUUAGGAUUUUCAUAUGUUUUCAUGCAUCUUAGAAAACUCGGUUUAUUCCUUAAAACGUCGACUUCAUUAAAACCCGAGUCUUUAACUAAUUUACCUUAGGCAAAAUGUUUCAAAAUUGGCUUGAUAAUUUACCUAAAGACCUUGCCUAAGUGUUAGAAAAGAAAGGAAUAAAAAAAAAAUAGGUUUUUCGGGGCCAAAAAGGCUCAACCGGUCGAGGCUAAGGCCAACCGGUCAACCGGUUGAGGAACCGGUCUACCGGCUGAGGUCGUCCGGUCGAGGAAGGUUAAAAACCUUCUCUCUCUCCCAGUAGCCUUCUCUUCCCGGUCGAGGUGAUUCCUUUACCAGUCGAGGUCCGAUCGAGGCAACGGUAACCUGUCAUGCAUUAAAUGCUCCAACAGCUAGUGAACCGAUCGACCCUUUGCUCGUCCGGUCGAGGCUACUUUCUGCUGUUUUUGUCUCCCGAGCUUAGAAACUUAUAAAUAGAGAGCUCCACUUCAUUUAUGACUAAGAGAACUUUUACAAUCAAUUGUCUACCUACCUGUUUUUUAUCAAAAAGCUCUCAUUUCUUUCUUAGUGCAUUAAACCAUCACUUGCAUAUUCUUAGUGCACUCUUGUAAAUCAUCCUAGCUUUCUCUUGUACUUGAGCCAUCCUUAAGCUAGGUUGAGAGUUUCAUCUUUGUGUAAAUUGAGUGUGAAAGCCUUCAAGUGGUUCAAAUCUUGAAGAGAUUGUGUAAAAGCCCAUUGGAGCCGGAAUCCAAGUGUAAGAAGAUUGAAAGCUUGAUUGAAGCUUCAAGUUAGUGGAACCCUCACUCGGUUAGGAGAUUGAGGAGAGUGGACGUAGGCAAGGGAGUGUUGAACCACUAUAAACCCGAGUUUGAAUUCUCUAACUUUAUCUCUUUCCUUUAUUUAUUUUGUGCAUAUAUUAUUGUGUGGAAAAAGAUUUUGAAAAACCCAAUUCACCCCCCCCCCCUCCCUUUUGGGUAUUUUCCUUAAUUAUUCAUAGCCUUUGUUUUAUCAGUUAGAUAUGGUAGAGAGAUGAACUAUACCCAAAAAUGGUUGAUUGAUGGCAGAGUGAAGGUUUUAGAGUGAAUGUGGUGAUGACUAUGAGCUCCAAAAAUGGUUGAUUAAUGGUAGUGUGUGGGUUUGAGAAUGAGUAGAAGGGAGAUAAGUUACUUUUGGUGGAUUUGAGAAUGACAUAACAAAAGGGAGAUAUUAUGGAUUUGUAAGAUUUUGGGAUUUUUUUUUAGGAAGUGGAAAGGUUAGGGCUUCAAAAGAUGUAAAGAUUUUGAGAAUGAGAUGAAGAAGAUGAGAGGUUAAGUUUUCGUUAGAUUUUUGGGAGUGUUUUUUCUCUUUUCUUUAUUCACAUAUGGGAAACUUAACUGGUAAGGUAGAUGACAUUUUUAGAAUCCAAAUACAAAUAAGCUAAAAGUGCAUGAAGUUCCAAAUAUUUUACAAUUACAUUGUAAACAUAGAAAUACACAAAUAUGGAUUCCCAUUUUUUUUAAAUAUUUUCAUGUCAUCAUAUGGAAACAUACGUUUCCCUAUUAUUUUUAGCAAAGAUAGAUCCUCCUAUUGUGUGUUCAACUAACAUGUCUUAACUUUCAAAGAGUCUAUGUCAAGUUCCACUUAAGAAACUACUAUGACCAUAGUUUUCAUUAACACACCUCAUUAGGAUCACCCAAUGGGACACUCUGUCUCAAUCCCAUCAGAUAUCAUGGUGUAUCUAUUGAGAAUACCUAUUGCUAUUGGUUUUCAUCAACAAUAACCCGAUCCAUAGAAAAUAUAUGAUCAGCUUACAAUUUCACUUAUAGAUCAAAGUCACUAGUAACUUUAGCACAAGUUCAAUAUUCUUUCAAGGUUAAAAAACAACAUAAUAAAACAAUUUGGUGAGAUCAUGACAUGACUACUUGAUAGCCUUCAGUCAUGACUCACCGUAGGUCCUGUCCAAUGUGUAACCACAUACACCAAUGUACUCACCAUGGGAAAUUCAUCCCUCCAAUUAGGAGGUGGAACACUAUAUCCUCUAAUGAGUUGCCUAAACGCACGAAUCAGUUGUGAACAAGUCAUCGAUUUGUAAAAAAAACCCAUGAAUUUGAUCUUUCAUGCAAUUCCUAAAGUACCCAAAUCAUAUACAAUGUAAAAUAUGCAAAUAAAAAUGCUCAUAAAGUGUAAUGCAUGGAAAAAUGAUAGAUAAAAGUGAAAUUGUAAUACCCCACAUCAAAUAAGGGAAAAGGUUCUUAACCAAUAUAAGUAUAUACUCUUCUUAAUUUUAUAAACACGUUUUAAAGUUAUGAUAACCUAUUAGGCUUAAAACAUAAAAUAUCUAUACAAUUGGAAGCAAAUUGUUACAAAUGAUAUCUAACUUAAUCCUCAAUGCUAAUGUGGACCUAAGUUUUUUUGGUCUCGUAAGGGGUGUCUGUCUACUUGGCCUCACAUAAUCCUAUGGGACAUAAUGAGGAUGUUGUGUUUGCCAAGGGGGUGAUUCUAAUAUCCUACAUCGAAUAUGGUAAAAAGUUCAAAGAGUUAUACAUGUAUGAGUUCUUCUUAACUAUGUAGACACAUUUUAAAGUUAUAAGGAUCUAUUAGGCUUAGAGUGGGUAAAAAGUUCCUAGAGUUAUACAUGUAUGAGCUCUUAUUAACUAUGUAGACACAUUUUAAAGUUAUAAGGACCCAUUAAGCUUAGAGUGGACAAUAUCUACGUAGUUGAGAAUGGACUGUUACACCAGAUAUCCCCACUACAAUCAAGCUUUGAUACCUUUUAUAGGAAUCAAAUUAUGAUUGUUGAAGAAUAUUUCCAUGAGAUGGGAAUAGUGAUUAUGAUGAGCAAAACAACCAUAUUCACCUAUAGUGGUUCAAGAGUCUUCCACAUCAAUGAGAACCUAGUAAGAAAUGAUAACAAGAAUUGAAUAAUAUCUAAGUGAGAUAAAAUCAAUAUAAUAUGGAAAACCCUCCUAAAGAAAGUAGAAAAAAAAAUCAUAAAGAAGAUUUCUUCCAUUUUAAUAAAAAAAAAAUGGAAUAUAAAUCUUUACUAGUUUCCACACAAUGAAGACUGAUAGAAAUACAUCAAUACUUGAGAUGGGAAAUUCAUCAUCUCAAAAAUAUAAAAAAAAAAAAAAAAAAACGAGAAAAGCAUGGAGAGAUAAUACCAUAAGAGAUUUCACAAAAUAUUGAAAAAAAGAACCUCCAUAUGCAAAGUUGGAAGAAUUGGCCACAAAAGUUUUACAUUCAAACCUUGAUUUACAAGGCUCAUCAUGACCAUAAAUCUUUAUUGUGAUAAAAUAUUAAAGUCUAAAUAUGUGAUAACUUUGCCUAUGAAACACUAGAAAUUAGGAUUAUCAUGGUUGGUAGUAUCCGAGAUGUCGUCCUUUAAGAUUAGCAUUAAUGUGUUUAAAUAUUCAAGUUAAAAAAAAUAAUUAUUUUCUUAAAUUAAAGAAAACUCUAAUGUAAAAUAAAUAAAAGUAAAAAAGAUGAAUAAACAUUUUCUAAAAUAUAUAAUGAAAUAAACUAAAAAGAAAAAUAGAAAACCUUCAAAAAGUUUUACAAUCCAAUGUUUGAUCCUUAACGAGAGAAAUUAUUAUAAAAUCUAAGUCUAUAAUCAAAACCUAUCUAAGAUCAAAUUGAAUCUUAAUACUAAUUCUCAUAUAAAACAUUGUUUUUAACUUUAGAAAUUAGAUUUCUUAAACCUAUUAAUUAUAUUGGUUAAUUUAGUAUUCAAUUUUAAGCAUUCACAACAUGUGGGGACCCCCUCCACAUGUCCCAUUGUGGGAAACGCCCUCCACGUGUCCCUUUUUCGAUCUGGAUACCGUGACUGACUGUCGCCAGUGUGCAAUCCAUCUAUAUCAUUCCAUCCAGACUGCUACCAGUUCCAUCUAGCAUCCGACAUAAUGAAGCCCUUUUCCCACAGGACUAGGCAGCAUAAGGAGACCAAACUCCUAAAACAAUCAGGAUCGUCCGGUCAAGAUUCCCAAACCCACUAGCAUGCAUAAUCAUCCACGCCUGACAUGGGAAUGGCUAAUGGGAUCUCUUCUAACCCUCAAGUCCAUGUCAAUUAAUUGCUACACAUAACCCCAAACCAUCAACAAGUUGAUGGGAUAGGUGGCUAAACGAUCAAACAUCAUGGCACAUCAGUUAGCAGCACCUGCUAGCCGCCCAAAACUAUGAUGAUUGCCCUACCACCUGCAAGACAAUCAUUAUUAUAGAGAAGGUCAAAGUGCUUAGUCAAUACUACAGUGGCAUUCUUUUCAAACACUAUAAAAACCCUCCAAAAAUACAAACAAGGUACGCACGCGCACACAUAUUGGCAUAUUCACUCUCUCCCUUGAGGAGUUCAAACUAUCUCUGUCUAACUUAAGCUUCGGAGGAGCGUGCCCGGACCACCUGUUCGGACAUCCUUUGUACAGGUAGAAAGUUCAUCCAGUCUCAACACUGCUUGGCAGAAGCUCUGAGAGGCACAACGCACGGAGGAAGGUUGUCUAACCUCUAUUCACUUAGAUGGAUCUAACUCCAGUUGGCACGAAACCAACACAACCCAUAUCCAUCUUACAAAUUUGGUUGUUAGAUUCAAUAACAAAAUAUUAAAUCAAGUUAACUAGUGAUCAAAGUAUUCCUAAGAAUCACUAAUACUUCAAUAAACAUCCUUUGUACCUUAUCUAUAUGAAACUUGGAGAAAGAAUCUCUUCCUACAUAUUCAAAUAUAAAAAUACAAUCAAACCAUUCACACAUUACUGAACUAUAUCUUGAGGAUUUUUCACCUUCAUGUUAACAUCUUCGAAUCAUAUCAAAUUAGCCAAAAAUGAUGAAGGACUUUCCAAUAAAAUAGAAAAUAAGAGAAAAGUAAAACUUUAUUGAAGAAAGAAUUAAAAACAUGAGUUUCAUAAUCUAUCCUUAUGAACUCUACUUUAAAUCUUAAAAUUAAUUGAGUUUAUAUAGUAAAAGCAAAAUCCUAACACAUGGCACACUCUAAUUGGAUACCUUGAUCAAAAUUACAUCAUAAUUGUCUCAAAAGUCAUGAAAUUACAAGUUCCAAAUCAUCUAAAGGCAUUUCAAAUUGAAUAGCCAAUGUAGAAGAUCAUUUUGAAAUGGAAAAAAGCUUGAUCUCCACAUAAUUGCCCUUAAAUUUGAAAUUUUAAAGUGAAUUUGAAAUCAUCCCGAAUUGGUAAAUUUCAUAUGGAACUCAACCCCAAUGAAUUCAAAACAAGCAUGACUAUUUUGAAUUGAGCUUCUAUUUUUCUUUCCCCUAACUUGCUAAAUUCGAAAUGAGUAAGUCAUUUCGAAUUUAUGCUUUGAUGUGAGUAUUUCUACCUUCCAAACUCCAUUUUGCAUCUUUCUUCCCUUCCUUGGCUUGUCUUGGCCUUUAAUAUACCUCCAAACAUGAUUGAACAUCUCUCCAUGCCCUCCAUAGCAUGUUUUGCUCAUCUCUCUUGCUUGUUCCUUGUUCUAUGCCUUCACCUCUAUUCUUAUCAUCCUCAAUAAGCCUCAAACCUCUCUUUGAAACAUGAUUAAACCCUCAUCUACCUUAGUUGAUGAAAUUACCCUCAUUGAAUCGCUUUCUAACUCUUCUAUUUUGCAUUUUAGCUUAAAAUAAACGUUAGAUCCACAACUAGAAUACUGGUAUAAAUUGAAGCUAAGUUGGAUUAUUUGAGCUUUAAGCACCAUAUAAAUAUGCAUUUAUAUACCUUUAAAGUAUCUAUGUUUGGACUACAAUCAAAGCCCUAUAACAAUACCCAGAGAAACAACCAUUAUUUUCCUUAUUUUUCUCUCUUUCAUGGUUUACCAAUUUUAUUUUUUCAACGUCUCCAAAAGAAACCUCAAAUACUAUUUAUAUUUAGGCUUAGAAACGCCCACAAAGAACAAACCAACAUUUAGGCUUAAAGACUCUUGAUGGGUUAGUCCAAUAAAGAUCAUAUAAGUUAAUAGCCACAAAUAAUUGAUCUUCCAAUGCUUGCUUCUUGUUGUUUAAUAUAAUGAUUAAAUAAAUAUGGCAUCUUUUGCUCAUCCUAUACAAUGAUUAAACAAAGCAUCUUUGGCUCACCCAAAAAGAAUAUUUGUACAAUGAUCAAUAAGUUAAAUUAGGUUCUAAUAAAAAAAAUUAAACUCGAUUAAUUAAAUGAUAGAAAAUUAUGCUAACAAUUAACUAGCAUUUGAAUUUGAAUUAAUGGAUUUUCAUUCCAUUAAAAGAUACAAUAUGUAGUUGGCCCUUGAGUACUUUAAUCCUCACUCCCCACUCUGCACAUGGUGCACAUGCAUAAUUAGAGUCUUAAUUAAUUAAACUAACUAAUAAUCAAUAUAAUUAUUAAAAUAAUCCAUGAACACAAACCGAUUAGUUAAGUAUCGAGAUGUUCGGUAUGAUCUCAAUUACAUCACUUGUGAUUUCAUUUGCACCUAAUCAUAUGAAAAAUAAUUCCAAGUCCUCUUAUAUUCUAAUUUUAAUUUUUUUUAAUAAAUAUAUACACCAUCAUUAGUCAUAUGUUUGUAAUUAAUUAAAACUAAUGUUUUCAUAACAAAAGCAUAUACCAAGGGGACUCUUAUUAAAAAUGUUAUUUAAUUUAAAUACGUAAAAUAAAAGUAUGAUUUGAGUAUAAAAAUAUGAUCAAAUACAUGAUAAAUAUGUAAAAGAAAAGUUGAUAAAUGAUAUAAAAAAUACGACUAUCGUGAUGUAAAAAUUGUAAUUAAACAUGAUUAAAAAUGCAAAAAAGAUAAUUGUUAAGAUGUUUUAUAUAUUAAAACCCAUUAAUCCAAUAGGUAAACCUAAAAAUUGGUUGAAAAUCUUUAUAGAUUAUGAUGUAAAUUCUGAAUUUUGAAUUAAAAUGGUCUGUUAGACCAUAAAAAUAUACAUUUUAAACCUUAUAUUCAAUGUGACCUCUUUCCAAACACAUAAUUGUCAUAUCAUCCUCCCACAAAAAUGAAGUCAAAGUUGAUAAUCGAUUAAACCUUAUAUUCAAUGUGACCUCUUUCCAAUCACAUAAUUGUCAUAUCAUCCUCUCACAAAAAUGAAGUCAAAGUUGAUAAUCGAUGCUUCAUUUUUUAAUUAAAGCGUCAAUUGAUAAUUAAGGUUUUAAGUUAAAAAAUAAAAUCGCUAUUGACAAAUGAAACUUGAUUUUUUUAACUGAAAUUUCAAUUGGCAAUUGAGAUUUUAAUUUUAAUUUUUAAUUUUUUUUUUUUAAUGAUAUAACUCCUAGGUGGUAACAAAAUGAUCAUUUUGAAUAUAAAUUUUAAAAAAUUUCCCAAGGGCUAUUUUGGUCCAAAACUCACAAAUUCUCAUACUUGAAACUCAAAAACUACGUGAGCAAUGACACAAGCAAACUUCCUUUGGAACAACACAAAGUGGAACCUUUAAAUUAUUAGAGAAAGUCCUCCUUUAUUUUACCAAUGAUUUCCCACUAUAAUCUUAAUUAAUUACUUCAAAGGUAUGUUUUUCUUCCAAUGCGGUUUGCCACGUGGAUGCUUCACUCUAUUCCAAGUGUCAACCACUCCCGACGUGAGACAACCUCGAUCACAUGCUUCACGUGACUAUCUCAUUAUUCAGAUAAAAUCUGUUUUUUAAGGGUAUCAUUAUCUAUACAACACAAAGCCCAAUAAUGGCUGUCACCCAAUAACAUCUCGCCACGAUGGCAAAUUUUUUAUUUUUUGGUGUCAGCUUUUAGCAUCAAACGCAGCAGCUGAGACCUCCCAAACCUUAAUCUCGCCAUCUAGGCUUCCGCUACAAAUCGAUACGACGUCGUACGAGGUGCCACUGGAAACUGCCACCAACGACUUCACCGGCUUUACAUGUCCCUCCAACAUUAGUGUACAGUGAUAUCUUCCAUCCACCCCAGGGCGCCAAAUCCUGACCGUCCGAUCAGAGGACCCACUGAUUAUCAUGUUGUUGACGGUGAUUAAGCAUAGUACGGGUCCAGUGUGGCCCACCAGGGCUUGUGUCGCGGCCAUGUGAUUGGCGCUCUCUUCCCUCUCCCAGACCAAGAUCCAACUCUCACAACCGCCGGAGAACAGUGAGGAUCCAUCCCCGCUCAAUGCGAGCGCAUUCACCGUAGACUUGUGCUUCUCUAGGGUGGUUAUCAGCGUGUGGGUUCUCUCUUCUCCGGUUCUUUCCCAAACCCUGAUGCACCCGUCUGCGGAGGCAGUAUAGACGGUGCCAGAGGCGGAGACGGCGACGGCGUUGACAGCGUCGUCGUGGGCUUUGACAGACUCGACGCAGCGGAGGUCCGAUGUUCUCCAUAUCUUGAAGCUCUUGUCCCACGAAGCUGAGUACAUGAAACCCUCGGCCAUGGCCAGGCCCGAAACGGCGUCGUUGUGCUCGAUCCAGAGCCGCUUCUUGUGCCGCCGGACCCGGACGUAGUUCUUCGGGAGGAUGGAGCGGCGCAAGAAGUCUUUAACGGUGGGGAGAGUAGAGAUAAGGCGGUGGCGUUUGGAGGCCGUGAUCCGCCACACUCUAAUCUUGGAAUCCUGAUGAGCGGUGAAGAUCUUUCCUUCGUGGAAUGCGAUGGACUUGACUGAACCAGAAGUGGGCUUGUUGUUUCUGAAAGUGUCGAUGUGGGUGUGGGUAGUUAAAUCGUAGACGUGGAUAUCUUCGCCGGAGGCAGCAUAGAGGAACUUUUCAUGGACGGCGAGGCAGCUGAUAUGAGGGGUCAAGGUUCUGAGGGAGGAGACGCAGAGGUGAGAAACGACUACGUUUCGGGAUUCGGGAGAGCGACUUUGUAGACUAGCAGUGAAGCUUGUAGUUUCCUGUGAGAGUGUGGAGGUAGAAGGGGUUUCAGAGUUAAUACUUGUGUCGGAAGUGGGGAGUAUCUGCUCCGGUAAAGUAGAAUCGGCAGUUGCGAGCAAUGAUGGGUCCUCCAUAGCUCUGGCAGAUAGAGAGAACCAGGGGCUGUUUGCAUGAGAAAUAUGAAUGGAAUUGUAGAUAAUUUAUAAUACAAGGCAGCUUCUAUGGAAGUUUGAAAUUGGCCUGUUUGGUGAUAGUUCUAAAUUUCUUGAAAGCCCUUGUUUGGUUACACACUUAACUCUCCAAAUGUAAAUGGGCCAAAAUAUUUUCUUAUUUUUUAUUUUAAUACAAAAAAUCAAAUCUAAGUAAAUUAGUUUUUAUAUAAAAUUUUAAAACAAGUCAAAUAAAAUUGAAAUGUUCUAAUUUUUUUUUACUUUCAUUAUUUCUCGUUUUCCCUUAAUUUUUUUUGCUAACCAAACAUAAUAAACGGUGAUGAAGUUAACAAAUGGCUCGAGGGGGGUAACAUGUAACUUUUUAUUUUACGGGUAAAAGUUAAAUAAAAAGCAUUUAUACUUGCAUGAUAACAAAGAAAUUUCUCUUCUUUUUACAAGAAAAGAUUUAAAUCCCCUUACAUGUACCGAAUUCGUCUCAUUGAUGGUUACAAAUUAUUCAUAAAAUCACUAUUAAACAUAAAAAAUUAUGAAUAUUUCCUAAAAUUACUAUUAAACACAUUUUAAAAAUAAUUCUAUAUUUAAUUUUAAUCAUAAAAUAAAUUUUAAACAUGUCACUAUCUCGACCCACCAACCAUUUCAUAAUGGGCCAUUAUUGAACUUGAAUAAGCCCAAUUCAUUUCUCUCCCUACACCUACCUCCCCAUAAAAUAUAAAAUUAAAAAAAAAAAGCAACCUAGUUUAGAAAAGGAGACACAAAUACCAUGGUAUGAUAUAUUUGGGGUAAUAAACAAGAUAAAGUGAAUAAAUAGUAAAUACAAUGGAUUUAAUUAAUAAGGAAGGGUCUAAAGGUGUUCCCUCACAUGUGAUUAGGUUCCAUUAAUGUGGAGACGUGUCACCCUAUGGGUAACCCCUUUUGUAGAGAAACUUUGGUUAGAGACAUUUGUGGAAAAGGUAGGCCAUUUUUUAAGUGUAGAAGGCACAUGUUUUUUGACUAGUAAUUUCAGAUUCACUUGGCCCCUUAUGAUUACAAAUCAUGUGAUGUGCCACUAAUAUAAUAAGCUGAUUUACAUUAAAUUAAAAUAAAUUAAAGUUGCCUUUGCUUCCACUUCUUGGGCAAUAAUUUUGGUUGGGGUUUUCAAUCUUGUUUUAGGUCAGCAAAUUCACUACAAAAUGCUAAACUUUUCUUCUUCUGCCCUUUGUUAACUAAUGCUGAAAAUUGAUUUCCUUGGGGUUUUAAUAUUUGGAUCAUAAAAAGUUUUUUUUUUUAAAAAAAAAAAAUCAUGUGAUAUAAAAAAAAACAUAAAAAAAUAUGGACAUAUUUGGUAAUUACUUUUAAAAAUAAUUUUGAAAACUAGUUUUUUAGAACAAUUUUCUAAUUUUUGUAAAACAAAAGUCUAUUUUAAAACCUAAAAUAUUUUAAAUAUUUUUAAAUAUGUUUUUAAAAAUAAUUUUUAUAUAUAGUAUUUUAUUUUAAUCAUUUUACAUAUUUAUAUAACUAUUUCUUAAAACAACCCUUACAAAAACAAGUAAAAACAUCAUAAAAUAAUUAAAAGAUGUUUUCUAUUCUUAAGAAUAUAAAAUUAAAAACAGUUUUUUUUUUUUUUUUUUUUGUUAAACAAGUUUUUUGUAUUUUUUGGUCUAGAGAAUAGAAAACUAUUUUAAAAAAUAGUUUCAAAACAAACACCAAAGGUUUUCAAAUAAUAUCUUUUACUUAUUUUUAUUUUAAAAGAUUAUUUUUAAAAAUAAUUAUAUAAAGACAAAGAUUAAUUAAAAAUAAAACAUUACAAAUAAAAUUUAUUUUUAAAAAUAUAGAAAUUGGUUUACAACAUUUUAAGUUUCCACGCUUUUGCUUUAUAAAACAUGAGAAAUUAAUUUUAAACCUUCGUAUAAAAAACUAAAAUAAAUGACAUGAGUUUGAAAUGAUAUAUAAAAAUAAUUUAUUAUCUUUGAAUAUAUUUUUUUAUUUUCCUUCAAAUCUUCUUGCAAUUUUUUUCUUAGAUUUUUUAGGAAUCAAGUGUAGCAUUGAUAAAUUUUUUAAAAUUUAUUUAUUUUUCUUCAUUUUUCGUGUAAAGAAACAAGAAAUCAAAGACAUAAAUUUUUAAAUGUCUCUCAAUUGGAUCCUGGUGCACUAAAAUGCCAAUGUCCUUGGCUAAUGUAAUGAACCAAGGUCUCUAAGGACACUUGAGAUUUGUUGUUUGAUUUGCUAUCCACAUGAUUUCCCUUUAUGAAAAAAAAUUCAUUAUAUUUGAUUUUCCAUGGUACAAAAAUGAUCAUUUAAAUGCUUUUGAAAGUUUUAUUUAAUUUUAAUUUCACUAAAAACAGUUUUAAGCUUGGAUUUUUAUUUUUUUAUUUUUUGUUUGGAUUUUAAAAUAUAUGAAGAAAAAUUGUUAGGAAAAAUGAACCCGAAAAGUGGGACUAAGCAAGAAUCCACCAAGCCUAGAACAAACAAAUAGAAAAAAUAAAAUUUUGAAAGAGGACACUCAUCGAAUUAGGUUGAGACAUGACAAUCACUAUCUUUAAAGUAGAUUCACCUUUCUUAGGCAUUAAACUAGGUGCAAAAGGGAACCAACGAGUUACCUAUACGACUCAAUAGCUAGAACUUUGCCUUAGGUACACACCUUUGGGUAGGUAUAGUACAACUCGAAAUAAGAAUUCCUUCAAAUGAUACGAAGGAUGAAGGGAAAACAAGAUGCAAGAACAAACUUAUUGAAGUAGGAUCGAAAGGUUGCGCGUAAAAUAUGAUGUAUAAGAGCACUACUCCACAUGAGCAAUUGCCAUCAAUGAAAAGAACACUUUUAUAUUAAAAUUAAAUAAUUUAAAAAUAUAUAAAUUUUCAAUUAGAUUAAAUUAGAUUUUAUUUUUUUCAUAAUAAACAUAAAUUUGAUAAAAUCAUUUUAUUAUUUUUUUCUUUCCUAAAAUAUAUAAGUUUCAUAAUAGUUUUAUAAGGGCUUUAUAUAUAUAUUUUUUAUUCAUGAAAAACUUUUUAUUUCCACAAUUACUAAUAAAAGAAUUAAAAUGAUUAAUUAAAAUUAUUUUUAUAACAAGUAAGGUAAGAUAUUUGGAAAUUUGGGACAAACUAGCCUUUUAUGCAUGCAUAAUGUAGUGAUUGGACUGCUUUUGAAACUUAUAUGCAAAGUAGCCCCUUUGGAUCUACAACGGCCAAAGAAUUUUUUUUUUUAUUCUUUUAAUUUACUUUACUUUCCCCCACCUUUUCCCUCGUUUCUCUAUCUCAUUCCCUUUUCAAUAAAAAAAAAUGAAGUCUUAAUUAUCAAUUGCGAUUUCAGUUAAAAAAAAAUGAAGUUUCAGUUGAUAAUUGAAGAUUUAACUUAAAUUUCGAAGAAAAAAAUAUUUUUUAUAACAUGAGUUCUAUGCGAUAAUAAAUGAACUAAUUUAAAAAUAAGUUUUACAAAAAAGUUAAACCUAAUUUUUUUUUUUUCUAUAAAAGAGUUAUUUUGCUCCAUAACUCACAUAUUUGAGUACAAAGAAAAUAUACAUCUUAUUACUUUUUUCACUUCAACAUAAAAAAGUAAAAGCAUAAAAUUUAGAUAAAUUACAUUAGAAAGUAUUAAGAUAUUUUUAAACAUUAAUUUAACCAUCAAAAAUUUUAUUUGAAGUUUAAAAAAAACUCUUGUAAACAAGUUUAAGUACUCCCAAUUAGCACUUCACAUUAUCAUUUACAUUGUUCUUCCAAAAUUUUGUGAGAAAGGAGAAGUUGCACACAUUCUUAGUGUAAAUAAUAAUAAAAAUAAAUAAAUAAAUAAAAAAAAUUAAAAACAGAAAGAGAGAAGGCCCACCAUUGGUCCAUGGGCUUUCUACUUUAGAGGCUCCCCCACUUGUCUCAUCAUUAUACCAGGGCACAUGUGCCAUGUAAGCCCAAAACACUCAAAUCUCACUUUUAUAUCAUGGGUUUGGACUUUGGAGCUUUGAGAGAUUUUGAAAAAGUAUAUAUAUAUAUAUAUAUAUAUAUAUAUUGAAAUAUGGUUAUUAAAAAAUUAUUUUUAAGCCUAAGAUAAUUUUUAAGAUGUCAAUAUCUAAUAAAAAUUAUUUUUUUAAGAGAGAACCUCUCUUUGACUACUAAAUUUUGAAGUUCUCUUUUUAAUUCAAAAUUCAAAAUUUAUAUUGAAUUUAUUUGAUCAUAAUUACAUUUAGGGAGUAAUAUUACUGAGGAUCGUAUGAUAGCAUCUAAAAAAUAUUUUUCCGAUCAGUAUUAAAAAUAAACCAUCAAUUAGAUGGUGUUAAAAGCCUUGUAUCUCAAUCACAUUUAUUCAUACAUUGAUCGACUUUGACGGAGGUUCAAUAAUAUUGAAUAAGUUUGAUAAUGUUAAAUUAAUAUCUUAGUAUUUUGUUUUUAUUGAAGUUACCUUUUUAGGAAACAUCUUUUGAUUACUAUUCCAUAGAUUGUAAUAAAUAUAGAAUUAUUUUUUUAAUAAUUCUAAAUUCUAAAUUAUUUUUAAAAGUUCAUAAAUAUUUUUUUAUAAAAAAAAAUCAUAAAAAUGUGAACUCCUUUAGACUCUUUUGGCUACCCCAACCAAAAAUUUAUUAGUUAUUUUAAAUGCCAACUAUGCCAUUAAGGCCACUAAACUUUUAUCCCAUCCUAAAUAAAAAUAAAUGAGCUAACAAGAAAAAUUAAAGUGUGUUUGAUUUAAAAAAAAAAUUGUUUUCAAAACAUGAAUAAUCUUUAAAAAAAAUGUCUUAAUUAAUUUUAAGAAUAAAAUUCUAUUACAAAAUUUAAAUAUAAAAAACAAAUUUUCUUGUAAUUAAAUAAAUUAAAUUUCUAAUAAUUUUUUUUUUAAUUUGAAAAAGACAAGAAAAGAAAAAGAAGUUAGAUCUUUAAGGGAAAAAUAAAAUAAAAUAAAAAUUUAAAUGGGCAAAAAGGGAGAUGAUGGAGUAUUAACACAAAACCAUAGUAUAAAGGGGGGGAUGGUCCCAAAAAUAUUAGGCAUCAUUGUCUUAAUAAAUAUAAGGCAUGCCGUAAACUUUGAGGAACCCAUUUCUCUAUUCACUCACUAUUAAUUAAAGAGUAAAGCAUGGAAGGAGACAUGAGGGUAUUGUCACUUUCUCGAGAAAAUUGUCAUCAUCUACACCAACAUCCUCUUCUCAUUCUCAUGGAUUCUAGCCUUAGGGCUUUUCACCAAUCACAUCUGGUUCACAGCUCUAGAUCUCUCCGCUCAACUCAAUUCCCCCCUUCCUCAAUUCCAUUAAAAAUAUUAUUAUUAUUAUUAUUUUAAAUUAUAAGCUUCAUUUGAAAGUAUUUUUUGAUUUUAAAAUCAUAAAAUAAUAGUAUUUUUAAAAAAUAAUUUUAGAAUAUAUUUAAUAAUUGUUUUUUAUUCUUCAGAAUAAAAAAAUUAUAUUUUAUAAUCAAAAACCAUUUUCAAAAAAAUAAUUAUAUAAAUAUGUAAAAUAAUUAAAAAUAAAAUAUUAAAUAUAAAAAUUAUUUUUAAAAUAUUAAAAAUAGAUAAAAAAAAUAUUUUAAGUUUCGUUGUAUCAUAAAAUAAUUUUGAAAAACAGUUUUAAAAAACUGCAGCGAAAUAGGCGCUGAUUUUAGAUUUUUGUCUUUUUGUGUUAUGGGGACACGUGUAGCAAAAAUGGGACAACCUGGAGACCCAGCUUCAAAGAAUUAAGAAACUGUAGGAGACAUGUGGGCAUGGCAUGGAAAUAUGGUACAGGAACAAUUUAAACCUCAUUUUUAGCAAAAAUUAAUUAUAAAAAAAAUUAUAUGUAGUGGUUUGACUCAUUCAUAUUAGGGUCAGAAAAUUUAUAUAAGACAGAGUCGGUGAUUAAUGGGAAGAAGAGAAGGAUUUAAUAUGGGGUUGGUAGUCCAAAUUAUGCUUCUCAACUAUAAUGCCGUGGGUUUGGAAAGAAAUUAAUACAUGUGGACUGAAAAGUAAAGAAGAAACUCCAAAAAAAUAGGGAACCAACACGUGGCGGUAGGACAGGGAAAAUUCAUGAAUUGCGGGUGAGAAUAUCACCCUCAUUUACUCCACAAAAAAUACGAAAUAAAAAAAAUGGAAAAUAAUUGCUUUUCCCCCUCUCUCUCUGGAUACAGUAGAGAGGGAGUGUGUGUCCAAAGAAGAGCACAAAAAGAAGAAAGGAAUGUCCAUUUCUAGAGAGAGAGAGAGCAGACAACUCUGAUUUCAAGAGAGAGAAGGUAGAGGAAGAGAGGGAGAGAGGGGGAGAGGGAGAGAGAGAGAUGGGGGGUGUGACUUCAUCCAUGGCUGCCAAGUUGGCUUUCUUCCCACCAAACCCUCCAUCCUACAAGCUAAUUACGGACGAUGCCACCGGCCUCUUGCUCUUCAACCACUUCCCCCACCGCGAAAACGUCGACAUUUUGAAGCUUCCGACGCGCCGCGGCACCGAGAUCGUGGCCCUCUAUGUGCGGUACCCCAUGGCCACCUCUACGCUGCUCUAUUCCCAUGGGAAUGCGGCUGAUAUCGGCCAGAUGUACGAGCUCUUCAUCGAGUUGAGCAUUCACUUGCGGGUUAAUCUCAUGGGGUACUUCGUUUUUGCCUUGUCCUUUUCUGGAAUUUGAAAAUUUUUGAUGGGUUCUUUUUGGAUUUGGAGAUUUUGUCUGUUGCUUGGGUGGAUUGACUAGAUUUUGGAGUGAGUUGAUGUGUUUCUGUUGGUUGUUUGGUUAGAAAUUGAUUUUUUUGCUUACUCUUUACUGUGAUUUUGAGCUUCUUUCUUUCUUUCCUUUUUUGGUGGAGUAGAGACAGUGAUGGGCUGGAAUUUAUGGUUAGUUUCCUCAGUUCUGUUUGUUCAGGUGGAAAUUUUUUCUGGCUAAUGUGUUUUGGUUAUAACUGAGGCUAAUUGAAGAUACAUGAUGGAUUUCAUUAUGCUUCAUAGUUUAAAUACCCUGGAGAUAAGUAUGGAAUUUUAAAAGCCAUUUUAUUUUUUUGUGGAAAAUAUUCCCUUCAUGGAAACAAAGAUUUUUCCUGUUGUGGAUUCCUUUUUCUCCCCUUUUUUUUUAAUCACAAGAAAGGGAUAUUGGGUUGGGUGUUUAAGUUUUCGCUGAAAAAUGGGAUUUUGGUCGGUUCUGGUGUUAGUGUUGGUUACAAAGGAAUGAUUUUCAUCAAAAGAAGUUGACCUAAAAUUUAUUAUAUCAAGUUUGAGAUCUGCAAAGUCUAAAAUUGUUGACAUUAGCUUAAAUCAAUGAAUUAAAUUAAAGUGGUGUUUGGUUUCUGCAUGUUGAUCUGUUUCUUUAGCUUCUCAAGUGGGUGAUGUAUGGCUAAGGUACCAGGCCGUAUUGGGAAAUCUGUGGCUUGAUUGUGGAGGACUGAGUUUCUUAUGAAUUUUGCUCGAUCCACUUUGUAUAUUUGGUUUAAUCAAUUGAUCCUCACCGAAGGAUAACAAAAUAUCAAAUGGCAAUGGUUGAAGAUAACUCUGGCAUCUCAGAGAUUAAUGUGAUUUUACUUUUGUUUAUUGUCAUUUUUCUGCUGUGGGAUUUCUUAGAAAAGUAAGUUUUUACUAUUGUUGAUAAUAAUCUGGUACAUGUUGUAGAAGAAUAAGUAUUGCAUCCAUUGUGUGUGAAAUGUGCUAAAUUUAUUGUCAGAUUAGUUAUGUUUCAAAAGAUUGAUGUAAAUGGUCUUUAUCUUCUAUCAAGGUGAAGGCAAAAAAGAACCAGGGUAGAGGAUGUGUGAAAAUGCAUGAUGGGUAAUUAUUUAAGAGGCUUUAGAUGCACCAAAAUUGUGAAAAAGAAUUUGUGUAGGCCCCUAAGCAGUUGUGAGCUAUAAUGAUAUGCAGUUCUACAAUUUUGUAUCUGCAUUGAAUGGGAUUUUUAUAGUAGAUUGGAUGUAGAAGAGCUCCUUCACAAAUUUGCAUGGCCCCUGGCAUUUUACUUUUAUAUUUUGAAACAUGAUCUCGACUUUUAAGAACAAAAUAGAUCUUGGUAGGAUUACUGAUCAUAUAGACCUCCAGUUUAAAUGAAAUCAUGCUUAAUAACUCAAAAUGACAGAGGCGUUGGUUGAUUAUAUAGUACCAAGUAAGACAGGAAAGUUUGGAUGCAUGCUGACUCUAGAGACUUGUAAUAGAGAGGCAAUGAAAUUUUUUUUCCUCUGCACAUGUAAAUAUGAAUUAAUUCUUCAUUUAUGCUCAUUAACAAGGAUCCAUAUUGUAUGAAUUAAAUGUAUGGGAAGUACACCUAGAGUGUAUAACAAGUGGAACCAGCAGGGUGUUCCCCCAUUUUUUUUUUUUAAAUUUUAAUUUUUGGAAAUGCCAACUGAUUUAUUAUUGAAGAUGGAUUUUCAGCAGGAGGGGAAAACACUCCUACAGGUAACAGCUGGUAAAGCUGUCAAUAUAUUUAGCAGAGAUUUUAUUUUUCCCUAAAAGUUUCUUUCUUUAUUUGAAUCGAGCCCUUUAAUUUCAAAGAAUUAAUUAAAUGGUCCCUCCCAAGUAAGAUGGAUUUAUUGUGGCGCCCUUAAUACUGUCUAUGUUUCCAUUGUAGCUUUAGGUUGAAAUGGAAAAAUAAUAACAGAAUUCUUGGAUCUCCCACUGAAAGUUAAAACCAAGAGAAGUAGAGAAUCAAAAGGCAAGAUGUGCUAUGUUUUGGAUUUAUAAUAUGCUAGCUCAAAUCAUGAAAAAAUUAUUUAAUUUUAGAAUUUGUGUUUGGAGUAGAAAAACAAAUUGUCAUAGAUGCUGAUUACUUUUGCUAGUAAUUAUAAGUCUUUUCUAAUCUUUUUAUAGGAAAUAUAUUACAGACUUCUCGUUUAUUUUUUCGUACAUUGUUUAAAGAAUACUAGUGUUUCCUAUUUUUACUUCUAGUGGAAUGUGAAUAAGAGUAUUGAUUUGUUUUUAGUUAUUUUUAUCGUACUUUUGUUUCAAAUUAACUGUGUUUAAAUAUGUUGUUUAAAAACUCAUGGCACUUUAACUUAUAAAUUCUGCAUUAAUGUUCUCCAUGCUCCCUCCCUAUUCCCAUUCCCUACAGAAGGAUAUAUUGUUUAUGAAGUAAAGCUAUUUUUUUCCCUUAUGAGAAACAAAUUGUGUAGAAGUGUAACUUCAUCCUUACAUGUGGAGGGGAAAAAAAUCCUUCUAAUGCUAGGGAUUGCAACAUCAGUUUUUAAAGUAAGUUCACUGGGGUCACACUAUGUCAUUCCUUGGGAAUUGCAACAUCUGCCGAUUUAUAACUGGUUGCCUUACAUUAAAACCAUGUUUUUGCAUGUUGCCUUUUUACAUAUGAAAUUCUGGAGGUUGUAUGAUGGAACUGGUUGGUUAAAUGAUUUGGGAUGUAAAAUUUUCUGAAUGCAUUUUUUAAUUAUGCAGGUAUGAUUAUUCUGGCUAUGGGCAGUCUUCAGGAAAGGUAAAGCUGGUUUUUGAAUUAAAUCUAUGGUGAUUUCCUUCCCAUUACACAAAAGCAUUUAAUGAUGUUGGUACCCAAAAAACUCUUUCUAAAGUGUGAUGUAUACUUGUUUGCAGCCAAGUGAGCACAAUACUUAUGCAGAUAUUGAAGCUGCAUAUAAAUGUCUUGAAGAAAGCUUUGGUGCGAAGCAGGAAGACAUCAUCCUUUAUGGUCAGUCUGUUGGAAGUGGGCCUACUUUGGAUCUUGCAGCUCGUUUGCCUCGAUUAAGAGCUGUUGUUUUGCAUAGUCCAAUACUCUCAGGCUUACGAGUCAUGUAUCCUGUGAAACGUACAUAUUGGUUUGAUAUCUACAAGGUCAAAUACUUGUUUUCAAAUCUAUUUGCUGCUUAUUACUCAUCAUAUCUAAAUAGACUUUCCAUCAUGUUCUUCUCAUCUGACCAUAAUUUUGCAUUGAUAUUGUGCAGAAUAUUGACAAAAUCCCAUUGGUGCAGUGCCCUGUACUAGUGAUUCAUGUAAGUAUCAAGAUUCUGAUAAUUUCAUUUUGGUAACUGCACAAAGUAAUUGAAGCUUUCUCACAAGUUUCAAGAUAAAUGUACGAUGCUAUGAUUGCCUGAAUUGAUUUCAUGCAUGGCUUAAUUUAAUGCUUUAUCAUGCGAUGAUAAUCUAUGCAAACUAUUGGAGGCAGUUGAUCAACAUGAGAAAUGAAAUUUCUGAUUCAGCUGUCACCAUAUAUAAAGGUACAUUUCAUCCUUCAGAAUAAAUUCAUAAAAAAAAAUGGUCUCCUUGCCAAAUUCCUUUUGCUUCUCUCUCUCUCUCGGGAAGGGGAAUCCAUCCCAGCAGUGAGGCAAUUACUCCAACUGUUAGCAAAGCUAACCUGGGAUGAUAUAGGCCUGCCCUCUACCCUACAUUAGAGAGGCUCGAAUUUGGGGUGUCUAGUUCAAGGGCUUCAUUACCAAAAUUCAUAUGAUAAAGAGAAAAAAAAAAAAAAAAAAAACCUGAGAUGGGGGUUUAAAUCCCUCUUAAUGAUCAUAUAUCUGUGAUGAAAUGGACUUAAAAAGAACAGGGAUAGUAGUUAGUGAAAAUUUGACAAAAUAUUCUAGAAAUCUACCAAAACUAAGUCUAAAUCACAUGAAUGGACUGAAUAGAGAGAAUUUGCAUGAAAAUAAAGGGAAGAGUUACCUAUUGAAUGUAAGCAAACUUAAAAUGUUUUUUUAUUUUUUUUCCUGACUUAAUACUAGAAGCCUGCUGGAAGGAAGUUCCUUAGAAAGUUAAAUCAGUCUUGAUAGUAAUAAACAAGAUGAAAGGCGAGCAGGCUGCAACUGGCUUGCAUUUCAGCAGUAGUGUCACAGUCCACGUCAGUAGGAAAUGCUGGUCCUUUUAACAUGACCAAAAACUUAACUGAUAAAAUAUGAUGGUGCAAACUGUUUAUUUCAUGUUACACCAUAUUUCCAAACUUCCUGUUGCUGAUGUUACACAUUGGAUGAGGUCUAUCAGUUCUAGCUGAUGUAGGAUUCAACAUUUUCAACUACCUCUUUGUUUUAUUUUUGCAUUGGUCUUUUGGCUAAGGGUUUAAUGGAUUACAGAUGUCGGUUUUCUUGUCCCACGAUUGAUAAUUCUCUUGUUUUGCAUCAUGACCAUUAACAAUAAUUUUGUUGUUUGUUUUUGUUAUGGCCAUAGAUGUAGCCUGGUAUACAUAUUUGAUAUUCAAAAUAUUAACCCUAAAAAUAUCCAUUUUGCAAGUUAACAUGUCCACCAUUUUUAAUCCAUUUUAUUAAUAACUAGUUUCUUUUUUUCAGUGCAUUCAACAAUGUUGGCUUUGUUGUUCUUAUUUAAACCCCAUUAUAUACUGAGUAGAACUGAUUUAUCAUUAGGCAAUGGAAUGGCAUGGGAAACCUACAACCCUCUUGCUUUCAGAGGUGGUGUGUUAGAGAAGGUCCUACAUGGGUUUAGAAACUCCUAGUCCCUCUUCUUUAGUAUAUUUCUAUUUCAUUUGAUUAGAACCUCCUGAAACAUGUACUAUUUGUUUUCAUAUUGCCAUGGAAAGUUGAAAAACCAAAAUCUAUUUUCUAAAAGAACCUCUGAACUACUACAUGUUUAAAGGAUAUCAUGUCUCUGUUUGACAUUUUGUCAUCUAGACUAGACUGAGUCAUUGCAUUCUCUUGGAUCUUUAUUGAGUAUUAACUUUUUCAUUUUGCAUAUUGUUGUGCAGGGCACAGCUGAUGAAGUUGUUGACUGCUCUCAUGGCAAGCAGCUUUGGGAACUCUGCAAAGAGAAGUAUGAACCCUUAUGGUUAAAAGGGGGGAAUCAUUGUGAUCUGGAGCUGUAUCCAGAAUACAUUAAACAUCUCAAGAAGUUCAUAUCCACAGUGGAAAAAUCACCUUCCCGGAGGAGCAGUGCAAGGAGAAGUGUAGACCGGCCAGAAUAUUCCAGGAAGAGUACUGAUUGUUAUGAGGCUCCAAGGAAGAGCACAGAUCAGGCUCCAAGGAAGAGCACGGAUCAGGCUCCAAGGAAGAGCACUGAUAGGAGAGACAAACCAAGGCGGAGCACUGACAGGCCUGAAAAACUGAAACUCUAUGACUACAAGUCUAAUGAUGUUGACAAGCUUGAGAAGUUAAGAACCUCUCUUGAUCAGGUAGAGAGAUCUCGGAGAAGCGUGGAAUACAAUGAUAAGUCUCGGAGAAGCAUCAACCAACAGUUGGAAAGAGCACGGAAGAGCGUGGAUUGGUUGGACAGAAUACGUGCCGGAUAAAGAGCAUUGAGUUUAUUCUGUGGGAGGGGAAAUUAAAAAAAGAAAAAACAGAAUGAAGAAAGAAGAAAUUACAUGGCUUUUUUUUUUUUGUUUGUUUGUUUAACUUAUGGUUUCAGGUUUGUGUGUAUUUUUGCUCUGGCUGGUUCCAGAAUGACUGUCAUGGAAUGCAGAGUUUGAUAUAAACGGAUUCAUUAUCCAUAUGAUUGUAGUUCAAUGGAAGUACCCUAACCUCUGUCUUUCAUUGUAACCCUUUUAGAAGUAGUGUCAUUCUUCGGGUUCAGGGAUGUUUUUGUAUUUGAAGUGUUUAAUUUUUUCCCAUUUAUCCAAAGACACCAUGUUUGCUUCUCAUUUGCAGCUGUCCAUAUUUGGUGAAUCAGCAUGUACUAUAAUGGUCAUAGAAGCAUGUGGCACAAUCACUUAUUUGGCCACUGAAAAAUCUUCACCCAUGUCUAGAGUGGUUCCAUUUUGGGAUUUUUUUCUUAUGGGACACAGCCUCUGCUACAUUUCCCCCAAUGGUUCUUAUCUCACGACCAAACUACCUGGAAAUCCAAAACUUCUGCAACCUGAGCAUCACACUAAACUUUGGCAGGAGAUCUUUCAAUAUAAGAAAACUGUUACAUCCAUCAAAACCCAAGAAGAUUGAAGCAGGGGAGGAUAUCAGGUAACGAUAAAAAAUGGGUUGUGUCUCGAAAGCUGAGUUUGAGUCAUUUUGCAUUGGUAAAUUAUUCUCGGAAUUUCUGUUCAUCUUGCAUUUCAGUUCCAGCCUUUAAUUGGGUUUCCUCUCCGGAAUUUUGCUGAAGAUGAUCUGUAAGACCUGAGAUGCAGGGUACUGCUGGGAGCAUAGAAGUUGACCUCCAAACUAGCUCAUGUUCAAUGGAGAAGCAAGUUGGAAAGCUUGGUCAACAAGGUGUUGGAUGUUUGCGAUGUGUGCCAUCAUUAUUAAAACCAAUACUAGGCGAGUGCAUAGCUGCCUUUACUUGCAGCUCAUAUGUAUUAUAGUUUAAAAUCGUCUGUUUGCUUGGGGUCCAAGCCCACCAAUUCUAUAUCUUCUCUGAAACUUCUGCUUUACCCAUCAGGGUUGGAGCUCUUUCCCUUCCUCUGUUCUGCGUUUACUCAAAAGGGUUUGUUGCAUUUUCACCUUUGCGAGAGUAUCAAUACUAAUGCAGUUUUCGCAUUGAGAUGAUGGCAUUUUGAUGUUUCAACCAUUCUACAUUUUGCAGCUCUAGUCUUAAUUAUAUCUUAAAAAGUUGGUCAUCAAUCUCAACAAGCUCAAGGACAACGAGUCGGAGAAAUGACUGACAACAGCAACAUGGAAGGAAUUCAAGAUGACGUCAAGGAUCCAUAUUCUCCACCAAGAAAAAGGAUAAAGACCGAUGAUGAAGCCAGUGCAAGCCAAGAAAAUGCUGUGAACUUCUCUGGAUCCUUAGUUCCCACUGCACUCAAAUACAAGAUCCAUGCCCAUGAAGGUGGCUGCAGCUCCAUUUUAUUCCCAUUUAAUUCUCAAAAUUUGAUCAGUGGGGGAAAGGACAACACGAUAAAGAUAUGGGACACAAGCACUGGGGCACUUACCAGCCUUCUUCAAGGCUUCCAAGGCUCAGUUUAUGAUCUUGCCAUCAGCUCUGACAACAGCUUCCUUGCUGCAGCUCUCACAUCCCGAAAAUUGUGUGUAUGGGAAUUGAAUACUGGUCAAAUUCGCCAGACUCUCACAGGCCACAGCCAAAAGGUUUGUGCUGUGGAUGUGGGCAAGGUCCUUAGCCGCUAUAUAGUUAGUGCUGGGAGUGAUCAAAUGAUAAAAGUAUGGGACUUGCAGCAAGACUAUCCUGUCUGUUCUCGAUAUAUCUCCAGUGCUUGCAAUGCUAUAAGCUUUUCCUCGGAUGAAACCACAAUUUGUUCAGGCCAUGCCAAUGGAAAGGUCAUAUUCAGCAAAGUCAAUAGAUUUUGGAUGAAUCAUAGCAGUGAAGUUGAGGCUCAUACACAGUCUGUGACUUCAAUCUGCCCACUUCAAAAUGGGAGUCUCAUACUGAGCAGUGGAAGGGAUAAUUGGCACAAUUUGAUUGAUACCCGGACAAUGCAAAUCUGCAGUAAAUUCAGAACCAGGUGCAGCAGAGUGGCUUCUAAUUGGAGCCGGGUGUGUGUCAGUUCUGAUGACAAUUAUGCAGUUGUGGGCUCAGCUGAUGGAUCAGUCUAUGUGUGGUCUAUGCAGAUGGGAAGAAUGGUGAAUGCUCUGAAGGGGCAUACUGCUCCUGUUCUCGCUUGUUCAUGGAGCGGUAUGGGGAUGCCACUGGCCUCUACUGAUAGUGAUGGAACUAUUUGUAUUUGGUCUUGAGAUGAGAUUUUGGAAAGCAUUCAGAACAAAAAGACUGAAAAAAAAAAAAAAAAAACAAAGAAUUGAAUUAAUGGUUAUUACUUUUAUGCUUUUAGCCCGGAUAAAUUAAGAUCAGACUGCAAUUCCUUCAAAAUUCUUUCUUCUGAAUUCCAGCAAAAUGUCAUCCCAGAACUGCCACUUAUCAUGAGUAGUGCCAUUUAGCCAUGAGAGCAUGGGGACAUGAGGAAUGUUCUUCAUGCCCAUGAUAGCAUUUUGUGUAUAUUUCAAUUUUCCUCUGAUAAUGGUUGAUUCUGAUAUCUCACAGCUGCACUACCUGGAACUUCAAAGCUCAAAGCAGUGACCAUUCCCAUGGACGCUUCCCCUCAACUUCAGCUGCCUUAGCAUAUCAGCAUGAUCUUUUCACAAAUCAAAUGAUGUAUUUGACAUCAUCCUUGGUGUAAGUCAUUUUGCAUCUCUAAAUCACUCCUGUUUUCCUGCAUUUGAAUUCCAGAUUGUCAAAUGGAUUUAUUAACAGUGGGUUAACAGAAAGAACUUUUCUUCUCUCUGAAUGAUGCUCAAGAUGAUCUUUGGUGGUCAAAUUUAGAGGGUACAUGCCCUAUUUGGACCCAUGAUGCAGGGUACUCCAGAAAGCAUAAGUGGGUGCCAGAAGCUGACCUCCAAACUGGCCCCACAUUCAUUGAAGAAGCAACUUGGGAAGCUUGGUCAACAACGUGUUGCGGGUGUACACAAUAAUUAUUCAAACCAAUGGUGGAAGAGUGGAUAGCUGGCUUAUUUGCUUGGGGACCAAGUUUACCAUUUCCUCUUCUUCUUCAAUAUCCUUUGAUUUGAUUCUUAGACCGAAAGGCAAGUGGCAACAGCAGCAUGGAAGGAAUUCAAGAUGAAACCAAGGAUCCAUCUUCUCCACUGAGAAAAAAAAAAAAAAAACCUACUCUUCCCUUUGGGCUGGGUGAAAAGACUACUUGUUCAAUUUGAUAUUUUGGAGAUAUGAUACCUCCUCAAAUACCAUAGAAUCCUAGGUUGUCAAAUAAAUAAAUAAAUAAAUAAAAAACCAAUUAGGACUCAAUAGCAAAAUUCAAAACGUGAAUUGACUUUAAGAUAACAAAAAUAGGCUUUAUUUUUUUUAUGGUCUUUAAUUUAAAACUCACUCAAAAAGCCAAAAUUAAAAAUAUCAAGUAAGAAAAAUUAAGAUAACAUAUAAUUUCAUAUGUAAACGAUCGAAUCCUUAGAUGUCUUAUGAGGUGUUAAAAAAAUGGUUAAAAUAAUUGAAUAAGUGGAUUACUAUGACUAUAACCCUUGACAAAUUCAUUAAAGGCGAAAUUGAUUUAUUUGAUGUUAUGGAUUUUUGGUUAUGGAGGGACCAUUUCAUUUUUGUAGGUGGUCCUAUCUAUUGCUCUUUCCUUGUGCUUAUAUCACUUUAAGAGGUUGAUUUACAUGUAUAACCCUUGUAACUUUAUGAUUGUCUAUGAAUUUACUAGGUCCUAGUUGGAAGGUUGCAAUUUUUUAAUUUUCUCGGUUUUUUAACUAGGAAAUUUUAGUUGUUGGUGUUAAAUAGAUGGUUUGUAGACUUUUGUUACUCUUUAUGUUAUUUUCAAAUUAUUAAAUAUCAUGUUGUGUUAAUUUAAACUUGUUCAAUUUGUUUCAUUAGGACCUUGUAAUGCAAUCACACUCUUUGUUUCAAUUGCUAUUUUUGUUUAGGUAUUUUAAUUUAUCUAUUAGGUCAAUUUGGUUAAUUCUAAGGAUUUCAUAAUUGGACAUUGAACCCAUUUUAUAUUAUGGGAGUUGUCGAUGUAUUAGGCGUUACUUUGCCUGGCAAUAUUCAUGGUGAUACCACAAAAAAUAUCUUAUUUUAAGAUGAUGAUGACAUAGACAUUUUAAGCUUUUAAUCCAACUUAAGGUAAAGAAGUUUAUUCAAUGGUCAUUACUAUCCGUUUUUUAUCCCUAAUCUUUGAGGUUACUUUUUCUAAUAAGUGUUGAUUACAUUUCUUUAUGUUAUUUGUAACAUUAACAAGUUUAUGAGUGAGUGUUCUUGAGUAGUCAGCCCAUCACACUUUGUUUCUAGGAAAUAUAUGCUAGGAAGGAUCUUAAAUUUGAGACUUUAUGCACUAAAAAUAAAUCUUAAAUGUGUUAGAAGUUAUUAAUAUAUUUAGUUACUAUAUUAGAAUUAUAUAUUUAGUUACUAUAUAUUUAUUUAGUUACUAUAUUAGAAUCAUUUUCUUUCUUUUUAGAAGUAAGGGUAAAUUAGUCUUUAUUUUUUUUAUUAAGUUUAUUUAAAUUCUAAUGAUGUUGUACAUAUUUUCAAGAGAAUUGAUAAUAAGAAAUCCUAGAUUUCCUUUUCUUUCUUUUUCUCUCUUCGAAUUUAUUUUUGGAUUUUAAUAUGGUAUCAAUGUAAAAUUGAUUUUUAAUGAGACUUUUGAUUUGUGAUAUCAUGGAAGAGAGUUUAAUUUCAUACACUGAUUUUCAUAUGUGUUUGAUUUGGAAUCCUUUUUUCGUCGUAUUUGAUCGUAGGAUAUUGUAAUGGGUGGUUGCAUUGUUCUUCUCCUGUUUGAACCUAGUAUUUGAUUUCAUAUUCAUUUCCUUCUAUUUAUAUUUGCUUUCUUUUGUUUGGUGGUUAUUCAUCAUGACCCAAAUGAUUCCGUUCAAACUAUUAGUGUGAGAUUGGAUGAAAAAAAAAUUAUUCGUGUUGGGGUUAUGUGAUAAAAUUUUUUUUAAGGGGCAAAAAGAUGUGAGGUUAUAUUAUUGGCACUCUACGCAAACCUAUGAAUGAAAAUGAUGAAAAAUAUGAAGAACAAUUAGAUAUUUGCGAAGUAAGCAAUUUAAAAAUUAUUAUUGGGAUUGACAACUCUGUUGAUAAUUAGAUGGACAUACAAUUGGCCAAGUAUGAAACAACCAAAUGAGAUUUGUAAACAUUUGAAAAGAUUGUAUGAAACUACCAAGGAGAUAUGGGAAUAUUUGGAAAGAUUGUAUACGCAAUUGAAUUCUUUAUUUAUUUGUUAGAUAUUAAUCUAAAUUCUUUGUCUCUAUUUGUUGAAUAUGAAUCUAAAUUUUAUCUCUCUCUUUGUUGGAUAUGAAUCCAAAUUUUGUUUUUCUUAUUUUGUCAUGCCCCAAAACCCACUCGUAUGAUGACCAUUUCACACCUCAAGCCCGAAUGCUCAAAGUGGAACAAUAUAAACAUUCAUAUUGUAACUGAAAAUUACCAAUUACCAAAUUCCUGUUCAGAAUAGUAAAAUAAAUGCAUUCUAAAAUAUUCAGAUAUCGUUUUUAAAAACUAACACAUCAAUUAAAGUGUUAUUGUCCAAAUAACUCCAAACUAAAAUAAUUCAAAUGGGAAUUAAAUUUUAAUAUCUAAACAAUGUCCAAAAUAAAGUUUGAACCAAAAUUCUAACAAAGAAAAAUUCCCUAGUUUAGCCAUCACUCCUUGUCCGAACUGAAAGUACUUGAAAAAGUAUCAAUGAAGGGUAUGAACUUAAAGCCCAAUAAGAAACAUCAAUAUAGUUUCAUGAAUCAAACAUUUUCAAUAAAACUUUCUUAUAUCCAUUUCAAAACAAUUUCAUAUUAAAACCAAAUAAAAUACAUUAAAAAUAUCUUUACUCUAGUUAUUGAAUAACAAAUGGUGUCCAAUUAGGUGAGACUUCACAAAUAAGUGACUAGUUUCAAAUUUGUUCAAUUUAAGGUGAACAAAACCAAAUGUCAACAAUUAUAAUCUAUUGACUAGGGUCAUAAAAUCAACUAUUAUAUCUCAUUGACUAGGGUCAUAUAAUAUCAACUAUUAUAACCCGUUGAUUAGAAUUGAAAAUGUUAACAAUUAUAACCCGUUGACUAGAAUCAUAGAAACUAGAGUCAAAUACUUUAUUUUAUUAAUUCAAACUUAUAAAACAAAAUAUCAUAUCUACAUAAUUUUCAUUUUUCAUAAACAAAGAAAAUGAUCAAACAUUUUUUCCAUGAAAAAACAUAUAUUUGAUUUAUGCAUAGAAAUAAAAAUAAUAUUUUUAGACAUUUCAAAAUAUAAUAUAAAAAGAAAAUUAUUUAUUUUUACAAAAUCUACACUAAUUUCCCUUUCAUUAGAUAAGCACUCAAAAACAUUAGAAAAUUAAUCCCAAAGAAUCUACUCCUCUUCUAACAUAACAUUAAAAGAAAAAAAAAUCAUCUAUUACUAUUAACUAUUUAUCUAAAAUUAUAUAUUUGAAAAUCCUAAUAAUUUCCUAUGUUAUGUCACUUGUAUUAUUUUUAACUUAAUCAAUAACAAUUUCAUUUGUGAGUUUCUAAAUUCUUAUAAAGUUGGUUUCUUUCCAAAAUUUAUUUCCAAGAUUCUAUUAAUUUAUUAUUAUUAUUUUCUUUUCUCAAACUCUUAACCUCCAUACUCACAAAUUUGAUGUAUUUUUCAUAUCCGAAACUAUAUUAUAUAUAUAUAUAUAUAUAUAUAUAUAUAGAUCUAUUCAUUUGAGUAAUCAAAAUUUGUCAAUCUCCAUUAAUAAAUCAAAUUAUGUUAAUAAAUUUUUAAUCUUUUUAACCUAGAAAUUAAUUAAUUGAACCCUAAUAAAAAAUAAAGAUCCUGCAACGAAUUUUUUUAAGUAUUCAAUACUAUUUAACGAAUAAAAAAAAUGUAAUUUAAGAGUUAAAAUCUUACCUAGAAAACUGAUCUUACCUAGAAAACUGAUCUUUAACCUUAAAUCUCAAAUUCUUCAGUCCUACCUUGCCCUACACUCUUUGAUCUUUCUGAUAUUUGUGUAAGAGGGUUUUCUAAAUAAAUAAAAAAUAGAAAAAAUCUAAUUUAUACCUAAGGCUUCUAAAAGAGAAAAGACUUUUAUAUCCUUAUUAAUUUAAUUUAAUUAAUUAAUUAAUUAAUUUUAAUUUAUGAUUUUACCCUUGGUUUUGGGGUAUUACAUAUUCUUCUAUGCUGAUGGAUAUGAAUGUAAUCCAAAUUCUGUUUGUCUUUCCUUCUUCUAUGAUUUUGUGUCUUCUUUUGUCUCUCUUCCUUAAUCUUUUCUUGAUAGUUUUAUGUCGAUUUCUAUCUCUAUUUCCUUUAUGGUUUUAAUUUUGUGUGUGUGUGUUUUUUUUUUUUUUUUUUUACUAUUUCUUCUUCUUCUUUUCUCAUUCUUUGAUAGUUUUAGUUUUAUGUCUUCUAUUACUUCUUCUCUUGGAGCAUAUACCUUUCUAUUCUAACUAUUUUUUCUUCCUCGAGCAUAAACUUUUUCUAUUCUUGUUGAGUCUCAUAAUGUCUUUAAAUCUGAACUUAUUCGUAUUGAUCAUUUCUUAAAUGAUACAAAUAGUUUUGAUGCAAAUAUUGAUACUUUGGUUUUUGAUUGUCAUGCUCCUUCCUUUCCUUCUAUAGCUACUCAAACACCUUCUAAGAUUGUGGAUUCUCCUCUCCCAUGUUCUUCUCAAUGUCUUUCAAGUUAUGAUUGAGGAACUUUAUGCUUUGCAUUAGAUUAAUACUUGACAUUUGGUACUUCAAUUAAAUAGUACAAAACUUAACUGGUUACUAAAAGAAUUUCUCAACAAUAUAAUUGCAAAAUUGUUUACCAAGUCACACCCACUUCCACAAUUUCGGUUUUUGGUUGACAAACUAUCGAUGUUUCUUACAAUCGCAUUAUGAGUUUUGUGAGAAAAUGUUAGACGUUAUUAAUAUAUUUAGUUACUAUAUUAAUAUUAUAUAUUAAGUUACUAUAGCCCUGACCUGUAAAUGGACCUUUAUGAGCCUCUAAAAUAUCUUUUAGCCCAUGACCAAUGCCCUAAGGCACGUAAGUUCAAAGCCAGACUGACUACUCCAAGAGCACUCAUCCAUAAACUGUUAAUGGUAUGGACGAAUCUGUUCCUUCAUCCAAAUGUGUAAAAGAUUCUAGCCGCACUUAAAAGCUGAAUACCGAAAAAUACAAUAUUUUUGUUACUUGACCAACCAUCAGGAGAAGCAAAUACAACGGGGUACAUUAAUCAGUAAGAUUGAUGAAGUAGCAAUUAAUGCAAAAACAGCCAAUUAGUUUAUUUACUUACUAUAUCAAAAUUAUUUUAUUUCUUUUUUAGAAUCUUUUGGGGAUUUCAACAAAAUGAUCAUCUUUGUCCUUGGAUGAUAGCUCAAGAUCAACAUCAUAAAAACUUUAUAUUCCCUUCGAAGGUUCUACCCUAAUUUAUAAUUUUAUUUAUUUAUUCUCAAAUUUAAUAACAAAAAUUUUAAAAAAUAAAGGUAUAAUUUCAACCUUUCUAAACAAAGAGUUUAAAAUGGGAAAUCGACAUCUGCUUAAAUUUUAUUGGAUCUAAAGCUUGGAAAGAAAAAAAGAAAAAAAGAAAAAAAGAAAAAAAGAAAAACCCUAAAAGCACCCUUACAUAUAUGAAUUGUCAAAUCAAUGAGAAUUGUUUGAUUGAACGGAUUGAAUUCGUUUAGUUAAGUUUGUUUGUUGUAACACAUGCCUCUUUUAAAGAUUCAUCAAGUGGAAUUCUGUUUUAUUUCCAAAUUUUAAAUAAAAUUGAAAAUUAGUAAGCAGUCCAUGAACUCAAAACAUUUUCCUCCUGUGUAGCAUAUUCCUUUCGCAGCGGAUGCAUCAAAUCGACGUGUCUUAGUAUCUGUGGGCAGUUUUAAAUAUUUUGUUGACAGCCCUGUGACGUGAUCAUUUUUGUUUAUAAAAUAAAUCUAUUAUUAUUAAUAAUUAUGAUUAUAAUAUUAUUAAUUUUCCGGACUUCUUUAAAAGCCCUCUCCGCACCCUCGAAUCUGCUUGUGAACGAAACUAUUCCUUUCUCAACACAAUCUAUUUCGAUCGAAAUAUGUAAGUACAACUAUUUCAGAUUUGGUAUCUCUUGUUUGGUUGCCGAGAAAACAAAGGAAAAGAAAAGGAAUGGAAAAUAGAGGAAAAGAGAAGGAAUUGUUGGAUUCAUAUGUUUCUUUUGUGUACGGAUUGAAAAAUCUUAAGUGAUUUGGGUGAAGUAUUUGUACUUGUGUUCGUUUUACCGGGAUGUGAUCCAAAAUUUUUAUUUUUAUUUAUUUUUCUUUUUUCCGGUGGUUUCUCGGCCACCAAACUGAGCAUUAGAUAUACGAUGGAGUCGUUGUUUGCUUGAUGAUGUUGAAUUCUUCAGGUCACAGGAUGAGGUGGCGGUUGAUGCUAUUAAACACGCUCUAAAGGCUCUGCGGAAGCGGCAUUUGCUAGAGGAAGGCGCUCAUGCUCCGGCUAUCGUAGCUCUUUCCAAGCCUUUUAUUUAUCAGGUUCUCUGUGUGUGUGCAUAUUUACUAUAGUGAUUAAUCAACUGGUUAUUUUCCUCUAUUGUCAGUGCUACUAAGUUGAAAUUGAACAUUGUAUUUGUAGUGCAAUCUAGGGUAGUCAGAUUGUAUCACUGUAUGGAUUGAGUUGUGAACAGUAGAAAAUUAAAGGAAGGGGCAAUCCUUAUGCACACAUGAACUAUAGAAAAUUAUGCUCAAGUAAAAUAAAACCUUAUCCCAAUUACUCAGGUUAGGGAUGCAAAUCCUUAAUUUUCAACUUAUGUAACUCCAUAACAUUAUAUACUACAUGUCCCACUUGUAGAAAUUCUCUUAAUUUGAGAGGUAUUUAUUAUCACCUUUUUCUGUUAGAAAAAAAAAAUGUCAUUCAUCUUUCUUAAAUGUAUCAAUUGCAAACCAUUUAAAAAGUCGUGGACAUACAUUCAUCCAUCUCCCAAACUUGACACCGGUAAAACUGUUAAUAGGAUGUCCUUAAGCUUUGAAGAAGGCAGCUGUAUGAUACGGAAGGUUGUACUCCUUCCAAAUUGUUUUACAUCCUGUGGAUAAGAUCUAUGCUCCAAACUGGCACAUUUCAGAAUUUUUAAGUGCCCAUGAUGGGUGUCACAAGGUGGGUAUGGAUUAUACAGUUAGCUGGUAGCUGGCAGUUGCACUAUUAAGCACAUCACUGAUUACAUAGAAGUUCUCCCCCCCCAAAAAAAUUGUCUCAAUUCUUAUGCAGCUAUUAUGCAGAUGGCAAUAUUACAUAGACCUUCAUCCACGGUGUUAAUAAGUUGAUGGUAUUGUAGCACAUGGCCUAAUAAUUUGCCAACUCAGAAUUACAAUUGGCCAUUACCAAACAAAAUGCAACAAUGGAUAAGUUACAUGGGUUAAGGUAGAAAGAUUAUGUAUCGUAAAAAUAAACCUAAACCUUAGUACAUGUAACAAGGGAAUUUGAGAUGGGCCCACUUGGUUCUGUACAUGACAUGUCCAGAUGGUAGCCUCCUUGCCUAAGGCACCUAAGGAAGUUACUUUAUCCAGGGCAUAUGUGAUGGCUUUUCCCAUUUAGAGUUUCCUACAUGCCCCGACUUACCUGUGUGCGUUACAUGUGCUACCUAACUAAAACUGCACUAUAUGCAGACUUAUCAAGAGUGCUUUAUAGAUGAAAUAUAUCAAGGCCCAAUGAUGGCAUUUUCCUGUGGACACUCCUGUAGCACAUCAACUAGAUGUCAUUAUCAUUGGAAGUUAGAACAUAUUUGGAAUUUCAAUCAAAUGACUAUCAGAACCAUGAUUUUGGGUGUAUGCCUCAAUGUUAGAGAGCAAAUUGCCUUUAGCGAUGUGCUUAUUAAAUUGUGGCACAAUCUUAGGAGUUGUAAGGCAUAUCUGCAAUCUACAUGCAUGCAUAAGUCCAUGUAACAUACCAUAGUAUGUCACCCAGAGCAUCAUAACCCAGAGUACCCCAAUAUGCCUCUCUGAAUACUUGGAAGACUAUGUUAAUUCUCAGAUCUAGUAAACAUACCAAGCCUAUCCGGUGACAUAAUUGUUGCUUGAACUAGUUGACCAUCUUUUUCCUACCUCAGGGAUUAUUUUCUCUAUUUGAUCUGAUUGUCUGGAUUUGGUGCAGUGUAUCUUUUUUCCAUCUGAUAAAGUUGUGGCACAAAAUUUCUACAAUGUGUUUAUUUGGCAUGGUUUCUCUUGAUGGAUUGUUCUGAUGCUGCUGAAUUUUAACAAUAUUUCUUAGUUUUGGAUUCUUGGUUUUAAUUCCUUUUGACUUUUUCUUGAAUUACUUAUAAUUAGUCUGAUUGAGAUUGGCUGGUUGAUGUCCUUGAAGGGAUCUGAAUGGAAAGAUAAAGCAGAAAAUCUUGAAGUGGAACUACAGCAAUGUUACAGAGCUCAAGCUAGAUUAUCAGAACAGCUUGUGGUGGAAGUGGCUGAAUGCAGAGCUUCAAAAGCCUUGGUUCAAGAGAAAGAAGCAAUAAUCAAUGAUAUACAAAAUGAGCUUACUAAAACAAGGUUAUCUUUUAUUCUUAUGCUUUAGUCAUGUAGAAGGUGUCUUUGAAAUUUCAAGUAGUAUGAAUCGCCUAACUCAAUUAAAUGCUCCAGGGAUGAAUGCUUGCAACUAAAAGUUAUUGUAGAAGAAAAGACUAAAGCUUUAGAAUUAGUUAUGAGUGAGAAUCAGGAGCUUAAAGCACAGCUACAAGAGAUGACUGUGAAAGCUAAGAAUAUAGAGGCUGAAAAUAAGAUGUUGAUUGAUCGCUGGAUGUUGCAAAAGAUGCAGGAGGCUGAACACCUGAAUGAGGUAUUUUAUGUUAUUGUUAUGGUUGGGAUCAAACACAGAAUUAGGUCUAGAUGAUACUAGUACAAAUUGGUAUCACUAGGGAGUGACCCAGAGAAAUGGCAUGAUGAGGGAAGAAAAACUUUGUUACCAUUCUGUGCUUGAUUUUACUGAUGAUUGGUUGGCUAUUAUUAUAAUUACUGGGCAAUACAUCAUUGUUGUCAGAUGUAUUUUGAAUGGGGAUUUUUACUCUGCUUUCAGAUUUGUAUUGAUUAGAUGAUACUCUCCUGAUUUUGUUCACUUUUUAAUCAUCUGAAAGAGAAAAACCUCCUUCCCUUACCUUUUAACUUUUGGACUGAAUUUUUUAUCUGAAAAUUGAAAAGAAAAGUCUUCUUUCACCAAUUUUUCACUGUCCAACUGAUAGGAUAUCAAUUCACGUGGUUUAUAUGAUUUAGACCUGGUUUGAUGCAGCUUUUUGCUGGAAGCACUACUUGAUGAAACUGCUUCAUAGUCAUACUAAAACAUUUUAAUCCAACAUAUAACAACUGAUAAGAUAUCUAUUUACCUGGUUUAUAUGAUUUAGGCCUGGUUUGAUGUGGCUUUUUUCUGGAAACACUUCCUGGAUGAAAAAUGACAUUGGCUGCUUCAUAGUUGUACUAAAACGUUUUAAUCCAACUAUCUAACAAUAACAUUGGCUGUAUACAAUAUUGGUGGAGAUCCAAUGGAUUUUUUUUUUUUUUCAAAGAAAAGAAAAUGAAAAAGGAAAAAAAAAGAAAAGAAAUAACAAAUACUCCAUAAACCAUUCUUAUACAUUUUAGUGUAGGGAGAGAUUUAAGUGUUUAAUCCUCUUUCAGUUGAUUAAGUUUGCUUACUUUUGAAAGAAUGUUCAUAUAUUUUUAGUCUCUUUCCAUCUGAUGGGUUGUCUAACUAUAUUUUAAUUAUUUUAGGCUAAUGCUCUUUAUCAAGAUUUUAAAGAUCAGCUCAAGGCCAGUGGUAUAGCACAACUUGCUCGGCAGCAAGUGGAUGGUGUGGUACGCCAAAGUGAAGAAGGUGCCCAGUACUAUGGGGAAUCAACUGUUCCGAAUACAUGUAAGCACAGGAUCCAUGCCCAUGAGGGUGGCUGUGCAGCUAUAUUGUUUGAGUACAACUCUGGCAAUUUGAUUAGUGGGGGACAUGACCGGGCAGUCAAAAUGUGGGAUACAAACACUGGAUCAUUAACUCGCACUCUUUAUGGUUGUGUGGGCUCUGUUCUUGAUCUUGCUAUUACACAUGAUAACAGAUCCAUAAUUGCUGCAAGCAGCUCAAAUAACUUGUGUGUAUGGGAUGUGAACUCAGGUCGGAUCCGUCAUACUCUUACAGGCCACAUGGAUAAAGUUUGUUCUGUAGAUGUGAGCAAAAUUUCAAGUCGUCAUGUUGCAAGUGCAGCUUAUGACCGUACUAUAAAAGUUUGGGAUUUGCAGAAAGGUUAUUGUAUCAACACUAUCAUUUUCCACAGCAACUGCAAUGCACUUUGCUUCAGCACAGAUGGACAAACCAUUUGUUCAGGUCAUGUUGAUGGAAAUCUUCGAUUGUGGGAUAUUCAGACAGGAAAACUACUUAGUGAAGUUGCUGCUCAUUCACUUGCUAUUACAUCUAUCUCUUUGUCUCGAAAUGGGAGUGUGGUAUUAACAAGUGGGAGAGACAACUUGCAUAAUUUAUUUGAUAUGCGGUCUCUGGAAGUUUGUGGCACAUUAAGAGCGAAUGGAAACAGGGUGGCAUCUAAUUGGAGCCGAUCCUGUAUAAGUGCAGAUGACAACUAUGUUGCUGCUGGAUCCACUGAUGGAUCUGUGCAUAUUUGGUCAAUACUAACAGCAGAAAUAGUGAGUACUCUAAAGGAACACACUGCUUCAGUUCUAAGUUGUUCAUGGAGUGGACUUGGAAAACCUCUAGCCUCCUCUGAUAAGAGUGGAAUUGUUUAUACAUGGACAUGAUCGGUCUCACUUUGACAGUUGUAACUGUGACAGAAGAUUCUGUCUCUCUCAAUCUCUUUGCUGGCUUUGUGUGAGAUACCAAAACCUUAUAAGCCAUUUCAGGUUGCUUGACCCCAAAUCACACUACACAAUGAUAAUGUCCUUCCACUGCUUGGAAUCCAGAUGUUUGUGGGCUUCUAGUUGUAUAGGUUUCUAGUUCAGGAGAUGCCAAUAAUGAACAUCUAAAGUCCAGGUGUACCAUGACCAGAAAAGGGUCAAUAUUGUUGAAGAAAAUGAGGGUUACUAAAAGGAAUUGUUGUGACAGUGCAUCAGUGGAGUAUUUCAUUAUUUUUUAAAUAAAUAAAGGGAACUUGUUUGGUUCUCGGUUGGUAGAAAUGCAUGCAAUGUUCAAUUUAUAUUUCCGUGACUGAUAAUUUUUUUUGACAGGUUGUUUUCACUCUUGAAGAUGUGGGAGUUUCUUGAAUUUUGAACUUUGUCCAGCUUCUUCUUAUAGGAGCUGUUAAAGAGUUUAUAUAUUGAUUUUAUGUCUGUUCUUUAAUUUUUUUUAUUUAGACUACUUUGCUUUUUUAGUUCUUCUUAACUACAUUAAUUUCAGAUUCAUUUUCUUUGGGGUAUAGAUAAAAUUUCUGACUAUAGGACCUCAAAACAAGGUAAUCUGACCAAUUGAUGCAAUGUGUGAUGUUACUGCUCUCAUAUUUUAUUUAAUGCCCCUCUAUUUCCAUUUGUUAUUACCAUUCCAUGUUAAUGCUAACAUUUUAUUCUUAAACUGUUUCCCAUCACAUCAUAUACAAUAUGGUAAGAACAGGGUAAUCAGUCAUUAUUAGAAAAAACCAAUUCCAUGGGUGCAAUUGGCAAGAAAAAAAGAUGAACUUCAGGUAAUCAGUCAUUAUUAGAAAGUUCUUAAUGAGCACUCUUACAAGAAUGUAAUUGUUCUUCAUGAAAGUUUGGGAUUUCUUUGUGCUUCUUUAUCAAGAAUAUUGCUAUCUGCAGAAAUAGCUUAAAGUAGAAGAUGUCAUCUCUUUUGCGAGAAAUGGUUUUUUUAUUUUCCAAUUAAUUUUUUCUCCUUAUGCUUGAGUUCCAAAACUAUUAGGCAACCAGAUUUUCUGUAUGACUAACAAGUUGGCUCCCUAUGCAAUAAUCUUGAAUCCAAGGGCUUGUAAUCUACUUCUGCUGUUUGACAAUAGAUUUCAAUAUUGCUAAUAUGGCAUAAGUGUUCUAUAAUUUUUUUGAUAGACUAUGGCAUAAAUGUUCAAUAAUACUAUGUAAGAAUCAGGAUCAUUGUAAGACUGACUUGCAAUUGGUCUUAUUAAGUAGUUACCAUAAGAUUGUUAUGAGUGGAACAUCCACUCUGGAAUGCUUUUCAAUAGUAUCCAAAAGCUAACUCAUCUGUCUUUGCUUCCAAUAAUUCAUAUUUUCUCAUCUUUGUUGCAGAAUUCCUUUGAAAUGCUGUCAGUCGAUAUAUGAAUCUGAUAUUGAAUUGGAGCCAAUGGAUUCAUUGCCUAUUAGUUUAAUGCCUAUCUAAUUUCUCCAUUAUUUAGCUGCUGUGGUUGAAAUUAGGGAUUAUUGGAUGAACAUAUUGAAAUGAUUAUUACAGAAAAUACUUUAUUUUCAUGCAUGCUGAGUUUACUAUGACUAUUUUAAUUGCUGAUUGGUCCAAAGUUAUAUAUGCCUUUGAAUAGAUUAAUAAUCUUUGUUGACCAAUAUAUUCUAUCUUCUUUAAUGAUUGUUUGUGGUUUAAGACUUUAACUUUCAAACCUUAUCAGUUCUCCAAACCCAGUAGGGUGACUUAAACCUGAAAAACAUUCAACAUAAAACUGAACGAUUAAGGUCAUUUGGUGAUGGAGAAAACCUGUCAAGUUUUACUUGACUAUCCUAUUUUAUCCCCCAAAUUUCCUCCUGAUCCUCCUACAUCUGAAAGAAAAUGAAUCUCAUGCAACAUUCUACAACUCAUUGCUUUACUCUUACCUAGUAUUCUUUCCUUUCCUCUCCAUGACUACAGUAAAUACUCAACAUUGAAAAUUUGACUUCUACAAGCACAACUUUUGGGAAAAUGUAGAUUUAGGAAGAGGCAAGAUGUUGUCAAAGUUGAUUGGUGGUUUUCCAUGUAAGGUCUGGUAAUCAGUCCAAAUCCAGUUUGGGAGUUGAAAUGGUUGUAGAUGGUUACAGAUGGUUGCAGAAAGAUGUUUUGUUAACCUUGGCAUUUAUUUUCAUCCUUCUAAGGAAUGUUCGUGCACAGCUUUGCAUUCCCUCCAGCGUAUCCCCUCAAUCUGAAUUCUGAUGUAUUUGUUAUUGUACUCCAUGUGCUGCACCUUAUGCGUAGAAUGUGCAGCUUGUCAGCUUUAGUACCAUUGCGGUUCUAUUGCAUGAGAGGACUUGAGAUGGUACCUUGUGCACAUUUCUUGAAAGGUGAAGGCAUGAGAUGGGGUUCAAAACUUGAGCAGCUUGCUACUUUAGCUCUAUAGGAUGAUGCAGAAAGUAAUUUUUUUUAACAUAAAAGACACUGUUUGUGCUUCAUCAGCUUUCAUUUUUAAGAACUUGAGAUUUCAUGAAUCGGAAAAAUCUAUGGAAUGUUGGCAUGAGGUUAUCUCGAGUUCAGUUUAGUUGAAUAGAAUACCCUUAAGCGUUGGUACAAGCCAACAACAAAUGAAGACAAUGCAGCAAAAAGAUGUAGAUCACAUUGAUGAAAACUACCGAAAGGGAGUCCAACAAAAAAUCUAUAUUGUGCAACUAGAAGAGCUAAUAUCCCAUGUACUUGACCUAGUUUUGUCUUGAUCUUAAUUAAGUAAUCGAGCUUACCUGCUUGAAAUUUGUGAAAAGCAAUUCUUAGCUUGUGGUUAUGGAGUCAUUCAUCCUUGGAUGGCUCGAUGUUCCUACCAAUUAAAUUGAGCUCUCUCUUCUCCAUGGUGGCAUGCUGUUGGAGUUUUACAAGUGAAAAAUAUGCACCUUUUUCUCCCUUUGCAAGUAGCUCACCAUGCGACCCCUCUUCCACAAUCUUCCCAUCAUCAAUCACUGAUAUUUUAUCUGAUUUUUGAAUUGUGGACAGUCGAUGAGCUACAACCAGGCAUGUCCGACCAACCAUGGUCUUCUCCAGUGCAUCUUGAACAAGGCUCUCCAAUUUGACAUCCAAUGCACUCGUUGCCUCAUCUAAAAGCAAUAUUGCAGGAUUUUUCAAGAUUGCUCGAGCAAGAGCUAAUCUCUGCUUUUGCCCUCCUGAUAGUUGCACACCUCUUUCCCCACAAUAGGUUGCAUAACCAUCCUUCAUGGAACUGUUCAUUGAAGACACAUUUGACACAGAAUUUAGAAAGUGAUUGUGCUCUGAAAAACAUAAAUAGCUAAAUGAAUAAAACAUAAAUAAAGAUCUUGGCAAUAACAAACCUUAUAAAUUCAUGGGCAUUUGCUACAGUGGCCGCUUCAAUAAUCUCAGCUUCACUUGCAUUCUCUUUCGCAUAUGCAAUGUUUUCCUGGAUGGUUCCUGCAAAUAGAGUGGGCUCCUGACUUACCAAUGCAAUAUGUAACCUUAAAGCUCUUAGAUUGUAGUGUUUGAUGUCAAUUCCAUCAACUUCAAUAGAUCCUUUUGAUGGGUCAUAGAAUCUCUCAAUCAUUCUGAUGACAGUAGAUUUUCCAGAUCCACUUUGGCCAACUAAUGCCACUACUUUUCCAGCAUCAACCUUUAGGCUUACACCCAUCAAUAUCAUCUGUUUUGGUCUUGUUGGAUAAAAGAAAUCCACCUCUUUAAAUUCGAUAUCUCCAAUAAGCUUUUCUGGUUUUAUCCCUUUGAUUUCAUCUGGGUCCAUUUUGCUCUUUCUUUCUAGAGUCAUAAAAACUGACUUUAAUGCAUUUGUGCCCUUUGAUAAAUCAGCAGUCAUGCUCCCCGUUUCUGCAAUAAGUCUCCCUGUUGCCACCAGGAUGAAAAAUGUCUGAAACAGGUGCUUAUAUGAAAUUUCUUUAUUGUAUAGCAGCCUCCCUCCAUACCAGAAAAUUAGUCCUGCACUACCAGAAGUGAGGAACUGUGAGGUAAAUAGCCCAAGCCCAGCAUACCAAGAUUGUUUAAGGCUCUCAUUCUUGGGAUCUUUCUGUGUAACCUCAAAAAGUGACAAAACCUUUUCCUGAGAAUAGAAUGCAGUAAUGAUUCUGUGGUUCCCAACAGCCUCACUUGCUAAUUCACUGCUCUUAUUCUGCGCUUUCAAGAUUUUCUUGGACAUACUCCUCAUCAUUACUGCUCUAGUAUAAAAAGCACCUAUGAUGAAUGGUUGUAAAGCGGUAACUACAAUGGCAAGUUUCCAAGCUAAAACCAUACCCAAAAUAACUGCUAAAGCUGCAGCAGAGAUGGCUUGAGUCAACAGUGACAACCGAUCAGCAACAAGAGUUCUUGCCAUGGUCGAAUCCACAGAUAAUCUCGAACAGAGAGCCCCAGUGCUGUUGUGUUCUUGAUCAAACCAUUCGAUCUCAAAUGUCAAGAUCUUUGUGAGGCUUGCCUCCCUGACCCUUCUUGUUAGGUUCUCUCCCAUAACACCAAAGUGGUAAUGCUGAAUGACAUUGGUGAUGAAAGCAAAGAUAGCAAAGGCUAAGAAGGCAAAACAGUACAUUUUUGUUUGUGAUCUAAUCUCAUCAUGGUCAUUGAUGAAGUAAACAGCUAGAAGUGCACCCAUGCAGAAAGAGCUCAUUGGCUGAACUAAUCCAAAGAUAAGAGCACCAAUGCAACCGACUAGGGUUGGCUUCCACUCUGGUGUUGUCAUCCACAUCAGUUGCCAUAUAGAUGGGGGGCUGUAAUGAUCUUCUGACUGUUGGUUGCUGUUUGUCUGAUGACUAGGUAACUGAGGACUCAAUUUGUUUGCUAUUUCUGCAGUGGGGGCAGCUUCUUCAGUGGUGGAGGUGGAAUUGUGACUUUCAUUUCCUUUAGGCUCUGAUAUGAUUUCAUCUUUCAUGAAUGUUGUUUUCUGCAGCUGCACCAUUGCUGAGUAUGGCCCGUGCCUGUUUUGUAUAAGUUGGUCAUGGGAACCAGCUUCCACUACUUCUCCAGAUUGAAUAACAGCAAUCAAGUCAGCAUUACGCAGUGCAGACAGGCGAUGUGCAACAAUUAUAGUGGUUCUUCCUAAUGAUGCCUGAUUGAAAGCAUCCUGGACAGCCUUUUCAGACUGGGAAUCCAAUGCACUAGUGGCUUCAUCAAGCAGCAGGAUUCUUGGAUCUCUUAGCAAUGCCCUUGCAAUGGAAAUCCUUUGUUUCUGCCCUUCAGACAUCUGAAUACCCAAUUGUCCUACCUGAUAAACAUUAAUCCUACGCAUUAGUAUCUUGUUCUUUUUAGUCAGUCAUAGAACUAUAUGGCAGAAAAGCAAAUGAUAGAUUGUCAUUAUUAGGUAGAUCAGCAACAACAACCAAUAUUGGAACAAAAUACCAAAGCAGAUAUUGUUUAAUACUUACCAGGGUGUCAUAUCCAUUGGGUAGUUGUGAAAUGAAGUUAUGUGCAUUGGCAGCUUUAGCUGCUUGAACUAUCUCCUCCUGUGAGGCCUCCUCUUUUCCAAAUAGAAUAUUCUCUUUGACUGUGGUUGCAAAAAGUAUAGGCUCUUGGGCAACUAGACCCAUCUGGCUUCGUAACCAUUUUAGCUGAAGGCUUUUUAUGCCAAUCCCAUCCAACAGUAUCUCUCCCCCAAGAGGAUCAUAGAAUCUUUGGAGCAAAUUAAUCACAGUAGAUUUACCUGAACCACUGCUACCCACCAAUCCAACAGUCUGGCAAGCAACCACUUUAAGAUUGAAUUUUCUUAAUACUAAGUUUCCUGGCCGUGAUGGAUAUGCAAAAUCAAUUUCCUCAAACACCAAUUCACCUUUGACUUCGGUGAUGGUUUUGCCUUGUUGAUCUGCAGAAUCUAUGCUUGGUACACGCUCAAUCAUUUCUAAAAUAAGUGCAGCUGCUGCAUUUGCUUCAGUAAAGUGCUUCACAUUGAGGAAAGAACUGCCAAGAGCACUGCAAAAAAAGCAAGUAAUUAACAGCAUUGAUCGCUAAGGGCAUAUUGAGUGUGGAAUUCAAGGAUUUAUAGCUUCUAGUGACCUGUAAAAUCAAUUGCCACUGACUCUUUGGAGAAAUUUAGAAGGUUUAUAUUAGAGGUGUAGAGGAGUAUGUUCUAAAUUUUACAUUUCCAAGCAUAAAAUUUUCAUUUUGCUAUUUCUCCUGAAGAAGGUCCUUAAAUUUAGGAUUAUUGUCCUUUCUUACCUAUUCUGUUGAGUAACCUUUAAUCAUAAAACAGAACCAUUUUUAGAUGAACUAGAUCCUGUAUUCCUAAUGAUUGGCUUGUUCCGCUUAGUCAGUGUGGUUACCAAGAGUGAUCUAGAGAAUAUUUUAAUGAAAUAGGCUUUAGAUAUCCUUUCAAUGGCAUUACGAGUCAUUCUUCUAUCAACUUGCUUUCAAAGACACCUGAAAUGAAUCACACUGUUUAAGCCAUACCACUUCGGAGGGAAAUUUCAUGUUUUAACAGUAGAAGACAUUUCUAUUUUAAUUAGUCUUGUCUUCUUUUUGCAGCAAUAUAUAGACCAGGGUUUUAAGUGUCAUGUCUUGAGAUAAUAGGGUUACAGUUUAAAAGUUGCAGCUUCUUGAGGAAGAUUGUGAGAUAUUAUGAAUAUCGCUAGAGAUAUUUCGACACCUCAAGAUCUCUCUGCUUAUACUGCUUAACUAUCAAAAUAUUAAGAUUCUUUUUCUAGUUCUUCUGUUUCAUUUUGCCACUGUGGAAUCUAUUUUCAUUUGCAACCUUGUAAUGCAAAGCCAAUUUAAUCUGCUUCUGAGUCACACCUAUGUUUACUAAGUAACUCAUUGUCUUCUUGAUUUUCUUCUGUGUUCAGUUCUUCUCUCUAUUUCACCUUCAGUUCAACUAAUCCUAAGUAGUAUAAAUUUUAAGUUAUAAGCUUGCUUGUGCUGUAAUACCUAGAGAAGAUUGAAGUAGCAAAGUUCAGGUUUCGUUUGUGAAACUACAAAAACUACAUUUUUCUCUCUUUUUAUGCUUUAUCUUGCAUAUUUCAAUGUUUAUGAGUUUACCUACAUGAAUUGAUCUUCUGUAAUUGUUUUAAUGUUUAUGUUGCUUAUGGUGUUUGUAUCUACAUCAUUGUCAACAUAAAUACCCUAUAUGUGAAUUAUUUCUCAUUUAUGCAUUUUAUUUACAAUACUUUGACUUUAAAUGGUGCACACUGUUUCUAUAAGUACUUCUAAAGUUUUAUUUUCAAAUUUCAUUUCUUCGAUACUGAUUUAUGUCAUUUUUCUAAAUCAAAGUUGCUAUUUGGUAUAUUCUUAUUUUCUCUACAACAUCUCUGUGGUUCUUGUCAUGAAGACUUUGAUAUUUAGGACCUUAGGUACAAUGCACAAAAUGUACCAGGAUUUUCACUAUCUUGGCUGGUGCAUAAAAAUAUCUAAUCCUUGUGAUUUUCCCUAUCCAUAAAGAGAUCAGAUGAAGAAAAUAUUAAAGUUUUUUCUUAUUAUAGGGAGUGUUAUAUGCAUGUGCAGGAUUUUCUUUUAGGGGGUUUAGGGGAAUGGGAGGUGGGUAGGAAAUAGUAUCUUAUGUUGAACUUACAGUCCUCCGUAUAUUAUGCACACUCCUGUAGUGAAAACAUUGCCACCUUUAACUCCUUUGUCAGUGACCAAAAUGCUCCCAUACCACCCCUGUAGUGCCCAAACGGCAUAUGUAACUCCUAUGCUGCCAAUGGCCAUUCCCUUCAUCAGUCCUUGUUUGAUCCCUAGCUUUAAAAUCGGUUCCAGUGCAACUGAAUAGCUUUUCACUGUUCUUUCCUCUCCAACAUAAGAAUAAACAGUCCUGAUUGAUGAUAUUGCCUGCUCCACAAUUCCUCCAGCAACAGAAUAAGCUUCUUGUAUCUUCUCUCCAAGCCCUGAUAACAGCUUUCCAUAUACUAUUCCUGGAAUAAUCAACAUGGAAAGUGCAGGAAUGGCAACAAUAGCCAGUCUCCAACAGAGGUACAGAGCAGUCAUUUGAGAUGUGAUGAACAUUGCUAUAUUCAUGAUGAAAUUUGGAAGCUGUCAUGAAUGCUAAAAUAAGUUAGUAUGCUGAAAGUGAAAGAUUAAGUACUUAGUUAAAGUACAAUUGUUUUAAAAGUUUUCUAUUUAGUGGAGCAGGCAAGUGACCUUCUCACUGAGAACUCCUUGUAUGACAAGAAUGUCUGUUGAAAUACUUGAGACUACUUGGGAGGUCAUGGAUGCGCCAUGAGUUCUCUCGAAGAAUCCAACAUCUUGCCGCAGAACUGCUUGUAAAUAUUUCCUGCGCAGUCUAGAAGUUUGCCUUUCUGCGGUGCGUGCCCAACAAAAUCCUUCUGUUAAAGACGCAAACAUAAUGGCCAGGAGGUGAGAGAUUCAGUGGGAUUGUUAUGGAAUAUUACACAUCAGUCAGUAGGUAAUUAUGCGAUUUUUAAGGUCAUACACACAGACUCAUGUAUAUAUCAUGGUUCAAACUCUGUUAUCAAUUGGAUGAAUCAUGGGUCCUGAGUGCUGAAAAUGAGGAUGGUUUUUCUGUUUAGCAGCCAGGUGCAUGCCUUUUUAAUUUUGAUGUCUCAAAUCCUAUCUUCCUUUGACCUCCAAUCAUUAGACAGCCAAGAGCAAAAUGAUAAUUGCAUUGAAGCUUGAAGAGAGAAUUGAGGAUAUGACAUAGAUGUGAAGAUCUCCUAGAAAGUGUGUGAAAAUAAAAAAAAUAAAAGGUCUGAUUGUCGACCCUGAAUCUAGGGAAUCAAAGAAAGGAACAUCCUAAAGAGGAAAAUAUUAGAGAUAUCUCCACAGAUUUUGUUGGACCACUAGAUGCUUCUAUAUGAUAUUGAGUCACAUCAAUGCAUGCCUUACCUGAGUUCCAUAUGUUUUCUAGGAACUCAACCUAACAUGUACACCCAACCCACAGAACUAAAACAAAGGCAAAAACCAUAUCUCUGGUGUGGUAUGCACAUAAGUCCAUUUGACUGGCUUUCCCAGAUAGGAGCCUUCUGUCUUCAAACCAUAUAAAUUCUCAUGCUCUGUAUAAAUUUCUUGCUUUGAUUAUUUCUCAUGUUCUCAUGGGGUUUGUCGACCCAAUUCCACAAAACAGUUUUCGAUAUUCAUGAGAUGAAAUGCUAGUGCAAUCUCCACUGUUCUGUGCAGGCUCUGAUUAAAUAUCUUGUUUACUAAAUCUACUAUAUUGUUUGAAAUAUAAAGAAAAGCAAGGUUGUCUCCUUGAUAGUAUAGAGAUGAAAGUUCAGACCAAAUACCUAGAAAUGAACCCGCACCUAUGCCAAGUGCUACAUAGAGUAAGGCCAAUGCGUACUGCAAAAUGGGGAAAAUAACAACUGCUUCAGUAUAUGCUUGUACUUACUGCAAGAAAUAGAUGGUUGGUUAUGAUUGUCAACCCUCAUUGCUAUUAAUUAAUAGGGGAUGUGGUAUUCUAUGAAUCCUCCCAGUUCAUUGAUUGUUUCUGCAUCUCCAGAAAACAUGGGUGUCUUCUAAAUUUAGAUAUGCUAUGGUUCAAAAUUUCUCUUAUAUUUACAAGCAGAAAAUGAACAAAAUGGAACUUUCAUACUUAAACAGAAAUUGAACGUUAACUUUUGUCUAUUAACCAACCUUAUCUAUGUCUGCAAGGGAGAGAGAUGUAACGGCGUAAGCAUUCAUCAGUUUGCUGAUAACCAGCAUCAUAGCUGACAUGGUUAAUCCGUCUGCAACACAGCCAAACGUCCCCAGUGUCAUCAACACCAUGUCCUUCCAGUCCGAGUAUCUCAAAAUCGACCGUAAUGACCCAGAUGGAGUUGCAGGUUUCCCACUUUCUUCAGGUUUGGUUGAUGAUACAUCAUCCUUCUCUAUUUUUUCAUUUCCUUCUGGUUUGCUUGUUAAUGUAUCAUCCUUUUGUGUUUCUAAAUCGAGUUUUCCCAUGUUUCAGUGACUACUGUCUGAGUUUCGACUAUGAAAAAUUGUGUAGACAAUCCAUACUACAUGUUUAUAUGGACAACAUAAUAGCCCUGGAGCCAAUUUACUAUUACUAUACCGAGCUAGGGACAAUCGUUUUAGCUGAUGUCAUGGCUUACAGUUAAUGCAUCCAGGGAUGUAACAAUCCUAUUGUGAUCUGUUAGUAUUAAAUCAGAUCAGCAUCAAGAUUGCCAUAUUAUUGUGCCUUUGAAAGUAACUUUAUCAUUAGAAUGCUUAAAUUAUUGUAGUAACAUUGACUUGGUCAUGAGGUCUGGGCUACAUGUCAAUUCAUUUCUGCCUUAUUAUAUUGUGAGAUACAGUUUCCUGUCUCUCUUGGUGUUUUUUUUUCCCAUUUCAAGUAGGAGAUACACUCAGUAUCACAGGCUUCAACUGUGGUGCAUUAUAUCAGGAGGACAAAGGAAGCUUGUCAAUACCAUUUUUUUUCCUUUGGAAGCUACUAUUGGAUCACUUUCAUGCUAAUAGAAUCAAACUAUUACUAUAUUUGGGAAGUUUAAUCUUACUUCUAAAAUUUGGCCAGUCCUGUUGCCAUUAUUUGCGCAGGAGCUGGUUGCCUUCUUCAUCAACGUCAAAGAGAAUAACACCAUCUAAAUGUGUCAAACAAUGUCUCUGAUGUGUGUAAUUGAAUCAGCAUGUCCUCCCAGUUAAUCCAUGUACUCUGCUCCAAAUCUUUUUGUAUGCAUUUUCUUGUCCAGAGCAUGACUGCCAACGCAGUUCAGCCAGUUUUCGCUCAAUUUCCAGUCUCUUUCAUUUCGUCAUAAAUCAUUUUUCUUCUUCUAAUCUCUUAGGCCAACAGAUUCGCUAAGAUUCAAAACCGUGGUCUGCUCUGCUUUUCCAGCUACUGAUAAGAAAAUACUUUUGGUCUUAGUGGUCACGAGGUCUCAAACUAGUAGCAAAUUUUGAGAAAACCCUCCCAGGCUUAGAACAAAGAAGGUAGAAAUCUUUAACUAUGAAUGGGGUUGUGAGAUAGUUGAGCUCUUCCAAAACCCUGGGCACAAGAACUUCUAGAAAAUCUCUAAAACUAUCUCAUUUCAGUUUGUAUCAACACAGGUCUAUUUUGUAGCUAUUGGAGUUAAUUCUGAAAUCUCUCUAUGUGAAUCUCGCUGUCCUCAUUCUGCUACACUAAUAUCAUGUUCCAUACAGGUGGGAUUUAUUAUUGUUAGUUAUGCUUUCUCUCUGUUCUCAGGUUACCAGAGCAAGCAGAGGAAUCCUUGAUGCUGUCGGGCUUGUUCAUGGAACACCAAUCCAUAAUAUGCAGCUCUGGCGGGUUGGUCUAGCCAACCUAAAUCUGAUAUGACAUUUGGGCAGUUGGUAGAUAGUUUAAGCUUAAUUUUUUCAAAAUUUAGUUGAGGUUGGCUCCAACAAAAAGCAACUUGAGCUUAAUCCAAGACUGGUUUAGCAUUUUUAUAAUUUAUAUUACUACACAUAAGUGUUAUUAUUAUUUUAAAAGAAAAAAAAAAUGAAAUAGUCUAACUCUACCUUACAACUUGAGCUUGACUCAAACUUGAAAGAGUUGUAUUAGGCUGAACACCUCAAAUUAAAGCUCGGGUUGAAUUGAAUUUGGGUUGAACGUUUAUUAAUUCGGGUUGGGCUGAAUUUCCUCGAAACCAACCAAACCUGCGAUGUAGCCAAGCCAUGAUGUCUGUGACAUGUAAUUCAGUUUUUCCUUCAAAAAGAGGAUGAAAAGCUUGGUUAGAGAGAGCCACAAUUGGUAAAUGACGAAGUGGUUAGUAGGGGUGGGUGUCACGUAAUUCAGUAGCAAUUUAACAAGUGAGAAAAACAAAAUCACUUUCCAAUAGAGUUGAGAAAGCAACAGAUCCAUUUCCUAUUAAGCAAAAGCCUUUAACUUCCACCCCAACAGAACCUGUAAUGUCUAGGACACGGCAUUUUCGAAUUAGGAAGCCAAGAAUCUAGGGAAUUAGAACAAAAUUUUCGUUUCAACCCAGGACCAGAUAUUUGGGAAAAUCACCCCCACACCCCACAUCAACAAGUAAUGCAGAUUGGGUUAAAGCAGGUAGGUCUGGGUCCAUGCUGUCCUUUGGAUAACUCCCAAUGAUAAGGCAACAAGGCAUCACCAGCUUGGGGGAGGUGUCAGUUAUAGAAUUGAGACCAUGAGACGCCUCAGCAAGAGCUUCCAGCCACACAAUAGAGUGCAAGCAUCCAAGUUGGUUCCCAACCAAAUAAGUCACGCAUCCAUUUCAUGGGAGAACAAAUAAUUUGACAAAAGCUAGGCCCAAACAGAUAACUGUUUUUUUUUUUUAAAUAUAAAAUAAAAAAUAAAAAAAGUACAAUGUUUUUAUUAUUUAAAAAAAUAAUUAUACAAAUGUAGAGAGAGAUUAAAAAUAAAAUAUUAAAAAUAAAAAUUAGUUUUAAAACAUACAUAUAAUCAUAUAAAACAUGUUAAAAAUAUUUUAAGUUUUUAAACAAAUUUUUAUUAUAUAAAAAAACGAAAAACAAUUUUCAAAAACUGAUUUUUGAAAACACUUUCAAAAUUGAGCAUUUAGCCCUACAUACCCCAACGCGAAUUAUGCAAGGAAUGAAAUCAAACCCAAAAUUAACCCAAAACCAACAUAGUGAUUAGAAAGCGAAAAACAUAGGAGUUGCCCAUAUGUCUAAGUAGGAACUUAAGGAUGUGUUGGAAAGAAGAUUGCCCACAAAUUUCACCCAUUUCAUUAUUAUGGGCUUUUUUGCUUGGCGUCGAAGCAUAUUUGGCUUUAGGUAAAAGACAAAGUAGUUACGAUGACUUCAUAUUCCACUUGCAGGAUAUCGUGGCUCCAAGCCUCUUACUACGUAGCAUUGCUCGUCACCUUCUUCCCUACUCUCUCUCUCUAAGAUUCUUAAUAACGUGUUUGGCAUGCAAUCUUCCUAAACUGCACAAAACACUCCUAGUUUUCCAGGUUAACUGCUAAAAGAACUUCCCCCCUUCUUUUUUGGUGUAAAAGCUUUGAAAGAGUUAACUGAAUCAACCUUAUAUAAAGGAUUGCUUGUAUGGUUAAAUCAAUUCAAUCACCAGCUAGCUUCCUUGUUCUCCAUAUUCCUCACAACCCCAUCUUCACAUCCUUCAUUAUUGUUGAUAUAGUUGAUGCCCAUAAGGAACCUUCAACUUCUUCAUUUAUUAUCACUUGUUUUGUUCCUGCACUCCCAUCUCUUAUCUUCCAUUUGGUUAUUCUUUCAUUCUUCUAUAUAUACCUGGUUCAGAGUCUCUCAGUUGCCAUCCAAGUAUCAGAAAAUGAAGCGGUUUUUCGUGGUUGCUCUCUCAUUGGUUUUGGUUGUUGGGAUUGUUGAGAGUUUUGAUUUCCAUCAGAAAGAGUUGGAGACUGAAGAAAGUUUGUGGAAUUUGUAUGAGAGGUGGAGGAGCCAUCACACUGUGUCUAGGAGUCUGGAUGAGAAGCACAAGCGCUUUAAUGUGUUCAAGGAGAAUGUGAAUUUUGUCCAUGAGUUCAACAAGAAGGAUGAGCCUUACAAGUUGAAACUCAACAAGUUUGCAGACAUGACUAACCAUGAGUUCAGAAGCACUUAUGCCGGCUCAAAGGUGAACCACCACAGGAUGUUCCGAGGGAGCCAACAUGCAGCUGGGAGCUUCAUGUAUGAGAAGGUAAAGAGUGUCCCACCAUCUGUUGAUUGGAGGAAGAAAGGUGCUGUCACACCCAUCAAGGAUCAAGGCCAAUGCGGUAAGAGAUUUUGCCAAUUUGACUGAUCAUUUUCAAGUGUUAUGCAGAUACACAGUUUUUUUCGUGCUUGUGUGUGCCUGUUCUGAGUCUAAUUGUUGUUGAUGGUGUUACAGGUAGUUGCUGGGCAUUUUCAACGGUUGUGGCGGUUGAAGGAAUCAACCAUAUUAAAACAAACAAACUAGUUUCUUUGUCUGAGCAAGAGUUGGUGGACUGUGACACUUCAGAAAACCAGGGAUGCAAUGGAGGCCUAAUGGGAUAUGCCUUUGAAUUCAUCAAAGAAAAAGGGGGUAUAACAACAGAGCAGAGCUACCCUUACACAGCUGAAGAUGGAACUUGUGAUGUGUCAAAGGUACAUGGUUAGCAACGUUUGGUUUCAUUUAAAUUAGGUGUCUUCUAAUAAUGUUCAGUGAAUAUGAAGUGAAGAUUAUGACGAUGAAAUUCAAUGGUUUUACAGGUGAAUUCGCCAGUAGUGUCUAUUGAUGGCCAUGAAACCGUACCUCCUAACAAUGAGGACGCUUUGCUAAAAGCAGCUGCAAACCAACCGAUAUCCGUUGCCAUAGAUGCUGGGGGUUCUGCCUUCCAGUUCUACUCUGAGGUAUACUCCUGUCAUCCUGACUCAUCUACAAUCUGCAUGAAAAACCUAGCAUGCAGAUUCCAAACCUAUCUACAUGGCUUCUAAUGAUUGUGGAAAACAACAAAAUAAAACUGUAAUCAUAAACAAAAAUCUACAUAUGUUUAGUAGAAUCUCAGUUUAGCUUGACUAGUUCCUAAGAAUCAUUUUCUCGUAUUUGAAAACCUAGACACUCAAUAUAACAACUCGGAUUAGAAUAUCAGUUUAGCUUGACUUGUUCCUCAGAAUCAUUUUCUCAUGUUUGAAAACCUAAACACUCAAAAUAACAACUGGGAUUGUCCCUGAAUUUGGUGUUGUUAUAUACAGGGGGUGUUUGCAGGAAGAUGUGGUACAGACCUAGAUCAUGGGGUGGCAAUUGUGGGCUAUGGAACAACUCUUGAUGGGACCAAAUACUGGAUUGUGAAGAACUCAUGGGGAACUGAUUGGGGAGAGAACGGUUAUAUCAGGAUGAAGCGAGGCAUCUCUGCUAAGGAAGGACUCUGCGGUAUAGCAGUGGAAGCUUCAUAUCCCAUCAAGAACUCCUCAACAAACCCUGUGGGAGCUCCAUCCUCUCUCAAGGAUGAGCUCUAAGCGACAUUCACAGUGAACUAUAGCUUUUUUCAGCCUUCGCAGAUAUUUUGUGUUAGAGUUGCAUGCAGCAGUCCUCAUGGUAACAUGACCAAAUAAACUUUGUCUGACAGAUUUAUAAUAGCAUCGUUAUUUUAAUGUAUCUGCUAAGAUGUGUUUCACGUAUCAGAAUGAAAUAAAGUGCUCGAUUUUACUCUUUUGUUUUACGUAUGUUUUAGCAACAUGAAAGGUUGUGUAUUGGCCUAAGGAAGAAUCGACUAACUACUACAUAAUUAUACUUUAACUAGUCUUCCAUAUGAGUUUCUAGCUCAUGCUUCAGUUUAACAGGUUGCUAGAUGUUAUAUGAUUCCUGGAAGCAUGAGGUACUGCUUGAAUUUUGUAAGAACAUACCAUUGAUCAUUUGCAAGGUUGGUAGAUACUGAUAUCUAAUUACCACAAACAAAAAUCGCACCAUUCUUCCCUGCAGUUCUAAUAUUCAUAGCCAUGAGAAGUUUUGGAAGUUAUCAUACCAGUAAGUCCUAAAGUAAACAUCAAAUGAUCACAAACACAAAGAACAUUGCCCACUAUGUUAAAUUGCCCCUUUCCAGUUGUUGUCAACACAACCCCAGAAAUAGAGAGCAUGAAAUGGAUUUUCAGUGCGGUAUCAUGAACAUAUGCUAUAAAGGGUAUAUGAUUUCAACAACUACCCAUUGGCUAUUAUAUUCUUGCUCAAUUGUAAUGAUCGAUCAGACAAAAGCUCAACAUAUCAUAGAAGCAUUUUAUUACUAAAAUGUUUCAAAGACAAUCUAGGAUGGAGUAGUUCUUAAUUAUUAAUUCUGAAGUACCAAGCAAGAAGCCCAAACAUAGUGGAAGCUUCAUCCAUAUGACAAAUCAGAUUGUUUCUAGAACGUGCUUCAAUCAUAGGUUCCCUUAAGAUUUAAUAACUAGACUAGAGUAGUUUGUAAUUAUUGAUUCGGAACUAAGAAGCAAGAACCCCAAACAGAGGUAGAAGUUCCAAACAUAAAAUUCUAUAUAAUUCAUCAACCAUAGCAUCUGAUGGGGUCAGUGCAGCCCUUUUCAGCAGACUGGCGUAAGCCUUUACCUCCACCCUUUUCCAGAUAUUGCUGAUGGUACUCCUCUGCUCUGUAAAACCUCUUUGCUGGAAGAAUUUCAGUGACAAUGUUCUUAUCAUUCAACUCCUUCUGCUUAGCUUCCAAUGAUUCACGAGCUAAACGAGCCUGGGCCUCAUUGUAGUAGUAUAUCCCCGAUCGGUACUGUGUGCCCACAUCAGCACCCUGACACAAAUGCACCAUAAACAAUUUAAAGGUCCCUUAGUCCCUUGUCCAUCAUGACAUAUCUUUUGUUCCGGUUGCUUGGGGACUGGGGACGACCAGAAAUGAGACCAAAAACAUUCUUAGUUAUAGAGCCAUACCCUACUAAAAACCUGAAAUCUCAGGAACACUUUGGCCAGCAUGAAUUAAGUCCGAAGCAUUUUGAUCCAAAGGGAAGUGUUCUGAUGUUAUUUGGGAAGCAACUUUCAACAGAAAAUCAAUCAAAAUGCAUAUUUACCAUAGCAACUCUUUAAACAGAGUCAUCAAGUACCAGACAUAAUGGCAAGAGUCUUUAACUCAAGAAAGCAUGAUCCUAAAACUCAAAAUCCAUUGGAAACCAAUAUGUUGGCAAAACUGCAAUCAACAGAGAUCUCUCGCUCAUCAAUCUUAAAUUCUCAACAGAUUUUCCAACAACCAAACAGUUAAAACCAAACCCUUUUCUUUAAUCAAGAAAAUACAAACACCCUUUUAUGCAUAUUGCACAGGGAAAAAAAAAGGCAAAAAGGAGGGUGGAAAACGAGAAAAUUAGGAAUGUACCAAAAAGCUGAAGGAGGAAAAGGAGGGUACCUGGCGAUUGAGGCUGGUGGGAUCGUGCCGAGACCAGAAGAGAGAGAGGAGGUUGGAGUAGGGGCACACAUCGGGGUCGAACUGGACCCGAACCACCUCCACAUGGUUGGUGGUUCCGGUGCAGACGAGCUUAUAGGUUGGGUCAGGGACGUGGCCCUGAGAGAACCCCACCUCCGUCUUCACCACCCCAACAAGUCGCUGAAACGCAAGCUCCACCCCCCAGAAGCACCCUGCUCCGAAUUGAGCCAACUCCAGACCCGGGUGGUCUGGGCGAUCCGGAUCCCGUUCCAGAGCCGGGUUAGUGCUGUUGGCCGCCAUUGAUAGUGAGAAAAUGUUAGAAAAAGCUGUGGGGGCUCUUAUAGAGAAGCCACAACAUUGAAAGUGAAUGAAUCUUAGCUAUAAUCCAGUCCAGACACAGAGAUCUUGUUUCUUUGCACGGAGAUGGAGAUUGGUGGGUUCUAAUAUCUUGUUUUUCUUUCCCAACAUGGAGAUAGAGAUUGGUGGAUUCAAAUGCCUCCUCACACGUGAGAAAUAAUAUGAAAUUAGGAUUCCGCAAAACAAAUCGAGGCAUGCGAAAAAAGGAAAAGCAUAGAAAAUAUGCUCCUCUUAGCACAAAGUUAAUCAACGUUCUUCUUCCAAGAUACAACGAAAAUAAUAAUAAUAAUAAUUUUAAUUUCAUGAACCAUGUAUCACAAGUUGCUCAUAAAAAAAAAAAAAAAAAUUAAAGAUGUAUUAUCACAUAAAAUUCAAAGUUAUCUCUUUUUAUAACUCUUUAAUUUAUUUAAUAUAAUAAAAAUAGAAGAAAAAUGGAGAACGCGAUUCUAUUACAUCAUAACUCCAUUUUCUCUUCAAAUAACUCACUCACUACAACAACGUUCACAAUAAUUAAGAAUUAAUAAUAAAAAUUAAGAUAAUAAAAUAUAAAAUUAAAAUAACAUAAAUAUAAUAACUAUAAAUUUUAAUUUAAAUAUAACAACCCCCACAUAAAUUAAAGGGAUAAUUGUGUUUUCAACUCAUAUAGGGUUCAUAAUUAAGAUAAGGUCCUCCAACCACCCAUAACUGAUAAUAAGGAUAUGAGAUAAUAAUUGAUAAAAAUACUCACUUGACUCAUUUUUGUCUUUAUUCUACUACUUGCCACUAUUCUUUCUUAUUUAAUUAUUUUUGGAUUUUUCAUUAUUUUUUAAAACUCUUUGAUAAAUAAUUAAAAAAUUAACAUUAUUUUUUAUUUUUAAAUUAUAAAACAAAAAUAUAUUAAUGAUUCAAAGACUAUUUUGGAAAAUACUUUCUAAAAAAAUAUUAAUUUAAAUAAAUAAAAAUUAUCUUUUACAUUUAUUUUUAUCUUUUACAUUUUAAAAGUAAAUAAUUUAAUGAUUAAAAUACCAUUUAAAAUAAAAAUAUUCACUAUUUUAAUUUUUUUAUACUAAAAAGUAUUUUAAAGUUUUUAUACUAAAGUCAAUUUUUAAAAAAUUUAAUAUAAGGUUAAUGUAGAAAAUAUAAAAAUAAUUAAAAAUAAGAGAAAAAUAUAAAUGAAAGGGUAAUAUAAAUUUAAAAUAAAAAAUGAAAAUUAAACUAAAAGAUAAAUACAAAAAGAUAAAAAAUAUUUGGAUGAAAAAUCCCAAAAUUUUUAUCAUUGCUUAUAAUAAGAGCAAAAAGAUUCAAUAUCUUUAAAAAUGAAAAACAAAAAAACAUUAUUGCUUUUUAUUUGAUAUAAAAUAGAAAUAUAGAUGGGAAGAAAAAGAAAAAAAAAAGUUAGAAAUGAGUAAUAUUUAAUAAGGAAUAAAAGGGAAAAAAAACACAAAAAAUUGAAAUUCACACUCACUUGUGCCUAUAUAAGGAUUAAGGGUAUUUUAGGGAUUAAUGAAAGACAAUAUCUUCAUUUUAAUUUUCAUAAUUUGUUUGGAUCUUGGGCUUAAAUAUGCAUGAUAUAUGAACCAAACGUUAAUUUUUGGGCACAGCUGGGCCCAAAACACAAUUCUCCCUAAAUUAAAAUUUAGUAUCGUAAAAUAGCCAAAUUACUAUGUAAUAAGGGUAGGUGUUUUCUUGUAUUUUGAAGUAUAUAAGGAAUUCAUUGUUUUGCUUCAUUACACGUCUUAGGAUCAUCUUCAACUAAGUAUGUGAAAAAGUCAAUACCAAAAUUCUUUUCAAUUCUCUCUUUUACUUCUUCUAAGUUCAAAAUUUUCUUGAUUUUCGAAGUUUAAAAUUGAAGUAGUUUUUACAACAAAGCUAGAAUUUUUUCUUCAUAAUUUAACGAAUAUCCAAUAAAUACGCAAUUUAUAGCUUUUGGACCUAAUUUUCUCCUUUUAUUUAUUGGAAUAUUUGCUUUAGCUAAACCCCCCACACUUUAAAAUAUUUUAAAUUAGGUAUCCAAUUUUUCCAAAUUUCAUAUGGUGUUUUUUUUUUAACAUUUAUAAGGAAUUCUAUUAAGAACGUGACAAACAAAGUAUAAGGCUUCACCCCAUAAAUUAUUUGGUAAACUUGAACUAGUCAAUAUAACAUUUACCAUAUCUAACAAAUUUCUAUUUUUUUUCUCUCUACAACUCCGUUAGAUUGAGGUGAAUAAGGUGUAGUAAUCCCAUGUUGAUCACAAAAAUCAGACAUUUCUUUUGAUAUAUAUUGACCCCUCCAUCUAACCUUUAAGUUUUAAUUUUAUUUUCAACCAAAGUUUAUAUAUUUUGAAUUUAUAAUAUAAUUCAUUAUUAGAGUUAAUAAGAUAAAUAUAACAAUAUUUAGAAUAAUCAUCAAUAAAUGUAAUAAAAUAUCUUAUAACGGGUAAUAAUAUUGUUCACGGUGAAUUAAUUCUAAUAAUUUAAUUUCUCUUUUAACAAACUUAAAUGAUUUUUCUAGGUUGUGUAUCUUGUAUCCAAACUUCACAUUUUGUCUUAGCAUUAAUUUCAAACUUUGGAAUAAGAUCUAAAGUUGUCAGCCAAAAUUUCAUUUGUUGUUGCCAAAAUCUUAAAAUUUUGGCCAAGAGAACUUCUUUAGACUACAAGAUCCAAUUUCUAUAGAAGUCAUAUUCAUAAGGAACUUAAGUUUAAAGAAAACCAUGUAUUUUCUCUUAAAAUGUUGGAGAUAAUAUCAAAUUAGGAUUCAACAAAAGAAAAGUUAUUAGAAUAUACUCAAAAUUCUUAAAAAUUGUGACAUGAUAAUAAUAAAUCAAAAAGUGUAUCAAUAAGAAAAUGAUAAAGAUUGUGAAAAGCUUUAUUGAGGUACAUUGAUGCGUUCUCCUAAAAGAAAAUACAUCAUUAAAAUAUUGCAAAAAAUUUAAUUCCGCAAACCAAAUGUCAUAUGUUGCUCAUCAAAAUAAAAAAGUAAAGAUGUAUUUUUAUCAUAAAAUUCUACUCUGUAAAACUUAGAGUUCUUUCUAUAGAAAGAGAGAUUUUCUUGAUUUUAACAUAAGUUAUUUUUACAAUAAAAUUCUACUCUUUGUAAAACUUAGAGUUCUGUCUGUAGAGAGAGAGAUAGAGAUUUUUUUUUGACUUUGACAUAUGUUCAUUACUCAAUUUUAAUUAUGCAUAUGUUCAAUUUAAGAUAAAUAAUCAAUUCUAAAUUUAGGCUAACCAAUUAAUCCCCCUAUGAACGUACUUUUCGGAGAAAAUUGUGUUUCUAGUAAAUGAAAACGGCGUCGUUUGUUUAAGUGUUGAAGACGAGGAUGGGUUGUUAUUUAUAAGUUAUAUUACUUAUUAGGCAUGUAAUGUAAUCAAGCGGGGAUGAGCUGGGCCUGGCCCUCUAGGCUUGGACUUCAUAUGGGCUCCAGGCUGCCAAGCCCGACCUAAGGCCCAUGGUCUGGGUUGGGCUUACGAAAGCCGUUGUCUAUUUGUACGAGUCACGAGUCGCGAACCAUUGAAUUGGAGUGGUGUUAUCCAUCGUCUGUACUAAUUUCUUUCAAAAUGGGGAGCUAAUGUAGAAGCCACUUGAAAGAAGGACCCAUGGUGGAGCUAGCUGCCCAUGACACGUCUAUGCUUUUCACAACUUCAACAAUUUCCCUGUCAUAAAGAUUGGGGGCAUGCCCACCCCCAAUCUUUUUUAAUCAUGGUCAUAGUUUUACCACCAUCAACCUUGAAGUGAGCGGUGACUCAAUUAGAUCCCCAACCCCACCCGUCAAUGAAACACCAUCAAUGCACACUCAUAAAACAAUGUUUUCAAAAGCGGAUCGGAUGGAUUGAUUAGACCAGUAACAAUUCCAAUUUGAUGCACUAAAUUGGGUUGUUUUUGCUUUGGGUCGAUAUGAGAUCGUAUAAAUUGACGUUCAAUGGCCAAACCAGAUGAAUCGACCAAUUCUUAAGGAAAGUGAGACUCAUUCUUUACUAGAUAUUGUCCUAUUUAAGGACAUAGUAGGUUUAUGUCAUCAAGAAAAGGUAAACCCUUCUCUACAUUCACUUUUCAGAUGAUGUGAGACGCUAUAAUCCAACUUUUUAAUUGGUAUGUUUAAUUAGAUAUUUGUAUAUCACAAAUAUUUCACGAUCUUUCCAUAUAGGAUCAAUAAUUUAUUAGAAAUUAAAGAGACUUUUGCUUUGCACUAGGGAUAGGCUCAACCGAACUAUGCAUCACUUUUUGUACAAUAUACACAUAUAAAAAUACAAAUGUGUUUUUCAAAUUGUUAUCAUAUCAAACCAUUAAAUAUUGUGCAAUUAUUUACAUUGACAUUUAUUUUUAUAAUAACUAUUCAAUAUGAAAAUAGUAUAAAUUAAUUAAUAUAAUAAUUUUUAAAAUUUUAAAAUAAUAAAAUAUCUAAACAUAUAAAUAAAAUUAAAUAUUAUAAUUAUUUUUCAUCUCAAAUAUAUCUUCAAACUUAAAUAUUAUACAUGUUUUAUUAAUAAAAUUUAAUACAUUUAUAUUUAUAUUCAUGAUAUAAUUUGAUAUAUCAAAUAUAAAAAAUAAAAUAUUAUUAAAAAAUUUUAAUUACAUAUUUUUAAAUUUAUAUAAUAUAUAAAUUAUAUUUAUGUCAUCUUUGAUUCAACCGCGAUUCAACCAUCAGCAUGACUAUUGAAUCAUGAAUUAGUAACUUAUUCGAUUUAGUGACCGAUUACCCAAUUUUAAAUUUAUGAAAAUCGAUGGAUUCAAAAUGGAUCAAGAUAGUAGGAGAGCCGAAACCCAAUUUAUAUAUAUAUACAUAAAAUUGAUAUGGUAUCAGAGUGAAUUCCAAGUUUUAAUGGGUUAAUGGAUCAAUACAAAUAACAUCUACAGAUUCAAUAUCCAACCUUUUAUUUAGUAUAAAAUUAAAUUAAAUUUGAUGGUAUAGUAUCAUUACCAUAAACCUUUUCAAGACACAAAAACACAGCCCCAGUACUAAGGCAAUCAUCAUAGUCUCUUCUAGUGGGAAGGUAAGGGCACAAAAUCAUAGGAUCUCUUUUGAAUUACCAGUGGGGGAUAUGCAGGUGCAGGUUGCCUUUUAAAAAAGGGGCCCUUUCCGCCAGGAAGAAGCUGAAGGCAUGAUGUUGCAUGCCUCUUUCCAGGAACAUUUCUGACCCUUUGGACUAAAAGAAUAUGUGGUAUUUUUAAAGCCAAAUGCACUCUUUGAAAUCCCACCACCUGUGGAUCAAAGUAGGAGAAUGAAGGCCUCCAUUGUCCCCCACCACCAUCACUGCUCUGCUCCGCUUUGGAAACAGAGCACUGCCUUUUUCCUCCAAAACAGAAACAUGCAGCAACUACAAUGACUUUAAUUGAUGUUUUCUUGGGGGAAAGGCAUAAUUCAUUUGCGGUAUACUUAACCUCAGUUUAAUUAAUUAAGAGUUCAUGUGGCAAGAUCUCUACGAAAAACAAUUUUUUUUUUUUUUUUUUUUUUGUUUAAAUUCAACUCGGCAUUCACCAAAUAAGGAGGUUAACUCAUAUUUUCUUCAUAGAAGGCGUGUCAAGUAUUCAUAGCCAGCCAAGAGAAUGGGACAUGUGACAACGUCCUUUGGGAAUUGUCAAGCUAUAACAAAAUCAAAUCAUAAUCAAGGGACCCUCAAUACUUGGAUUCAGAGGGAAAAAACUAGAAGAAAAAUGAAAAAAAAAUUAACCUUUUUUAUAUAUUUAUUUAUUUAUUUAAAUAUUUUUUUUUCUUUCUUGCAAUCAAAGGAAAAGUAAAGUAACUUGAAUACAAAAGUAUAACAUUGCUCCUCAUUUCCUUAGUAAAAAAUUAAUAGUAAACAAGUCACUAUCAAAAGAAGCUUAAGCUACAAUCUAUUUCGUGACCAUUUUUGUAUGUGUUUAUAGAAUGCUAGUAAUGAAAAACACAUGCAGUGUUCAAAAUCUUGCGAAUACUCAGUUUCAAAGCUUAUAGUCUGACUAGUAUUUUGAUUAAGAAGUGACGAAUUGUAGGAAUGAGAGAGGCAAUUACAAAAUGAACUAAGUAACUUGCAUUCCCACUAAAAGGAAAGUUGUAGGUUGACAGACAACGACUCGACUGACUUACCCUACUUCCUUACUCUUUCACUCACCAACCUUUAAAACAGGGGUCCCACACUAGACAACAACAAGAGAAAAAGCCAAAGGACACUUCACUUCAUUUACAAACAACCAGUAACCCAACGCAAUUCUUUGAUGAAUAAGCAAGAACCGCAUGCGUACUAACAAUUACUCCUCACAGUCUAAAGCUUCCAAGUCCAUGGCGGUGAUCCAGGGUCUGUCUUGGCUCCUCUUCCCUUUUCCUCUUAGGCAAGGACAAGGAAGACAUGGCUUUGGCUGACACCACCUUCCUUACAAGUAGCUUCCACCUUGCAUCCUCACCCUUUUUCACUUGUUGUGCUUUCAAUUUGAAUUGCCUGUCAAAUCCACAAAAACCAAAAUGAUCAAUUCGAAGGCAUAUUCAUAAAUAAGAAAAGGGUGGAGGAAAAUGGUAUCUUAGAAAAGGCCAUAGGUUGAUGGAACUUGGGACCCACUCUCUUGAUAUUUAUAAAUACACGAGUUAGAGGUGAGAACUUGUAACAUCAUCUUUUUCACGGUAGGCCACAAGCAACCAUGACUCUUUCAGAGGAUAUUUCUUAUCAAGAUAAUACCGAUGAGAUUUUUUUUUCCUGAUAGUUCUGAAGUAUAUGAGAUGAUGGUUAAAAUGACAAACUACCAAACACUUGGACUAUAAAACAAACUCAUAAAUCUUUUUCAAACCAAUAUGAGAUGCAUUAAAGGAUGGAUUCUCUCAUUUGAGCCACAAGUUAAAGAGGGUCAUUCAAUGGGUUGGAUUCAUUGAAUCAUCGUAAGCCUUAGUCUAUUCACAUUUGUAAUCACCUAUUGAUGUGAAUGACCAGAUUUUGGCUGAUAUAUGAUUUGUGAUAUUGACUCUUUCUGCCAGUCUUGUCUAUGGGGGCUGCGAGCGUGGGUCCAAUCGAAUGGAUGAGAAUUGAGAACCAAUGAAGCAUGACUUAAAGAUGCAGGGGACCGUGUCCUUUAUGGAGUAAGAAAAUGAAAUAAAAUGAAAUGAAGCUAUGGACCACUGUUUUUACCUGCAAAGAGGAACUCUGCACAAAUCGGUUUGGUCACAGAUGGAGGAGUGAAGGCGGAGGAGCUGCCACAUGCGCUUGCACCGAGAGCAACCUCCAUUGACCCUCUUCUUGCAGGUCCCGAAGUGUUUAAUUAGCAUCUGCAGACCAUGACACGUUGAAAACUUCCCACAUGGCCCCUUCUUAGUUGUAGGCUCCAGAUGGUAGGGCCCAACGCUCGUGCACCCUUCUGUGCAUAUAUGCUCCAAACAUUCCAUCGCCUCGCUCAGCUGCAGAUACAAACACCUUUCCUCCCUACGCCGCCUACUUCGCUUCUUCCUCUGUUUUACGUUAAUUAUUAAAGCAAAAGUGAAUAUUUUCCCAUAUUUUUAAGGGAAUCCAAAUAGAGGGAUAAAAGGACUCUGUUGCGGUGGCCUUACCGAUUCAGAUUCUUCCAUGAACUGCAUAAUCUCGAGCUCGAGAUGGGGGUCGUGAUCUUGCAAAAACAUCCAACCCUCAGUCUUCUCCACUGUCUUGAAAUGAUCCGAGAUCAACCUCAUGCACUUAAUGUAGAGAUCUGGGGCAUCGCAGAGCCUCGCGAGCUGAAGCACGUCCACUACAUUGUCGUUUGUCAGCCGCUUAGCCAAUCCUUUGGUGCAUCUCUGCUUCAGCUGUGGGACCAAAAACACAUGCGACAGAGCCAGCAGAUGAAUUCCAUACGUCUCCAUUUCAUCGUCUGUACACCUGCAGACCAGGGGUUUUUUUAAUCAAUUAACACCUCGAUUAAGCUAAUCCCGAUCCAAAUCCUUCCACUAAUACAGGGCAAAUACUCUAAUUUAUGAAAACCGAAAACCGACCACUGAACCGUGGGGCUCUCGAUGCGCCACGUGUGAUAGAUUGUAGGCGGACGGCUAGCAUCCUUGGACGCUUUUUAUUUUUAAUUAAUAUUGAAUAACUUUUUUCUUUUCCCAAAAGUGUAUGAAGAACGCAAGUGAAGAAUAUCUAAUUCUGGUCCACCGCUCAGAUCGGGCAAAAGAGCCAAUCGUUGGACCAGUGGCGGCCAAGAUUUCAGCAAGUCAGAAAUUAAAAAUGGAGUGCGGAUGGCAACUGACCACGACGAAUAGAGGAACCGAACGAACGCCAAAACGGCGUCGCAGGGAACGCCGAGGAUCGGAAUGAUCUUCUCCGAUCGCCGAUACUUCCGUGGCCGAUCCAGAAUAUUCUCCAGUACCGGUGAAACCGAAGCCUUCAAUUCCAAAGAAAAAAAAACCAAUACCAAAACAACAAAUAUAAGAAAAACAAUCAAAACUCAUCGAAAAGAUUCAGAAAACCAAAAAAAAAAAAAAAAACACCCUAAGUUCAAGAAAGAAGAAGAAAAAAGGCAAAAUCCAAUUGAACGUUACCAAGACGGAAGCGUUAGCCGGAAUGCGAAGUCCGCCAGACGUGACGAUAUAAACGUCCGGCUCACGAAUUGCACCGGAGAUUUGAUCGCAGUCAGAGGCGAGUUCCAUAUGUUCGUACAUGUCACCGGAAAAGUUAAACGGCGGCGAUGCUGUGGUGGUGGUGGUGGUGCUAAUUUCUUUCCUCAGAGAGAAACGUGUCGUUCCAGAACGUGCGAGGGGAAUGAGGUUGCUCCCGAUUUUAUAGGCGCGACGACAGAAAUGCGAAGCGCUUCUCAUAUCCCCAAGUGCUCUACCAGGUGCGUGAACCACACUGCCCGAUAUUUUCACGGCUAGAUAUCUAAAGUUGGAGCUUAUUUAUUUAACUACAUUAGUUUGACCAUUUCCUUUUUCAAACCUCUUACACAAUCUUCCUUAUUUAAUUAUGCACAUGGAUGAAAUGAAAAGCAACACUAAUGUCUAGCACGUUACAAAACUUAAGAGCAUGUUUCACAUUGUGAUUUCAAAAUAUUUUUCAAAUAAAAGAAAAAUUUUAAAAAUAAAAAUAAUAAUAUAAAAAGAUCAGAAAAAGUAAAUAAAAUAAAAUCGAUCUCUCAAUUAUCUACAAUUUUUUUAUAAAUUUUAUUUAUUUAUUUUUUAAUUAUUAAAAAAUGAUUUCAAAUCUAAUCAACACAUCAAUUAUUGAUUUUUAAAAAUAAAUUAAAAGUAAAAAGUGUAACGAACCAAAUGAAAAAAGGUAUUUUCAAGCAUUCAAAAAUACUUUUAAUUUCUUUAGAAUUACAGUCCACAUCAAGUGAAAAAAGCUUUUCAUGGUAGCUUACGGGCGCGUGGGUAACACAAAAAUGAGUUGUGCAGCAACUAGGAAUCCAAAUUUAACCCAUGUUUAUUGGGUGUCCAUUUUAGGGGGAGGUGGAUGAGUUUAGAAGGUGAGGUGGAAAGGAUAAGCCACCUCGUCAGCUGGGGGCAAGGCCGAGUUGAAAUAAACGGCUCUUGGGGCCAAGAAGCGCCGGUUCACCAGGUCUGACGGGUCACUCGUUCUGAUCCGUUUCAUCCCUACUUGUUCCUUUGUUUAGUGACAUGGCGACACCUAGUGUCCCAUGUGGCAUAAAGCGAAUCACCGCUAAACGAAGCUGGAUUGAUCAAUGACUGGUUGACACGUAUGAAAAAAGAAGAAUGUGGGCCCACGACCCUUUUGGCGUGAUCAAGGCUCCGGUGGUGCGCCGCGAGAAACUACUAGAAAAUGCGAGAAAGUAGGUGUUUUGUUUGGUUAGAAUGGAUUGGGGUGAGUGUGAUUAAAGAAGUGAAGUUGGUUGGGAUAUGAAAAAGGUUAGUGGAUUAUUCUGAUUAAUUUUUAAUUCAACUUGGAAGUGGUCCCCUUUCUUCAAAGAAGCUUAUCCAAAGGUAGCUUUUUCAGUGUGUUUAUUUUAUUUAUUUUAUUAUUUUAAAAAGAUAAAAAUGAAAACAGGAUUAUCGCACUCUGAGUAUGUGAGUUAAUUACAUGUAUCCAUAGCUAAAAGGAAAUGCAAAAGCGAGAGAGAAUCAACACGUACAAGUCUCCCAUUAAAGGGAUUUCAUCUCAUUGUCCUCUUAUCCAAGAGACUACCUAAUUGAUGGUUUUAUCCAUUUUGGGCGACUCUCGAAGUCCAUAGUAGGUAGGAUGUAGGAUGGUAAAUUCGCAACUCUCUCUAAUAAAUAAAUUAAUAUCUUGGUCCAUAACGAUUAAUGAAAAUAAAUAAAUAAAUAAAAAACAGAAAAUCACAUGGACCAACAUCACUCAUCUAAAAAUAUCUCGAUAUGACCCAAACCCACUUACUUACAUUCAACCAAACAUCUCUACUCUUGAAAUUAUUUCAAAAGCUAAGUGUGCAACAUGAGUUAUCAAAAGUGAGUAUAAAACUAGGAUAUAACACCGCAUAGUCUUUCCCUAACCCUCAUGCCAUUCAAAUUUAGCCUAGUUGAUUUUUUGAUAACAUCCCUUAUGCUUGCAUCUAAUUAUGAAUAUAAAUUUGUAGACCCGAAUUCUUGACAUUCAUCCCCACUCGACUGGGCUUUCUAUUUAUAAAAAAUAUUUUUUUUUUUGUAAAAAGUUUGGAGUCAUCAUUUAUUUUUUUAAGGGAAAACAAAAUAAUUUCUUAUUUUGGAAAAAUUUAUCCUCGAAAACUCGAGUUUAAGUCCAAAGGUCAAGUUACACUACAAUAAUGGUAGCACCUCUAAGCCCUAUACCUACCGUUUCUAUCAAACGAAUAAAAGGAAUUAUGAUAAUUAAUUAAUUAAUCAUUAAUAACAAGAUUAAAUACAUAAAUCAAUAUACACAAAAAUAAUCAUGAAAUCAAAUUAUAAGAAUGUACAAGAUAAAUGACAUGAAAAUUAUGCAUAUUGAUUUAUUAAAUAAAUUGAAAGAGAGGUUUAAUGAUUUCAAAGAUCAAACAUAUUUUCAAGAAAUUUCAAAAAAGGUUUGUUCACAUUAAAAAGAAUUUUGAAUUAAUUAUUUAAACUAGUUUAUUUAAAAAAAAAGUUUCAAUUUAUUUUUAAUAAUUGAUUUGAUUCAAUCUUAUUUGUAUUCAAUUAUUAUUCCCAAGAAAUUUAUUUAUACCUCUUACUGUUAAAAGAGUUUAUCAAGAACAAUAAAAAAAAUGAGUUUAUAAGAAAAUGAUUUUUAUUUACAUAAAAGAAUGAAUUUUUGUAAUUUUAUUUAAUUAUUUCAUUUUAAAUUUUAUUUAAGAAAAAGGGAUUUUUACAAAUUAUUUAGAAAAAAAAUAUUUUUUUUACAAAUUUAUCUACAAAAGAUAUUUCUUUAUUUUCAAAACCCUUAAAAUCCAAUCCAAUUUUAUUAAUACAAAAAAAAAUAUUAAUAAGAAAAUGAUUUUCUAAAAAAUUAUUUUAAAAAAAUGUUUCAAUCCUCUCUUUUAUUUACAAAAAAUUAUUUAUUAUUUGAUUUUAUUAAAAAAAUCUUAUCUUUGUUUGAUUUUAAAAAAAGGUUUAUAACAUUAGGACUUGAAAAAAAAAUAUAAACAAUGUUAAAAAAAGGAAGAUGUCAAUUCAAUUUUAUUUAAGAAAAGUCCAUUUACAAAUUUAUUUAUGGAAAAAAAAAGGUCUCUUACAAAUUUUCUUUAAAAAGAUGAUUUUUCAAAAUUUUAGUUUAAAUAAGGAAAUUUGUUUAACUUUUAUUAAGAAAAGAAAUUUGCCUUUUAUUUUAAAAAAGAAGAUUUUUUUCAUACGUUUAUCUAAAAAUAAAAUUUAAUUUAUCUUUUAUUCCAAAAUAAAGACCUUUUCACAAUUACAAAAAAAAAAAAAAAAUCAAACAAUUUUUAAAAGUUUUUUUAAUUAUUUACAAAAUAUCUUGCAAUCCUUUUUUAUUGACAAAAACCAAUUUUUAUUUAAUUUAGAAAAUAUUUUUUAAGAAAUAUAUUUCAAUUUAUGUUUUUAAAAAACUCUCAAAUUUAUAUAGAAAAGCUUUACAAUUUAUUUUAAAAAAAGUUGUCCCCCUUUUAUUCUAAAAAAAGAAAAAGAAAAAGAAAUUAUUAUUUGAAAUUUGUUAUAAAAAAUUAAGAGGAAAAAAAGUUCAAAUUUAUUAUAAAAAAAAAAGUGAUAUCAUAUUCUAAAAAGAAAAUCUCAAUUUAUUAAAAAGGGAAAUUCGAUUUUAUUAAAAAAAAAUAUUUUUCCUUUUCAAUUUUAUUCUAAUUUUUUUUUCUUAAUUUUAUUUUAUUUUUUAAAAAAAAAACUGUUUUUCAAUUUUUAUUUCAAAGAGUUUUAUUUUUCUUUUCUUUUUAAAAAAAGUUUCUAUAUGAUUUUAAGAAAAUUAUUUUUAUUUAUUAAUAAAAAAAUCUUUAAACAAAUCUAGAUUAUUCAACAAACGUUUCUUUAAAAGGACUAAAUUUUUAUCCCAAAAAGAAUUUCGGUUCAUUAAAGGCAAGAAAAACAAAAUAAAAUAUUUUUCAAAUUAAAACAUUAUCGCAGGAUUAUUCCACCAGCGGAAAAAUAAAAUAUAAAUAAAUAAACUACAUUUUUCAUUAACAAAUAAUAAAUAAACAAAGGCUAACAAAACAUAUUAAAUAUGGUUAACAAAUAAAACAAAACAAAAAUAAAUUAAUAAAUAACAAAUUAAACAGAUAUGUACAAUAAAAAUCUGAACAUUAAUAAUCCAUUGACAUAUGUGUAAGGUAAUACCAUUCUUUCUCUACCUCUUUUUGCCUACAAUGCAAAGCCAAGAUACCAGCAAGCCUAAUCAACAACAAAAAGGCAAAGGGUUAAAGGUAUUAUAAAGCCCAAGAUAAUAUCCAAUAGCAAGCCCAAGCAAAAAUCAAAAGAAAAUAAAUUGAAGCCUAACAACCCAAACCAAAUAGCAAUAAGCUCAAAAUUACACCAAACUUAACCCAAAGCCCAAUCUCUUAAACUAAAACCAAUAAUCACAAGCUUAUGAGCCAAAACGUAAAAUACAAGAAACCAAAAUUUUCAAACAAUGUAUUGUGAAAAUCAAAAGGAAAAAAAGGAAAAGAAAACUUACCCAUUUGUGUUUCGGGAAGGCAUGAUUGACAAUGAGAAAGCAUUUGUAGAUGACAACAAAGUUAGCCAUGGGUGGCAGUGAGCUGAAAAAAAAAAAGAAAUAAAGUGAAAUAAAAUAAAAUAAAUAUAAUUAAGAAAAAUAGAGUGAGAUGGAAAGAGGUAGAAAGAGGAAGAAAAAUAAAGAAAGGGAAAGGUAGAGGAUUGGCGUAUGUUAGAGUAGGAUGACAACGAUAGAUGGUCAGCGUGGAGACGUUGUGUUGAGGCCUUGCGUCCCAAUGAUCCACGUAGCUGCCAAGUGGAUGCACGCUUUCAACCAAGAUUGAGUUCUGGUUCAAUUGUCCCUGCAAAAGAUGUCCGAACAGGGUGUCCGGACACACCCUCCGAUGGUUUUGUCAGCCAUGGUUCUAGAGAUUAAGCAGUUGGUCUUUUUCUAGGUAUAACAAGCUUACCUUCCUCCUUGUGUGAAGGUCCAUAUAUAUAGUGACAGAAACUCUGCCUUCCUCUUUAAUGGUGGGAAGACUUUUUGGUUUAUUAUGAUGCCUCUAGGUGGUGGCAAGGCCAUCAUCACCCUACGGGUGGCUGUUAGAGAUCGUGGGAGGCGACGUGGCUAUCAGAGAUCGUGGGAGGUGAUUUGCCAUCAUUCCUGUCCUUUCGCUCUGCAAGUGGCGGAACGUGGGUUGUGGCAGGCUGUCGGAAUGACGUAGUAAGACUUGCUCACUUUAGUCAAUGAUCCGGACAACAUAUCCGGAUAGGAUAUGCUAUAGUUCGGAUGUGAUGUUUGCGAGUGUCGUGUGCUUCUCCUUGAGGAAGUCCGGAUAGGGAAGCACGCCACGUGUCCCUCUUUGGGGAGUCUAGAUGAAGUCGCUCCGGACAGCGAGGCGCGCCACGUGUUAUCAGGGGAAGGGGUCCCUACAAUGCCCCCCUUUUAACUUGCAGAUUUUGCCCGAGCAGAAUAGGCGGGUUAAAAAUGAUUGUUUUUGAAACUGAGGUUACUUUUUGUGCUCAUUGGGCCACGUGGUGCGCUGAGGCGAAGAGGAACAAGAGCAUUUAUGAUGAGCCGCCGUCUCUGGGAUUUCCCAGGCAAUGUGUCUUUUCAAUAAUGGCGCGGCUGAGCGGUUAGAAUACCGAGGGGCUGUCUUUCGUUUUAAAUAGCAGACCGAGUCCUUCACUCUUGCAUUUUUUUCUUCUGCAUUUUCUGUCGGUAGUGUUUUCUCUUCAGCCUUCUGCGUAUCUUCGUUUGUGAGUGAGGUUCUAAGGUUUUCUGCUAGCAAUACCCGUAUCAUGACGGUGACUACAUCGCGGACUUCAUCUCCAUUUUCCCAUUUUACACUCGGUAUGUUCUCUAUUCCUGUUUUCUCCUCGUUGUGUUUGCUUUGUGGUUGUUUCUGGCUUGUUAGGCAAGCUACUUGCAACUGGGAGUCGGUAUUGGUUUCUAGGGCUUUUUCAGGGGGUUUUGAUCGUGUUUUGGGUGCGUUAGGGUUUUUGUUGCCCCCCUACGCCCUUUGUGGGCUACCGAUUCUUGUUUGUGCUAGAGCCAAGGGUUGGGAUGGGUAUGUUGGUGAUAUUUAGGUUUUCUGGGCGUUUUUGCUGUUUAGAGUUGUUGAGGCCUGGUCUUUGUUUUUUACUGUUGGCAUUCUGCCAUGCAGGUUCCGUUUCAACCCCAUUCUCAAAAAUGUUUGCGAACAAGGACGCUGCUUCGUCUAGCGUGGCCGGGCAGAGCGGCAAAGAAGCGUCUGGAGAGGUCCAUGCGAAAAAAUCCGUGGACAAGCUGAACGUGAGGGAGUUCUAUGAACGCUUCUGCAUCCCGAAUGGCGUGUCCGUUCAGCUUGUGGACGGAGAGGCUGUAUCGACUGAAAAAUCUACAGACAACUCUAUCUUCUUUACCAAGGAACAAUUCAAUGCUGGGCUCCGAUUCCCCCUUCCAUCGCUGUUCAGAGAAUUUCUCCAUUUCACCCAGAUUCCCCCAGCCUACAUCCAUCCUAACAUAGUCCGGGUGCUGAUGAGGUGUAACAUUCUAAGUAUGCUGUUACCUGGACCUUUCAUUGUUGGAGGUCCUUUUCAUCUACUCCAUCAAGAAGGGGAAAAAUGACAUCUUUAGCCUGGCUGCCCACUUGUCUUCUCUCCACUUGGUGACUGAUUUUCCACACUCGACGAAGGGAGGAGCCAAGGGGCAUGUAUUAGUCCGAGGUGUCUGGGCUGGGCUAUCAGAGCAUCCGGAGAGACCGUUUUCCCUAAAUCGUUCGCUAGUGCUUCCGAGUAAGGCAGUUUAUGGGGUUUGUCCGGCGUUCGUCUAUUGUGCUUCUUAUUUUGGGGUUAUCAGAUGGCUAAUAUCUUUGGUUGCUGAUAAUACAGGUAUGGACAAGAGGGGUCGCGUAGUCGAGUGGGUGGAAAAAACGUCCUUCGAUCGAUUGAACAAGCUAUUUGAGAUUACUGCCGCUGAGAGGCAUCAUCAGACGCUGCUUACUGCACGAAACUUGCUGGCCUUUGUCCGGGAGCCCCAGGUGUACGUCAUCAAUAUUCUCCCUAGGAAGUUGCCAAAAAAGGUAGUGCCUGGGGAGCAUUUCGUUUUCAAAGAUCUCCCAUUCUACAAGGAGGUGCGCAAGGUAGACGCCCAGGCACGUCGAGCACGUCUCACCGAACGGGAGGAAAGAAGGCAAGAGAGGACUUUGCGGAAGGCCCCUGGUGAUAAACGCUCCGUGCCCUCUCCUCCUGCUGGCGCCCCAGCGGGAAAGAAGAAGAAGGUUCCCAUAAAGGGAAAAACAAUAAAACCUCCAACUCCCACAAAGGGAGUAGUAAUAAAAUCGCCAGCUCCCACAAAGGGAAUAGUAGUAAGUUCUCCAACUCCUGUGAAGGGAAUAAUAAUAAGAUCUCCAGUUUCCUCCGGCUUGCCCUCUGUUUCAAGCGGUUCCGGACAUCUCGUGGGUCUAAACGGAUCGGGGCCUUCAAUGCCAGCGGCUGAACGGAUGGCUCUUCUGGUUGAGGAAGCAACCUCAGUGUAUCAGCCUGGCUCUUCCCUUCCGGACGCGGGUGUGGCCAGGGCCUCUUGUGCUGAAACGUUGCCUCCUAUGGCGCCUCCAAUGGAAGAAACGGGGGUUGAAAAGCAGGGUUUGCCCCUUUGUGAGUCGAGCUCCCUUACCCUUGUACCGGUGAAGGGGCCAGCUACGAGGAGGUCUCGUCCGGCCCGCGAUUUAAAGUCUGGCAUCAGCGGGCGACUUUAGGAUAUUCUUCUGGAAACCAUCGAAGCCAGCUGCUCAUCCGCCCAGGAGGAUCAUCCGGAGGAGAGUGAGACGGAGAUGGCGGAAGAGAACCCAACCGACCCGAUGUUGGUCCCGGAUGAGGGUUUGCCCGAAAAGAUCCAGCCGGCCAUGAAUGAUGGGGGCCCGGAGCCGGGGGAGGAGUCACACCCUAGUGCCUUGUCAGGGGGGAGUCCCGUUGAUGAGGCAGUUUGCACCUCCACUAGCCCUUUCAGCUAUGCGGAGUUGGGAGAGAUGUUGAAACAGAUUCCAUCCUGCUCAGAUGUUGCUGCGCCUUUAGCGAAAAUGUUUGAAGCGGCGGAAAUGGUAUAUCUUAUCCUCCUUUGAUUUUUCUUGCCAUACUGGUGUGCUUUUUACAUGGCUUGCAAUUUGAACUUCUUGUUGUGAGUUUUUCUGCAGCUGGUGAGAGGUAUUCGCGGCAUGGUUCGUCAACAAUAUCUUUUUAUAGACCUGCUGCAGAUUUCCGAUUACAUGAAGGCCUUCGUCUCCCAGCGCAUGAGCGAUGAAGAGGAAUUGCGCUCGAGAUUGGAGCAGGCCGAAGCUAGCUUAUCCGCUGUCCGAAGAGCCUCUGAAGAGAGUGCUGAAGCCUUGAAGAGGUCCCAGGAUGACAACGAGGCUCUCCAGAUAGAGCUAGCAGAGGUGAAGAGCCGGGAGGAAGCUACAGACGCCCGCCUGUACGAGGCGGAAAACGAGACGGCCCAGCUGAGGGGGGAAGUGAGACAACUCUGGACAGAAGUGUCAAUUGAGAAAAAACAGAAAGAGGAUUUGCAGUUGCGCUUAUCAGCGCAAAAAGAAGAGUUGGAGGCUGAGUUUGCUACGGAAAAGGAGGAACUUGAGACGAAAUACUAGAAGCAGGUAGACGAGAUGUAUCUCUUUGGCUACCGUUGCUGCAUGAAGAAGCAUGGCAUCAAACGGGACGUCCCUUCGAUUUCCCCAGGCGAGGAAGAAAAUUUACGUCGCAAGCCCUCCCAAUGAGAGCUUUUCUUUUUGUAACUUUUACUGCUAUUUCUCUCUGUAUUAGUAGUCCGGAGAACCUUUUUUGUAUACAAUUUUCACAAGUAUUAAUAAAACAUACUCAUUCACAUUGUACUUUGUAUCUUUCUUUCAUUGGUAAUACUGCUUUAGAUUGGAUAUAUUCCAUGGUCGGAGCAAUGGGGUUCUGUCUAGCUUCUAUAGAUGAUAGGCUCCACUUUCACUUGUCUUGACCACUAUAUAGGGGUCUUCUCAAUUGGCUUGAAACUUUCCUGCUCCUGCCUCAGCAGUGUUUUCGAAAACCUUCCUAAGGACCAGCGUUCCACUUUUGAAACUUCUGGGUCUUGCCUUGCGAUUGUAGUGAGCGACUGCCCUUUGUUGAUAGUUUGCCAUCCGGAUGGAUGCGGUCUCUCUUACUUCGUCUGCCCAGUCCAAGUUUCUUCCUAACUCCACAUUUGCAUCAUCCUGCCUUCCUACCUCGGUCCGGAUAGUGGGUAGCCCUAUUUCAGUAGGAAUGACUGCAUCCAUAUCGUAUGCGAGGGCGAAAGGAGUGUUUCCUAUCGGACAUGUGGGUGUGAUUCGAUAAGCUCACAGGACGCCGGGUAGCUCCUCCACCCACUUUCCUUUGGCUUGCUCGAGCCUAUUCUUUAAGGCAGUUAUUAGGGUCUUGUUUGUGGCCUCUACUUGCCCAUUACUUUGAGGAUAACGUGGUGUGGAGUAUGAAUUCCGGAUGUUUAGUUCCGAACAAAAAUUCCGGAAAGCGAUGCUAUCAAACUGUGGACUGUUGUCGGCUAUAAUGGUUUGGGGGAUUUUGAAGCGGCAGAUGAUGUUAUUCCAUACGAACUUGGUGACAUCUUUGUCUUUGAUGCUAGCGUAUGCUUCAGCUUCCACCCAUUUACUGAAGUAAUCCGUGGCGACGAGCAGAAAUUUCUUCUAGGCAGCUGCGGCUGGUAGGGGUCCUACUAUGUCCAUGCCCCACUGCGCGAAGGGCCAGGGGCCUGAAAUUGGCUUCAACGUCUCCGACGGCACAUGUGGUAUGAGGACAUGCUUUUGACAUUUGUCACAUUCUUUGACAUAGGCUGUCGCAUCCUUUUUCAUCGUGGGCCAGUAAUACCCUUGCGAAUGGGCCCUGUGCGCCAGAGAUCAACCUCCGAAAUGGUUCCCACAUACCCCCUCAUGCAACUCAGCUAAAACGUAUAAGGCCUCUGAGUGGUUUAGGCACCUGAGAUAGAGACUUGUAAAGGACCGCUUGUACAAGUGCCCCCCGAUCAUGGUGAAACGGGCAGCUUGCACCCGGAUCUUGUGUGCCUGCUUGGGCUCUUCGGGCAGAGUGCCUGUCCGGAGGUACCUUAUAAUGUCUUCCGUCCACUCUUGGCCGUCUGCUUGGCUUGCCUCAAUGAUAUUGCAAGUGGAGGCUUUCACGACGGAAGGGUUGGUUUGCACAUGUAUAGGCAAUAAUAUGACUUCUUUGAUGGGGAGGGAAGCAGCUAUGCCUGCCAGGGCGUCGGCACGUCCAUUUUCAGUUCGUUUAAUUUUUUCGAUUGUCCAUUCGGUGAACCGUUGUAAGGUGUCCCUUACUUUAGUCAGAUAUCGCGCCAUGCGCGCAUUUUUAGCUUCGUAUUCCUUCUGGACGUGCCUUACCACGAGUUGGGAAUCACUAUAGACCCAGAGCCUGGAGACGGAUAGAGCCAUGGCGAGGUCCAAUCCGGAUAGGAUGGCCUCAUACUCCGCUUCAUUGUUAGAGGUGGGGAACCCCAGUCGGAUGGCUUGCUCCAGAUGUUUUCCUGUUGGGGAUUGCAAUAGGAGUCCUACUCCGGAUCCUGAUGACCGGGAGGCCCCAUCGACCCGCAAAGUCCACCACUCUUUUUCACUUGGUUCCUUGCACUGAAUAGGCUUUCGGGAGUAUUCCAGCACGAAAUCAGCCAUCAAUUGGCCUUUCAUGGAUAACCUGGGUUGGAACUCGAUUCCAUAUUCGCUCAACUCUAUGGUCCAUUGAAGCAUUCUUCUGGUUAAGUCCAGUUUGUGCAGGAUGUUGCGAAGGGGUUGGUCAGUUAGCACGACCACCGGGUGGGCUUGGAAGUAGGGGUGGAGCUUCUGGGCUGCACUUCGAAGAGCCAAGGCUGUUAGCUCCAUCUUUGAAUACCUAGUUUUUACGUCCGCCAACACUCUGCUAACAUAGUAAAUAGGUUUCUGCUCCUUGGGCGAGGGGCAACGGAAUAGAACAACGCUAAUUGCCCACUCCGAUACAACCAGAUACAUAUACAAUUUUUCUUCAGGAAGGGGGCUACUCAGGAUGGGCGGUUGCAUGAGGCAAUGUUUAAUUUUUUCAAAAGCGCUCUGACAACUGUUUGUCCAUCCGCUCGCUCCACCUUUUCGAAUUACCAAGAAGAAGGGUCGUAGUUCAUCAGUGAAACGGGCUAUAAAGCGUCCUAGUGCGACGAGCUUGCCUGUGAGGAGCUGUAAUUCCUUUUUGCUCUUGGGGGGUGGUGUUUCCAUGACUGCCUUCACUUGAUCUGGGCUAACUUCUAUCCCCUUUUGGCUGACCAUAAAUCUCAGGAAUUUUUCAGCACUUACGCCAAAGGCGCAUUUAGAAGGAUUCAACUUCAUGUCAUACUUCCUUAAGAGGUGGAAGACUUCUUGCAAGUGGAGGACAUGUUCCUCUCAGGUUUUGCUUUUAACCACGAUAUCGUCAAUAUAUACCUCUAUUGUGCGGCUGACCAGAGGUUUGAAGAUCUUCGUCAUUAGUCUCUGAUAAGUGGCGCCAACGUUUUUGAGUCCGAAUGACAUGACUUUGUAGCAGUAAAGACCGUGUGGCGUUAUGAAGGCUAUUUUUUCUUCGUCAGCCGAGGACAUGGGGAUUUGGUGGUAUCCGGAGAAAGCAUCCAAGAAGGAGAGCAUCCCUUGCCCAGCAGUGGAAUCCACAAUCUGAUCUAUCUGUGGCAAAGGGAAACUGUCUUUUGGGCAUGCAUUAUUGAGGUUGGUGUAAUCGACGCACACCCGCCAUUUGCCUUUCUUUUUGGGUACCACCACUACAUUUGCCAAUCAGUCUGGGUACUCCACCUCUCUGAUGAAUCCGGCUUCCAGCAACUUGUCAACCUCAUCCCGGAUAAUCUUUUGUCUGUUCGGGUGAAAACGUCUAACCCUCUAUCAGACGAGUUUUUCUGUUGGCAAGAUGUUAAGCUUAUGGGAGACGAUGGAGAGGUGAAUUCCCUUCAUAUCAGAAUGCGCCCAUGCGAAAACGUCAUGGAUUUGUCAGAGGGCGUCUUGGAUGUUCCAGGUCUUUUCUAGCAUCAAGAGGGAACUGAUAUACGUAAGGUGAGUUCCCUCUUCCGAAAUUUGAAUCGUUUGCAAGGGAUCCGCUACUGGGGGAUCUUUGUCCGCCGGACUUAGUGAUUGCUAUUGGUCCAGCGCGUGGGGGGACUCAGGGAGGGGUUUAUCCUCCUGACUGGUUCCUACCUCUCGUGCUAUCUGGUAGCAUUGGCGAGCAGCUAACUGACUGCCGUAUAGGUCGACUUGCCCAUCCUUGGUAAGGAAGCUUACCAUUUGAUGAUACGUAGAGUGGAUGACUUUCAUGUAGUGCAGCCAUGUGCGCCCCAAGAUGACAUUGAAGGGUGAUAAAUCUUGUACCACCGAAAAUUGUACGUUGAGAGUGACUGGGCCAACUUGGACCGGCAGUACAAUAUCUCCCAAGGAAGUAGUUGACGCCCCGUUGAAUCCGGACAAGAUUCGCCCAGGGUUUUCGAGGCCUAUGAGACUGUGUCCCAUGUGGCUAAUGACCGAUGCUUGUACAAGAUCGGUCGAGCUGCCCGGGUCAACUAGGAUGCGUCUUACGUCGAAGUUUCUUAUCUCCAAGGAUAGGAUGAGGGCAUCGCGGUGCGGCUGCAAUAUCCAUGUGGGGUCUACUGGUGGGAAAAUGAUUAUCCCAUCUAUGGGGUGAGGCCCCCCCCCCCCCAGUUAUCCCAGGUCGGAUGGAGUUGACAUGCUCACGCACCGAUGCUACCUGCAACAACCUCUGUCUCUUUCGUUUGGAGUCGUACUCCUCGUCGAAUGGACCUCCGUUAAUAUAGUUUAUAAUGGCUUUGGGGACGGCUAGAGCCUUGGGGGUUCUAGAGUUGUGAUUUCGGGAAGCGUCUCUACCUUUGGCAUCUGAGCGGAGGUAUUGUUUCAAAUGUCCCGCCCUUAUGAGCCUUUCGACCAAAUAAUGGAGGCACCUGCACGCCUCCGUUGUGUGACCAUGCUCUUUAUGGUAGGCACAUUUUUUACUAUGAUCUCUUUUGGAUGGGUCCGUUUUGAGGGGUCCAGGCCACCUGAAGUCGAACAUGUCUUGGAUCAUAGGGAGAAGUUUCUCAUAGGAUAUGGAAAAGGGUGUGAGGGGCGGCAUUUCCAGGUGACUUGGCCCUUCCUGCCUUCGAUCGGACGGCCUUGGCCGGUCCGGAAGUUUGUCACUUCUUUCCUCACCACUUCUGGAUGCUUGUCAGGCAACCAAGAUUUGUUGGGUGGCUGCUCGCACGUCAUCUUCGAGCAUUGAGCAUUUGCUCGCACGUCGGAACAAGUCAUCCAUCGUCGUAGGAGGCUUCUUAGCGAGUGAUUCGAAAAAUGGGGUGCCUGGACAGAUGCUUCGCUUGAAGAUCUGCAUGACAACAUCUAUGCUGUAAGCCUCUACCUGUAGCACGGCUUGACCACACCGCUUCACGAACUCCCUCAAGGACUCGUUAUCCUACAUUUUUAUGUUUUGCAGAGUGCUGAUGUUCUGCUUAUGCCUAGCGGAGCACAAGUAUUGUCCCACGAAGGCUUCCGACAGGUCCCUGAGAUUAUCAACCGAGUUGGGAGGUAGGCGGUGAAACUAUGAGAGGGCCUGCCCUUGUAGGUUGGCGGGGAAUACUUUGCAUAGCAGCGCGUCGUUUCCUAUAUCGAGAGUCAUGAGCUGUUAAUAAUGCAUGAUAUGGUCGAAGGGGUCGUUGGACCCAUCGUACGUGGAGAAUUUAGGUACGAGGAAUCCCUUUGGGGGCUCGUAAUGAAUAAUAUGAGAGCAAAAAGGCGUAGAGAGCAUGUCGUCCAGCCUUUUGCUGAUGGAGCCACUGGGUGGCUCGUUUGAGAGGUUUCUCCCAACUUGUCGUACCGUUUGGUGCGGGGGAAUGUUCUGCACCAUAGGGCUGACCAUAGGGUCAAGGUGCGGGGGAACGUUCUGCACCAUAGGGGUGACUAUAGGGUUAGGGUGCGCUCCCCAGGUUGUGACUACUGGCGGCCUUGGCCUCCCAGUCUCAUGCGGGCCUAGCCUCGCGCGCAUUGCGUCUGACAACUCGGGUUUUUUGUCGCGUUGUCUUUUUGCUAAGAAAUGAGUAGAGUCUGAGCUUUCCUCAUGGGGAGCUUGGUGCAUGGGCGUGUGUCGCUCAUGUGGUCUAACGUUGCAUGUUUCAGGGAUUGCUCCUGCUAUCCCAGGGUAUAUUAACUUUGGGUCAGGCAUUGAGUUUGCUACCUGGCCUCUUGAAAGUUGACGACGGGGAGGCCCUGUCGAUGAAGCCUGGAUGCGCAUAACAACGUUUUCUUCUCUCAAUCUCGUUGUCUCCUGGAGGAGAGCUUGCAUUUGUCGCGAGCUUGCCAACUGUCUUCUCUCGAUGGCUUAGCGCCAUUUAGAAUUAUCUUCCUCUUCCCUAGCAGACGAGCGGCUUCUGGAAAGUGUGGCCAUCUUUGCCGGUGACUGAAUCAGCGAAUUUCCCACAGACGGCACCAAUGUUGAGGCCUUGCGUCCCGAUGAUCCACGUAGCUGCCAAAUGGACACACACUUUCAACCAAGAUUGAGUUCUGGUUCAGUUGUCCCUGCAAAAGAUGUCCGGACAGGGUGUCCGGACACACCCUCUAAUAGUUUUGUCAGCCAUAGUUCCAGAGAUUAAGCAGUUGACCUUUUUCUAGGUAUAGCAAGCUUACCUUUCUCCUUGUGUGAAGGUCCAUAUAUAUAAUGACAGAAGCUCUGCCUCCCUUUUUAAUGGUGGGAAGACUUUUUAGCUUGUUAUGAUGCCUCUAGGUGGUGGCAGGGCCAUCAUCACCCUACGGGCGGCUAUCAGAGAUCGUGGGAGGCGACGCGACUGUCAGAGAUCGUGGAAGGUGACUUGCCAUCAUUCCUGUCCUUUCGCUCUGCAGGUGACGGAACGUGGGUUGUGGCAGGCUGUCGGAAUGACGUAGUAAGACUUGCUCACUUUUGUCAAUGAUCCGGACAACAUAUCCGAAUAGGAUAUGCUAUAGUCCGGAUGUGAUGUUUGCGAGUGUCGUGUGCUUCUCCCUGAGGAAGUCCGGAUAGGGGAGUGCGCCACGUGUCCCUCUUUGGGGAGUCUGGAUGGAGUCGCUCCGACAGCGAGGCGCCCCACGUGUUAUUAGGGGGAGGGGUCCCUACAAGUUGGAUGACGGUGAUGCUGCGACGGCAAGGUAAAAAAGAUAGAAAUGGGUAGGAACGGGUUUGUGAAGAGAGAGAAAAAAAAUAUUUAUGAGAGGAAGUAUGAUAAAGGGAAGAAUAAAUAGAGAGACCUACAAUGGGAGAUAAUAGUGGUAGUGGGUUGUUAGACAGUAGUGGAUGCAAGGAAGAAGAAAAAGAGAAAAAUUGAAAAAAAAGAAAGGAAAGUAAGGUAAGAGAAAACAAUAGAAAACUAUGGGAGAAUAUGAUGUCCUUGAGAGUUUCUCUUAUGGUAGGGAUUAAAACAAGGAUAUCAAGGGCUAGGAUUUGAUCUAACUAAAUUGGGCAUAAAAAUUAAGAUAAAAGGAAAGAGCUUAAAAAAAAUAAUAAUAAUAAGUAAUGAAAAGAAAAAUGAAAAUAAUGUAAAAAUUAAAAAUGAAAAUAAAUAAACAAAAACGUAAGAAAUAAAAUAAAAAUUAAUUGAAAAUAAAGAUGAGGACAAAUUUUAGGGUCUACAAGAUUAUUAGGAUAUAACCCUUAAGAACAUGACAUUAUGUAAUAAAAUUUUGAAUUUUUAUGUAUUAAUAAAGUUCCAAUUCACUUUUAUCUAUCCUAAUUUCAUGCAUUAUACCUUGAAAAUAUUCUGACCUGCGUCUUUUGCAUUGUACAUGACUUGGGUGCAUUAGGAGUUAUAUGAAAGAUUCAAAUCAUGAGUUCCUUGCAAAUAGAUGACUAGUUCACCGUCGGUUCAUGGGCUUAAUUAGGCAACCCAUUAAAUGUUGUAGUGCACUACCUCAUAAUUGGAGGGAUGACUAGUCUUGGCCAUCGAGAUGAGUUUUCCAUUAUGAGUGCACUGAUGUGUGUGGUUACACAUUGGAUAGAACCUAUGAUGAGUUACUAAGCUAUUUCAUUUGUCAUCUCUCAACCUUGAGAGGAUAUUGAGCGUGUGCUAAAGUUAGUAGUGGUUUUGACCUACCAGUGAGAUCGUAAGAUGAUCAUAUAUUCCCUAUGGAUUUAGUCAUUAUUGAUGGAAUCUAGUAGUAAUAAGUAUUCUCAAUAGAGGCAUCAUGAUAUCUCAUGAAAUUGAGAUAGAGUGUCCCUUUGGGUGAUCAUUAGGAGAUGUGUUCAUGUAAACUAUGGUCAUAGUAGUUUUUUAAAUGGAACUUGACAUUGACUUUGUGAGAGCUAAAAUAUGUCAGUUAAACACACAAUAGGAGGAUUCGUAACUCAAAUAUAGAAAAAGUAGUCUUGAAAAACUUAUAGAUUUCACCUUGUUAAACUACAAACACAUGGGAAGACUGAACACAAUGGAUAACAGGUCACAAACCUAAGCACAUAGUGUCUCAUUAUUAUUUACAUAGAAUACUGGAGUUCAGUCAAUUUUCUAUAGUGGGAUGUCAAAUCAACCUCAAAAUUGGAUUAUGAGGUAGCUAAUACUCCUAUGAGUCCUAAUGAUCCAUGCUUUGAGUUUAUAUACCAUGAUAACACGAGUUAUAAGAGUUAGAUUAACCAUGGUUUUAAAAAUCGGACCAGAUCGAUCGGUCUGACCGCUGGCUGGUCAAGGUUCCAGUCCAGUCUGGUGAAUUGGGUCGAAAAGUAGUUGAACCAAAAUCGAAUUGGAUGAAUCGGAUGUCUGACUAACAAAAUAGUCUAUGCAAUCAAUUUUAUUUAUUAAUUUUUUUCUCAACAUCAAAACAACAUCGUUUUGAUGAGUAUAAAACCUUCUUUUCUCCUGCCCCCUAUCUUCUGCACGACUACCCUAACUCCAAUUGUCCACUGGUUGGACCUCACUCCCCUGAUGACACCCUUCAUUGGCGGCAAACCCCCCAGCGUGGCUGCGCUAGCUCCACCAAUAGUAGCAGCAACUCCAUAAGGUUUCAUUUUUAUUUUUUGAAAUUUUUUUUUUAUGUUUUAUAUUUAAUGUCUUUUUUUUUUGUUGAUUAUAAUUUUGAUGUUAUGUUUAAUAUUUAAUUUUUAUAAUUUUUUUUCAUUUUUUUGUUUAUUUAUUGUAUAUUUUUAUUUAUUCAAACUAUUGAAAAGUUAAAACGUUAGGAAUUAAAAUAAUUUGUUCAUUUUCAAAUAAAAUUUUGAUUUUUAAAUUUUAAAUAAAUAUUUGAUUUGAAAGUAAAUUUCUCAUUUUGAAAAAAAAAUCUUUAAUAAAUUCCAAAAUUUUUAAUUCUUGAAUCUUUUAAAUUGUUGUUGACUUUGAUUCUCUAAAUUAAUGUGGCGUUUUUAUAAAUUAUUGAUGACUUGAUUUUUUUUUUAAUUAAAUUGUUGAUGGCUUGAUUCUUUAAUUUUAUGAUUAAAAUUGUGAUUUUUGUUUACAAUUUACUAGAGAAAUAAAAAAUGAAAUCAAACUUUACCCUAUUCUCUGGUUAAGAUUCAACUGCUAAUUCACAAACAACUAGAAACAAUAUCAAUCAUGCAUGAGAGCAUGUUUAUGAAGAAAGAUAUAAAAAUGGAAGAAAAACUCUAGUUGUUUGUAUUGUAAAAAGGUUGCAAAAGGUGGGAAUAUUCAUAGAAUGAAGCAACACCUUAUUGAAGUGAAAAGGGAUAUUGGUACAUGUAAGUCGGUUCCUCCUAAUGUUAGAUUUCGAAUGGAAAAUUCUUUAUAAGAGUUUGUGAAUUCCAAGAAAGCAACCCAAGAAACAUAUGAAUAUAGAAAUCCCUAUGGUCCUAAUGUAUUACAAUUUGAAGGGGAUAUGGCAAAAGAUGGUGAAGAGGUUCAAGAAAUGCAAAAUCCUAUGGCAGCUAGUAGUGGAAAAAGAAAAAAAAUCAAUAGUGGAUAAGUAUUUUGCACCAAGAAAUACUAAAAGAGCUCAACCUUUCAUGAGGAGUGUAUUAGCUGGGAAAAAAAACUAUUUGAAGAGCAGAUAUGAUAGUUGGAAGAUUCUUUUAUGAUGCAUGCAUUCCUACUAAUGUUGUGAAUUCCUUCUACUUCAAGCCAAUGUUGGAUGCUAUAUCUGCAAUUGGUCCUGGAUAUAAGAGUCCAAAUUACCAUUAGCUGUGGGUUAAUCUUUUAAAGGAUGCCAAGAAGGAAGUUCGGUUACUUGUGGACUCUUAUCAUGCAAUUUGGGCAAAAGUUGGGCGUACAAUAAUGGGUGAUGGUUAGACAGAUAAAAGAUAAAGAACACUCAUAAACUUCCUUGUAUAUUGUCUUAAAGGAAUAUCGUUUAUGAAAUUUGUUGAUGUUUUAGACAUUGUCAAGGAUACAAUUAAUUUGUUUCAAUUAUUUUAUGAGUUGAUUGAAUGGGUGAGUUCACUCAAUGUAGUUCAUGUAGUGACUGAUAAUGCAACAAAUUAUGUGCUCGUAGGAAGAUUGAUUUCUCAGAAGCAUAAACACAUCAAUUGGUCACCUUGUGCAACUCAUUAUCUUAAUUUGAUCAAGAAGGAUAUUGGUAAGAUGGACCAUAUUGCUGAACUUGUAAGACAUGUAUCAAAUGUGACCAUUUUUGUAUAUAAUCAUGUUGCUUUAUUAAGUUGGUUGAGAAAAAGAGAAUGAUGGACAAAGAUUAUCAGACAUGGUGCAACUUGCUUAGCUACUACAUUCAUUGCACUCAAGAGUCUUCAUAAUCAUAAGCAUGACUUGCAAGCUUUGGUGACUAGCAAGUUCUUUGUGGACUUUAGAUAUUCAAGGGAUAAUAAAAGCAGAGUUACAGUUUCCAUGAUCUUGGUAAUAGAUUUUGUAAUGAUUUUUUGAUAGUUAUGAAUCUUAUGUCUCCACUAAUGCGCUUAUUGCGUAUUAUUGAUUGUGAUGAGAGGCCUUCAAUGGGAUAUGUGUAGAAAGGCAUGUAUAGGGAUUGUUUGGGUAUCAAGAAAUUAUUUAACCACAACAAAAGACUAUAGAAGCAUUAUACAAAGAUCAUAAAGCAACGUUGAGAUCAACAACUAAAGAAAAGCAUUCAUUCAACAAUUUAUUGGUUGAAUCCAUGUUUCCAAUAUGAUCGGGAAAACUUUUGUAAUAAGCCAACUGUUGUUGGAGGUGUCAUGGAUGUUAUUGAUCAUUAAGUUCUAAAAGGCAAGCUUGAUACGAUGAAUGAAAUGAAAUUGUUUCGUGAUCGAUUGAGAAGUUUUGGAAGAGACUUUACUUAUUCUUCACGUGAAGUACUUCAUCCUGUUAAAAGAUAAUUUUAAUUUAUUAGUGUGUUUGUUCUUUUUCAUUAUUUACUUGCUUACUAUUUAAUAUUUUAAACUUGCUAAUUCUUUUUUUCUUAUUUUUAAUGUGAACAUGGUAACUAGAUGAAUGGUGGAGGCUAUAUGGAUACAAUGCACCACAUUUGCAAAAGUUAAAUAUUCAAAUAUUGAGCCAAACUGCAUCAUCUUCUAGAUGUGAAAGGAAUUGGAGUGUCUUUAAAUGUAUACAUACUCAAAGAACGAAUAGAUUGGAACAUCAAAGGCUUAAUGAUCUUGUAUACGUUCAUUAUAAUUUGCGCUAAAAAAAUUUUCUUAGUUGUUUUGAAUUUAAAUUCUUUCAUUCACAAUUAUGAAUAAUUAUAUGUUUUUCUUUUUUAGGUUCUAUAACAAGAAAAUAACCUAUGAUCCCAUUGACUAUGCAUCCAUUGAUGAGACCGAUUUUUGGAUAGUUGAUAAGGAUCAGCCAAUAGAGCUAGAUGUUGAAGAAUUGAAAAAUCUUCUAUAUGAAGAAGGGUCAAUUCCAAUAAAUGAAGUGGAAGGUUCAAGUUAUCACAUUCGUUAGUAGAUUAUUUAAACUCAUAAAAAUUCAAUAAUUAUAUUUUUUUUCUUCAAAAUUGAUUUCUUGUUGAUAUAUAUUCAAUAUUUUUGUGGAUGAUGAGGAUGUUAGUGGUGUGGUUGUAGAAGGGCUUGAUGUGAAAAAAUUUGGUUUUCCAGAUGCUCAUUUUCAAUCUCCAUAUUCCAAUUUCCAAAAUGAAUGAAGACAUGAAUUUUUAUAUUUAUUAGUAUGAAAAAAUUUUCAUGAAUAUUCAAACAAUAACAUGUUAUACUUUGAGUAACUAUUUAAGUGUUGUGGUUGACGUUUGUAUUAUCUAUUGUAGAUAAUGUGUUAAGUUAACAACUCUUUGAUAAUUUGGUCAUUGUUGGUUUAUUGCUCAUAUGUGAACAUAGGAUAGCAAUGGUUUGAUUAUUGGAUAAAUGUUGGGUUUAUUGACAUUAUGAAUGUAUAACAUCUUAUAUUGUAUUAUAGAUAGAUAUAUGAUGAUUAAUGACUUCUAUAAGUAAAAAAUUCAACAAAUAGAAUAGAUGUUGUCAAAAUUUAGAUAGAAUUUAUUAUUAUUUUUUAUUUUUAAUAAUAUAUAACAUGUAUUUUUAUGACGUCACCAAUUUGAUUGCGAUUUGACCAUCAAUCCGACCAAUGAACCGUGAAUCGGUAACUUUUCUGGUUCAAUGAUUGGUCCAAUUAUGAAAACAUUGAGAUUAACUCUCAGUUCAUUUUUAUGCAUAAGAGCGUUUAGGUAAUUACAUAAAGUUGCAUAAGGGUAAUUGCACAAGGUCUUUGGAUUGGGUUAAUUGAUUAAUUAGUAUGUCUUAUUGGGUUAAUUAAUUAAUUAAUUAAUUAAGACCCAUUUGGGCUAGAUUAAGUGACUCAAACCUUUAGCGAGCUCAAGUCACUUAAAUCCAAUGGGGAACUCUAUAAAAUACCUAUUCCAUAACUUUUCCAUAAAUCCAUCUCCAAUGAGAGAGAGAGCCAUAACCUCCACCUUUUUUUUCCAUCCCACCAAAAGUAUGUCAAAGACAUGGUUCGAGUCAUCAGGUGAAAGACUUCAAGUCUACGAGACUUCCUAUGACAACGAUCUUUAUAUUUACUGCAUAGAAUAGAUUUGGGAAUGUCCAAAUCUCAGGUAUUAUUUUCAUUAGCAUUUUCUAAAUCCUGUUUAAGUUUAAAAGGUAAAUUUUCCAAUGUGCAUAGGACCCUAGGAAGUUUUUCAUGUUCCUAACUUGAUUCGGGCAUAGGAAAUGGAGAUAUCUGAGUUUUCCUACAUAGGUACCAUAAUAUAGCAUACACUUAGAAAUUUAGUUCCCUUAUCAUGCUCAUCUCAAUCUUAUUUUGCAUACACUUAGAAAAAUCUUGUUAAAGGAGUUCAUAGUGGAUCCAAAGAUAAUAUCAUCUACAUAUAUUUAAACAAUUAGUAUAUCAUCAUUAUUUUUUUUUUUACCUUAGUGAAUAAGGAUGUAUCCAUUCUUCCCAUUUUAAAACAAUUUUCUAAAGGAAAUUUAGUCAACCUUUUAUACCAUAAUCUAGGUGCUUACUAUCAAUGUUAAGUCCUCAUCUUCAUCACUUUCCUCUUUUUCUUGAUUAUCUUAAGUUGAAGUUGUUUUCAAGGUUAUGCUUUUUUUUUUUUUUAUUCUCCUCCAUUUAUUGAUGGCUCUUCUAAUGGAAGCUUUGAAACGUCUUUUGCUUCUUGGAUUGUUGUUACCUUAACUUCCUAUUGCAUAGGUAAAGAUCUUAAGCUUUUCAUAACUUUCUGUUACUCAACAUACUUCUUCCAUAAGGCUUAAAGGUCAUUGAUAACAUUGAUGAACAUCCCAAUAAUAGAUUCAUUAUCUUUCAUGUUAAACAAUUUAUAAAUAUGCAUAAAUAUGUUUAUUUUCUAUUCCUUUACUUAGGGGUGGAAGGGAAUAAAUCAAGCGUUGGUUGAUUUUUCAUAAACUUGAUUAAUUUUAACAACUUAAGAAUGAGAUGAAUGCAAUGCAAUAAUCAAUAUCAACAAUGAGUAAAGGGAGAAGGGAAAAGAGAGAAGAGAAUGCAAACAAUAUUAAUAGUGAUUUGACAUUCUACCUAUAUCUACUCCCUUUAAUUCCAAUCCCAAGCUAAAAUGCAAUCCAUUAUCUCUAAAAGUUUUCUCAAUCAAAGCGUUUUCUUCUUUACACUAAAAUUCUAAAGUUCCAAUAAACAUUUAUAAUACUCUAAGGAGCUUCCCUCUACUCUUUUACAAAAAAUAUUAAAUUACAUUAAAAUGAUAUUUAUAAGGCUUAACACUUAAACAAAUGGAAGAUAAUAAUGAAAAUUGUGAGGAUCUCAAGGGCAUAAUAAUUGAUUUGCAAACUUGAAAAUAACUAGACUUUUAUAUGAUUUUGAAACUUUUGCAAUGAUUAUUAUUCAAUGUUGGGUCAUUAAAAACUUAUAAAUGAAAGUUAAGGAGCCUUCAUAUAUGAAGUGAAAGCCAACAAAUUAUUAAAAACAAUUUCUUAAAGCUCUAGUUGGUUGUCGAGUCCACCACUUAACUAGUUGUUAUGCAUUAAUUGCAGUGACAAGUGACCAUUGAGAAAUAUAUUUGCUCAAUCAAUUAGUUGCCCACUUAAAUUGGAAAACCCACCACAACUCAUUUCCAAUGGAAAACUAAUUAACUACAUUUGGGGGGCAUUCCCAUGGGUAACUCCAAUUGACUAUAAUCGAUAGACUGCUAUUUGGUCCCUUAAGACUCAUUAGAAUAUCAAAAGUUUGAAAACCAAUCUAAAGUUGAAACAUAAAAAAAUAAAAAUAAAAAUAAAAACUAACUUCUAAGAAUUGUGAAACAAGGCUAAUUAGUAUAAUAAAAACACCUAAGAGUGGAGAAGAGGGGUGAAUUGGGUUUUAAAAACUUUUCGAAUUUUUUUUCUCCAACAACAAUAUAAAUAAUGAGAUAGAGAGAUUGCAAACGCUGAUUUUAUAAUGGUUCGUCCAAUUCCACCUACAUCCACUCUUCUCAUUUGAAAAACUUUUCUCAAGUAACAAGGAAACAAUAAUAAAAAUAAAGAGAUAAGGGAUAGAGAGACUGCAAACAUUGAUUUUAUAACGAUUCAACCAAUUCCGCCUAUGUCCACUCUCCACAAGUUCCUCUCGAGUGAGGGUUCCACUAAUUUGAAACUUCACACAAGCUUUCAAACUCUUACAAUUGGAUUCACUAGUUCCAAUGAGCACUAUAAUUAACCCUUCAAGUUUAUCCUCAACUUCAAGCUUAACACUUAACCUUACUUUAAUAAAUAAGAAUUUAAGAUCACUCAAUCUUAGCACAAUUAAUGAACAAAUACAAGGAAGGUAGGAUGAACAAUAAGGGUGCACUAGAUGAGUUUGCAAGUGAAAGAUUCAAUAUAACAAAAAAGAAAGAGAGUUUUGAAUGUGAGAAACUAAUAGGUAUGGAGUUUAAUGUAAGUGUUCUUUAUGCAAUAAAUGAACAAGUGCUCUCUAUUUAUAGGUUUCCAACCUCAAACAUCAAAAAGUACUCCAAUAAACCUUUCUUAGUCAACUUUUGGUCAAUUGGUUGACUAGAUGUUAGGCAUUAAAUGUUUGGUAGAUGACCUUUGGGAGCUCGACUGAACCUCAAUUGGGAAGGGGCUAUCUUUGACGAGAAAAGGGCUGGGAAGACAAGGCUACUAAAUGAGAGAGAAAUUUUUUGUGCCCCCUUAACCAAACCUCGAUCAAGAAAGGAUAACUAAUUAACUAAUUCCCUAACCAGUUAAGUCAAUUGAGUUUGUCCUUAACCGGUUGUCCAUUUUUUUUCCUCAAAAACCUAUCUUUGUCAAUUUUAAAACUUUCUACUAGUUAGGGCAAUAUCUUUAAGCAGUUUUAUAAAACCAAUAUGAGAGGUUUUUUUGCCUAAGGUUUUGGGUUAAACCUCGUGUUUAAAAAAAUAUCACUUUUAAAGCUCAAGAUGAGUACGAAAAUGAUGCAUAAGUGAAUUAAAACUCCUAAGUGCAUCUAAGUGAACAUCUUACAUUAAGUUUCUAGAAGUGAACGUCCUCCAUGAAUACUUGAUCUUGCACUCUUGUGAUCAUUUGAUGGAUAACUUGAUUUUCCAAUUGAAUUUUGUAAUUGCCACCUAAAAUUGAUCUUAAUUUUAACUCAUUAAAGAACUAACCAUGUUUUGUUUUCAUCAAAAUCUACUUAUGAGAACCCUUGGACUAAUAAGAACACUUGCUUUUCAAAAAAAAUUUAGACAAGAACUUCCAUGAAAAGUUCAAUUAGGGUUCAUCUUUUAUCAUUUUUUUGGAGUGCUUCCGAAAGGUUUUUGAGAUAAUGCUUACAAUUGAUUCCACAUUUUCCUAGUCUUGCAUAAACUGAAAUGUAAAAAUUAAAUACUAGACUUAACUAAAUAUGCUCUUAUCUUAUUUUCUUGAUUUGAAUUACUUUUUUUACUUAAUAAAAUGCAUGUUAUAUUGUAAAAUCAUUUUUCCUACAUCUAAUUUAUUGAAAUCAUUAAAUACUAAUCCCUUGUUUUAUUAUCAUAAAAACAUUAAUCAAGCCGUUUAAAAAUCCAAGGGUUAAUAGAAAUAAAAACACUAGACGACCAUGACGCUUGCAUCGUUGGUCACAUGGGUAUGGCCAGUGGUGGAGCCAGGUAGUGCCCAAGAAAGGAAAAUGCCCCCCCUGAAAUUUAAAAAAAAUAAAUAUUAAUGCUAAUGGGAUUUGAUCCCAAAACCUAAGGUUUUUAAAAAACUAAUUGCCUUAUCAUCAAGCUACAUCACUAAUUUGAUGUUAUUUUGCCCUCCCUAAAACAAGUUUCAUAUAUUGCCCCCUUAACUUCUUUCUUGGCUCCGCCCUAGGUGUGGCUACCACAUGCAACAACGGUAGUUAUGAGGCUUUCCGCAUGCUAUUGAGCCUCUUAGAACACAUGUGGGUUAUGACAUACCUUGUUGGUACAACCUUCUCUCACCGUCCACACUAAUAACUUCCUCUCAUUGUCUAGAUUUUGAUGGUGACCUCUACUUUCCAUUUUGAUACCUCAAGGUGUUUGUUUGUAUUACACACUCUCUUUAUAAUAGGAGGCUUCAAAAUUUUUGUAAAAAAAAUUGUUAUUUUUUAUUUUUAUAAUUCACUUGAAAUUUAAAAAAAUUCCAUAUCUUUUUUUUUUGUAAUCAAAACAUUACAAAUCAUAUACCCUUGGAAAGCUUAUAAUAAGUAGGGAUGAUAAUGGGGCAGAUUUUUUUAGGUACCUCCAUUACCUCAUCCCUAAUGAGAUGAGUUUAAAAUUUAAAUAAAUAUGUUUGAGAAGGAUUUGAAAUUUAUUUUAAAACCCAGGACCGGUUCAAGGCAGGUUCAAGUAUUGCCUUUUCUUGUCCUAUCAUGCCCCGAUUAUAUAUAAAAUUAAUUUAAUUUAAUUUUUAUUUUCCUAUUUUUAAUAUAUAGAUAGUAAUAAAAAUAAUAAAACACUUUUCAAUAAAAUAAGUUAUAAAAAUUAUAAUUAUUUAAUUAUUUAUAAAUUUAAUAUAAUUAAAAAAAAAAUUAAACUGGGCAAGCAGAGCCAAUCAUACCCACCCUCAUUUAUUUAUUUUUUUAAUGGGAUGGAGAUGAUAAUUAAUUUGAAUGAAUGAGACGAGGAUAGGAUGAAGAUGACCCAUCCCAAACCCUUCCUAUUGUCAUCCCUAAAAUUAAUAAGAGGAAUUUUUAUACCAUUUUGAGAUAAUUUUGAGAAAGUACGAAUUUUGAAUGUUUUUUUAGAAGACUAGUUUGUGUGGAAUGUAAAAUACAUGGGAAAAAAAAAUUGAAGUGUAAUGUGACUCCGAUAUCACUAUUGGAAAUUUGCUGAAAAUCUCGCAUACAAGUGCAACAUGUAAGAACUUUUCACUAAUCACAUCCAAAUAUGUAAUUUAAAUGAAUUAAAAAUAUUUACACAAAGUUUGCGGGAAAAAGGCCUUUAAAGAUCCACAUUUAAAGGCCUUGACAUGUAGACUUUGUAGUGAAAGUCUUCUUCUCUAUUCCCAUGGACGUAGGCAAUCUGCCAAAUCAUGUUAAAUCUGUGUGUGUGUGUGUUUUUUUUUUCUCUAAUUUCUUCACCAGGAGUUGUUGCACGAAGAUGAACAGUAAUAUAAUUAUCUUAUGUAUAGUUUAUUAUUAUGGUUGGAUAAAGAUAUUAUUAAACAACUUAGGAGUUAUUGCAUACAUUAUGAAACUGGUCUAGUUUCCAUAAGGUUCAUGGAUUGGGCCCAGUUUGCUUGUCGGAUUGGGAAUUUGAGAGCCCAAACUACGAAAAUGGGUUGGGCAGUCUAAGGCCUCAGGGUGAGUUUGCUAUUCCUAAGACCUAGUAUCUUCUUUACUCCUGAUUUCCAAAAUAAGAAAAGUACUUUCAAAAUAAUAUCGCUUGUUAUCAUUUGACUUCAAGUAGAAGCUAGUUUUGAAAGGUAUUUUAAGGGCCAUUUUCUUUCAUACAGUUUGUGAAAACUGCUUUGGACAUGGUGCAAUUUUGUGGGAUAAUUUUCUAAUAUGUCAUGCUAAUGCUGUGAUUUGAAAAACUCAGGCUAGUGUUUGGUUGCUGAGAAAAUGCCUUCUUCUUUUAGGGAGCAAGUGUCUUUAGGGGUUUGGAGUUAAUGGGGUUCUGUUCAAUUCUUCAUUGACUUGCAUGCCAAAACAGAAAUUUCAUCAGCAAUGUGCCUCUCUGCAGAGUCUUCUCUCUUUGUAUGCAUGAAUGCUGAUUUUUACUAGCAAUGCUCCAUUGAAUUUUAUUUCUUCCAUGCUACUUUGAUUUUAGGUAUAGCAAUGAGUAUGCUGCAGUUGCCUCCUGGGUAUAGCUCAGCAGUACUGCCCUCUGGCAAUGAACAUGAGGCCUCGAGCUUAUCCUUCUUUGUAGUUAAGCAGUAUAAGGUAGAGGGAUGGCGCAAUUAGUUGCAGAACACACUUAAUGAGGCAAGUAUUUGGAGUCACGCGGCUAUGCAACUCUGCCUAACCAUCAAUUCAUGUUUUGAAACAUCUUGAUGGAGAAUGUGAUGAUUUUUGGAACUAACCGCUAUGCUUCCAGUAAACAAAGGAUUCCUAGUGCCUAAAUUGUAGAGAAUUCUCAGAAAAAUCUGGCAGGCCUCACCAUCUGCGUUCUGUAACAUGGAUAAGGCAUGAUUGAUUUUUCUUGUGAGUUAUUUUUAUAUCUAUCCAGUUAUGAUGUGUUACAUAUGGUGCUGCAUUUGUUUAUUCUGGCAUUAAGCUUCAGUGAUUUUGGGGUUUUGGUAUGAGUGGAAAAUAUAAUCAACCUUUCAGAAGGGGAAGGGGAAGGGGAAGGGACCAUGUGUUGUAUUGAAUAGGUUAUGCAGCACUUGACUCACCAGCCCUCUUGAUCAAAUGGAUUUCCCACAAAUUCAAUGUGGUCUUACCUGCAUAUUCUGGCAGCAAGAUGGUUACCUUUCAUGGAAAAUGGUUCGGUCACAUUGACCCAGAAGGGCUGACUGUAGAAAAUUGGCAAAAAAAAAAUAAUAUUCAAAGUUGAGCUGCUUAAGCUGAAGAACCUGAUGCUUUAGCGCCGUGACGAGUGCCCAGUAGUAGGGCCUACCGAUGGCUGAGGGGAGUAAUUGGUUAGGCACAAGGUUGGUGGAAUCAACACGGGAGUUUAUGUGGGAGAGGCCAAUUAAUGAAGUCCAUUGCCCUCAUGAAGAAUGGUCAAACUCCCUGGUCUAGAUGAAUCAAUUCUGGGUCGUGUGCUGCACAUGAUCAAGGCCGCCAUUGUGCCUUGUGGACUAUGGCUCCGUCAUCACCUAGUGGUACUAGUCGCAUUUCAAUUGGGCUGCUUUCCACUACUUUUCCCUCACAUGGUUGGUUCUCACAUUGAACUCUGAUGGAUACAUACCAGAUCGAUACUGAAAGGAACUGUCACUCUCCCUUGUUAAUGGAUCAAAAAGUAUCUCAUUCCGCAGUUUGUAAUUUGAAACACUCAUGGACAUUGAAUAUUUCAAUUGGUCAUGUUUCUAUGCCAAAUGCAACAGUCAUCCUCGAAUUUUUCACCCCUCCAUGACUUGCUCCCAGUUUAUCACAGCUUUUACGGAUAUUUAUAGGGUUAAGAAAAACUCAUAAAUAUUAAUAUUGCUAAAAUGAAAUACCCCUAAAAGGGGUUAGUUGUCAUAAGAUACCCUAAAAGGGGUUAGUCCGCCACUUAACAUGCUAAUAAUGGGGUAUCUUUGUGAUUCGUUACCUUCAAGUCAAACCAAGCACAUGAUCUGAUCGUUAGUGAUACCGUUCUAACAAAUUGUAUUGCCACUUUGACACUUGCCAAAAAAUUCUUCAAAUCAACCCGUGAUCAUGCGCUAUUUUUAUGCUUCACACUACUGCAACCAUAUAAAAGGAAGGAGAAGAGGGGGAAAAGGGACAAAAGAAAAAAAAUUAGAGUAUAACGUCAAAAACUUUUUUCCCCUAUCUUAUAUGUGAAAUCACAAAUACCUUCAGACAUAAUGUUUUUAUUAUGUCCCAUAAGUUCAUAAAACCAAAUAGAUAGACAUCUUUUAUAUAAUCAAAUAAAUUUUCACACCAAGAUUAAAAUUAGUUUUGAUACUAUUUGUAAUGAUUCAUUACCAAUGGUGUAGAUAUAUAUAUAUAUAUAUAUAUUAUUUUUAUUUUUUUCAUCUUGGGUGCCAUAACCCAUAUAUUGUGGACUAAAUGUCAAUAUUACAACUGGACAAGACCUUAUAGAUACCUGCAAGACAGCUUAUAUGAAGUAAACAUUAGUUAUGGUAGGUGUGUGGGGAUUGGGGGAAGCAUAUUUCAACAUUGAUGGGGACCUGACCCUAAACGCAAAUGACCCUUGGAGAUAAAAUCCUCUAGGCAGAUGCCCCCAUGAGCUUCAAGGUAGACAAGACUGUAGCCAUGUGGGAGCUCUCUGCAAUAUGUGUGUGGCAUGAGAGGAGUCUUGGGGGCUCCAAAUCAAGAAAUGGUUGUUGAACGUUGAGGCAUCUUUGUCAAUAAUGUAGUUGCAACCAAUUUUGGUCCUCAGAAGUCGCAUUAAAAGAAGAUUAAAGGCAUGUGCUUCUCUUUUUGUCCCAUCAGCUCAUAAUCACCACCCUAGGUCACUUGUUUCAAAUGCCCAACAGGUCCCCCACCGCCGUAGACCUACGCCCAGAGGGGUACUUUCUCUCUCUCUCUCUCGGGUCAAGUGAUGUAUUUUUGCAUCGAAACAAUACCUUAGUAAAACUGCAUUUCCCCACUCUGGAAAAUGGAGCAGAGAACUUGACAAGUGGCCCACACUUGGUAUGGACUGCUUGGCUCGAUUCAUUUUCAUGGUAUCGGAUUCCAUUUGUAUUUUUGUCUUAGUUCUUAAAAUACGAAGAGCCCCAUGAUGAUGUGUUAUAGCCUAUUGUUCUUUUGCAUCGAGCCCAAUAACAGUUUGAAGUAUUAGUUGAACUUUCCUAAUCACUUGAAUCACUCGAUUGGUAUGUUUUGAAGAUCACUCUGUCUUCUAUAUAAUUUUCUGUUUCUUUUGUCUUCUGGUACUCGGUUCAUUGUAAGUUGCACCCAACAAUAUAAAAUUGAGAGAGAGAGAGAGAGCUUUAAUGUAAAUCUAAAUAUAUAGAUAAUUGAGUGUAUCAACACUUCUGAACUUGCUUUUCUCUAAACCCAAUUAGGAUUUCUUCAACAGGAAUCACCAAAUGGUUUUGAGAGCAACAUGCAGAGGUUGUAAUCAUGCUUAGAAGAGUCAAAAAUAAGAAAAGGGCCCAGAAGAAAAGAGAGAGAGAG
rnacentral:lncRNA from 1 species